CCUUUACAGUCCAGUACAAAGCUAAAGAUUGGGUACCUUCUCUCUCCACCACCAUUUGAGAUUCUGAAAAGUAUCAAAAGAUUAAAAAAAGGAAAUCAAAGUGUUAUAGGUCUUAAGUGAAAUUAUUAGUUCACAUAAAAAGUUGAAAUUACUCUAGAUGCUCCUUUAUACGCUGAAUAAGUGUGGGUUUAUUGCCCGUCAAUCUCAAUCCAUUGUUCCUCAAAUAAACUUUACAUUGCUCCACUUUCAAUUUCUCUUGCUGCCCGGCUGCCACCAAAAUUUGAAAGCAGCCAAAAACACUAAAAACCCAGUUAAGUGAUCAUUAAAGUUUGCAGAUUUAUAAUGCAUGAACAAUGGAAUCCUGUUUAAACUAAUCAUGUAUUUGUCCAAAAUUCAAAUUUUUGUUAAAGCAAUAUCCUUACCCAUUACAAAAGUUCUGAUUUUUACUUGCAACAAAUAAAAAAAUAUACCUGUUGAUGCCGAAAUCUGAACCAAUUGGUUAGUGACUCAGUUUCAGAUCCCUGCAUCAGCAUUAAAUUUGUUGGUGGGAAGCUGCUGGUCAAUCUCCGAGAAUAUUCUCUGACUAUGAGCAGAACAUUCAUAAGCAUAUAAUCUUCAAGCUGACGAUCAAUAAGCACCUGAAAUUACAGAGAAUGGUAAGAGGUGCCGGAAGUUUUUCCGGCGUAAACCCUCCGACGCUCAAGUCAGUUAUGGGGUUUAUAGGAAAAACCAAAUAUGCCAUUUCUCAUAUGGCUUAAUAAAUAUUGCCUUAAAACCAAAAGCUUUUUGAAUAAUUUUCAGAAAAGUAAAGUAGAGUCUCCAGAAAGAAUUUCUCAGUCAGAUCAAGAGACAAAAAAGAGCCCCCCUCCGCGUGGUUUUCUCGGGGUCUUUAUAAAACACCUCAUACCCACGACCUUAGAUCGUGACAAUAACCAUUAAUUGAUCCAAUUCGUGCCCUGAUUUUUCGGAGGAGCUUUGUGGUGGUUUAUUUUAACUGAGUCUUUAUUCCUGGUCAUCACUUGGCCGAGGUGAUCUGCUCAAGUUUAGACCACCUGGUUGAGGUGAUCUGGUCAAGCUCAUAGCACAUGGUUGAGGUGAUCUGCUCCACCUCAUAGCACCUGGUCGAGGUGAUCUGCUCCACCUCAUAGCACCUGGUUGAGGUGAUCUGCUCCACCUCAUACCACCUGGUCGAGGUGAUCUGCUCCACCUCAUAGCACCUGGUCGAGGUGACCUGCUCAACCAUUUGCUCACUUUCACUUGGAGGAGAUCAUGGUCGCUCUAUUUAAUUCCUCAAACACCAGUCCCCCAGUUUCUAGUGUUGAGAGUAAAACAAAUCAAUACUGGAAACUAUAAAGUUUAUAAUUUUGGCAAACCUAUGCCUUAGGAAUAUUUUUUGCGAAUUUUGCCCAAUUGUCCUCACACGACUGAGCAGGUUUGGGCAAAUCUUUACUUUGGCAAAUUUUGCAAGAUAUGGCUGCUGGUCUUUCAAACGACCGAGCAGGAGUUGGCCCAUGUUUGCCUUAGUAAAAGUCUCAUAAAUUUAGCUGCUGGUCCUUCGUUGACCGAGCAGAAGUAGGCACUUUCAUGCCUUAGUAGGAUUUUCGUAGGAUUAGCUGCUGGUCUUUUGUUGACCGAGCAGAAGCAGGCACUCACUUGCCUUCGUAGAUUAGCUGCUGGUCUUUCGUUGACCGAGCAGAGGCAGGCACUUUCUUGCCUUAGUAGAUUAGCUGCUGGUCUUUCGUUUGACCGAGCAGAGGCAGGCACUUUCUUGCCUUAGUAGAUUAGCUGCUGGUCUUUCGUUUGACCGAGCAGAGGUAGGCACUUUCAUGCCUUAGUAAAUUAGCUGCUGGUCUUUCGUUUAACCGAGCAGAGGCAAGCCUUUACUUUAGUGAUACUUUCGAGAAAUUAGCUGCUGGUCUUCGUUGACCGAGCCGAAGCAGGCACUUACUUGCCUUAGUAGAUUAGCUGCUGGUCUUCGUUUGACCGAGCAGAGGCAGGCACUUACUUGCCUUGGUAAAAUCUUCGUAAAUUUAAAUGCUGGUCUUUCGUGGACCGAGCAGAAGGAGGCACUUGCCUUAGUAGAUUAGCUGCUGGUCUUUCGUUUGACCGAGCAUAGGCAGGCCUUUACUUGCCUUAGUAGAUUAGCUGCUGGUCUUUCGUUUGACCGAGCAGAGGCAAGCCUUUACUUUAGUGAUACUUUCGAGAAAUUAGCUGCUGGUCUUCGUUGACCGAGCAGAAACAGGCACUGGCUUGCCUUUUCAUAAAUCAUUCUCAUAUUGAAAAACUUUCUAGAUAUCAAGUUGAUUGAGUUAUAUCACUAGCUUUAAUAUGAGCUCUAUCAAUUUGACAUGUACAAACUAUCCUCAUUUGAUAGAUUACUAGUAGGUAAAUACUAUAGCCGCAUAUAAAGGCUGCAAAUGCAUGUUUUUACGUAGACAUCAAGACAUAAAUUUGUUAAAAUUUCUGACCUGAUUAAGAUGCAACUUUUUGCAUUAAUAUCUCCUUCCAAGUGCAUAGCUUGCCUCAUUCGCAAACGUAUCAAAAUUGACAUUUUGUAGGGAAAUUGCAUAACAGAAUUCCCUGCAUAUUCUUCAGACGAAAAUGAGCUAUCUGAUUCCUGCAAACGUGUGCAGCCAAUGUGCUCUCAUUUGAGGUUUUUUAUUCAAAUCCUUAAAUAUGGAUUUGCUCUGAGAUUGUGCUCUGCAUUAUUUCAUUUGUACUUCAUCAAACAAAUCCCGAGCUUGACUCUGCUUUGUUCCCUGGGUUUAGAUCUUGGCUCCUGGGCAGCAUUCUCUCAAGCACAUCUGUAGUAUAUGUAGUGUAAUCAGCAACAAACUCACUUUUGAACUUUCAUAUCCCUUGAGACGAUUUAACGAACAGCUCCUGAUUUGAAUUUUAACAAUUCUGCCUCAACUUGUAAUGAACAGAGUUUCAUACCAGAAUUGUCUAAAAACUUUCCCUGCAUAUUCUUCACAUGAAAACUAGCUACAUGAUUGAUUGAUGGGGUGUAAAACCAGCAGGAAAUAUCUUGAAGAAACCAAAGAUCCGUGGAUUUUCUAUGCUUACCACCAAAUGAAUUUAACUAUAUGUGUAAUCUUUAUUUUAAGAAAUUGAACAUUGAUAAUACCGCAAAUCGAUUGCUCUUUUGGACAGAUUUUAUAUCUUGAGCUCGAUGAAAAGAGAACAAUCAAUCACGAAAUAUAAAUACAUCAGCAAAAUAAUGGUAGCAGCAUUACACAUCUAAUUAGCCAUAACGAAGCUGAAUAAUUAGCCAUAAUAAAUCUGAACUGUUAACAUUAUGUCAAGCAUGUUGCUGGAAAAUAUUAAAUUAAUUCAUUUGCAAUAUAAUAGCAUGUAAUCUUGAAUUAUGAAUGAAGCCCAUUCUAACAAGCUAAUUUUGUAAAGGAACAUUAUCAACGAACUCCAAGGGAUAAUAUUCAAUUUCAGCAAAUAUAUCAUGCUCGGUAUUGAAACAUGCAUGUUAUUAAAGAAUUUCUAAGCAUCUCUCAUGCAAAGGUAUAAUAGGGCUAUGAUUAAGAACAAUUCAUGCUCUCAAUUAGUUUCAUGCAUAUAUUGAAUCAAUUGAAUUAGAACCUGGAUUUUAGUCCUUGGCUCUUGCGCAAUGUUCUAUUGAGCGUCACUCCCUGCAAUUUCAGUUGCAGCCUUUGUUUUCCAGUCCAAUUAAUCUCACCAUCUUGAUUGUUCCUCUGUAGAGUCCUAAGCUUGCUCUUUACAAUUUGAGGCUGCGAUUUUUUAUAUUUUUUAUUCUGUCAAUCAUUUUGUCGAACACUUACUGUGCGUGAUCUCGUAUCACCACUUUUAACAAAUAUCAUCUUAAACCUGUUUCUAAGAUUACAAACGGACACAUCUCUGCAUCCAAUUAGUAAUUAAAUCUUGUUUGAAAUGAUUAAACCCAUCAAAAUGCAUGCUGAAACCGUGGCAUAAUCCGAUUGGGAAAGUGGUUAAAAUCUUAAUAUCUAAACUUGUAUGCGUACAAGACUUUAAUGGUAAGCACAUGAUCAGCAGUUGACUAUAAACCAACAAGCAUGUGGCCACUAGUUUGUGAUAUGAUUUCAUAUAUUCAGUAUAUGUAUUUUUUAAAUCUAUCCUCUGUAAUCAAUUUCUCAUGCUCAUGAAAGCCAAAUCACAAUUGAUCAUUUGAUGCAAUAUAUCAUGCACACAAACAAAUAAAUUGAAAGUAAUUGCAGUAAUUUAAUUGGAAAUACAAGUGGAGAUGAAUAUGUGACAGAUUUUACCGAUCUGAAGCUUCUAAAUGCCAACAUUGGGUUAGUUUUUUUUUACCGAUUCGCUUCGCUUCUUUCACGUGAGUUCAGAAAUAAAAGACAGGUUGCUUCAAUUCGCACAUGAUAAUAUUUUGCCUUCGCUUUGGCUGGAUGAAAGUUGAUAGAGAUAACAAAUUGGCUUCUUGUAUCGAUCCCCACAGACGGCGCCAAAUGUUGAUGCCGAAAUCUGAACCAAUUGGUUAGUGACUCAGUUUCAGAUCCCUGCAUCAGCAUUAAAUUUGUUGGUGGGAAGCUGCUGGUCAAUCUCCGAGAAUAUUCUCUGACUAUGAGCAGAACAUUCAUGAGCAUAUAAUCUUCAAGCUGACGAUCAAUAAGCACCUGAAAUUACAGAGAAUGGUAAGAGGUGCCGGAAGUUUUUCCGGCGUAAACCCUCCGACGCUCAAGUCAGUUAUGGGGUUUAUAGGAAAAACCAAAUAUGCCAUUUCUCAUAUGGCUUAAUAAAUAUUGCCUUAAAACUAAAAGCUUUUUGAAUAAUUUUCAGAAAAGUAAAGUAGAGUCUCCAGAAAGAAUUUCUCAGUCAGAUCAAGAGACAAAAAAGAGCCCCCCUCCGCGUGGUUUUCUCGGGGUCUUUAUAAAACACCUCAUACCCACGACCUUAGAUCGUGACAAUAACCAUUAAUUGAUCCAAUUUGUGCCCUGAUUUUUCGGAGGAGCUUUGUGGUGGUUUAUUUUAACUGAGUCUUUAUUCCUAGUCAUCACUUGGCCGAGGUGAUCUGCUCAAGUUUAGACCACCUGGUUGAGGUGAUCUGGUCAAGCUCAUAGCACAUGGUUGAGGUGAUCUGCUCCACCUCAUAGCACCUGGUCGAGGUGAUCUGCUCCACCUCAUAGCACCUGGUUGAGGUGAUCUGCUCCACCUCAUAACACCUGGUCGAGGUGAUCUGCUCCACCUCAUAGCACCUGGUCGAGGUGACCUGCUCAACCAUUUGCUCACUUUCACUUGGAGGAGAUCAUGGUCGCUCUAUUUAAUUCCUCAAACAAUACCUUCAAUGAUCUUCUGGAUUACUUUUUCUUCAAUUUCAUCAACACCCACAUCCAAAUCUUUGCCAAUGCUAGACAUGAAAAAAUAAAUAAAAAAAAGAAAAGAAAAUCUAUUAUUAGAACAAGGCCAAGAUAAAAAGGGAAAAAAAUUUAUCUUUAUUUAAAUAUCGUUGAAAUAAAAAUCUAACCGAGACUUGGACUUUUUCCCAAAUGAGAGCUUUGAGAAGGUGGCAUGGGUGUCCUCAAGAGGGCUGUAACUCGGGUCUAAAUCCGAAUCAUAACCCGGGUCGGACCCUCCACUGUCGGUGCUGUAUUCAUCAUCUCCUUCUUCGAUGAAUAUUACUUGCUCAGACUCAGGAGCUGCCAUUGACGCGCUACUCUUUUGCUUUCUUCUGGUUUUAUUGAUUGAUUCAUAUUUUUCUUCCGCAGAAACCUUUUAAGGUAAAAACCGUAACAACUUGCUUUCGCUUUUUGAAAUCGAAUUGCCAGAAUGAAAGGAAAUUUUCGACCAAAAACAAAAGUAAAUAUGGCCGUUGAGGAUUUGAAAAUUUGAAGCUUGUGCAGAAUGGAUCAAUUAUAUGAUUAAAUCGUUUCGGCGGAUUGUUUUGAUUGAUUAGAUUUUUUUAUUAUUAUCUAAUUAACAAUGCUGCUUCGAUUAAAAAAAAAAAUUGCGUUACAAAGUUUUCACAAGAAAAUAGAAAUAUUAAAAUAUCCUUUAUUGUAUUGCAAGUUACACACAAUUACUUCGACAUUACUAACUUCACUCGGGCAUUGGAGAAAUCGUUAGAAAUUUAGAUUUAAUAUUGAUUUCUCCGUCUUUAUCUUCUAAUAAUUUUUGGUCACACUGUAUUUAUAAUUUGAGUGUCUAAAUUAUAUAAUUGUAUUAGAGUUAUUCUUUAGUGUAAACUUGCUUAUCAAAAUAUGAAUAUUAACGUCGGUGUUGUAAAAGGAUUUUAUAAUAUUAUACUAUCAAAAUCUAUUACAAUAUUUUAAAGCAUUAAGUGUAUAAUAUGUGGAUGUUCGCACCUAAAACUUAUUAAAUUAUAACAUGCGUAAAUUUCUAUAUGAGUAAUUUAGAAAUUAUUCCACAAAAGUUGGAAGUUCAAUUUUCAACAGGAAACUCACAUCAAGAUGCAACAUUGGGAGUACUUUCUGUAUUCGGAAUGGUUUUUCGAGUAAGGAAAUUUUAUCCCAUGCGGUCAUGUUAUUCUUCUCAUCAGCCCAAUUUCUUACUGGGAUUAUUUUGUUAUGCUUGUAGGAAAAACAAUGGCGGUGUCUGCUGCACAAUCUGAAAAGGAGUUCGUCAUAACAAAGAACAAAGAAACUGGAGAAAGGAGAAUUGUUGUGACUGGGUUAGGUGUUGUAACGCCACUUGGUGACGAUGCACAUUUGUUUCACACCAGCCUUCUUGAAGGGGUUACUGGGAUAAGUGAUAUACAGGGCUUUGAUUGUUCAGAAUUUCCCACUGUAUGUAUAAAUAUUGUGUAAAUUUCAUUAUCAUAACUGAGUUUGUGUACAAAGCUAUUGGAUGAUACUAUUCUCAAAUCUUUAACAGAGAAUUGCUGCAGAAAUCAAAUCUCUCUCAACAGAUGGAUGGAUCUCACCAAAAAUUGCGAAGAAAGCAGACAAAUACUUGAUUUAUGCUCUCGUCGCCGGCAAAAAAGCCUUGGUAGAUGCUGGAAUUACUGAACAAGUUAGCGGAGAGUUGGAUAAAAGUAGAUGUGGGGUUAUAAUUGGCUCUGCCAUGGGAGGCUUGCGUGUAAGUGAGCUUUGAGCUUUGAAAACAAAAGUCAAUUAGGAGUGGCAAGUAUUAUGGUUUGCUUAUAAACAAGAGCAUGUAGCCUUACUAGCAUGUUUUAAUGAUUUUCUGGCUUUUGAACAGGUUCUUAAUGAUGGAUUUGAAGCAAUAAAAGUUUCGUAUAAGAAGAUGAGUCCCUUUUACAUACCUUAUUCAUUAACCAAUAUGGCUUCAGCAGUCUUAGCAAUGGAUUUGGUAAGCUCAUAAGAUAGUUUUGUGGCAUGUUGAAAAAAAAAAAAACAUUUAAGCAAUCUUAUACUGAUUUGAAAUUGACAUGCUUCCAAUUAUGUGCAGGGAUGGACAGGUCCAAGUUACUCAAUCAGUACAGCUUGUGCAUCGAGCAACUACAGCAUACUGAAUGCAGCUAGUCACAUGAUCAAAGGUGACACUGUAAGCAACUUGCCUUCAUCUCAAGCUGACAUCACUUAAAGCUAAGAACAUCCCUUGAGAUGUUACAUUAGAGAAGUCUUAGUUUGAUUUAUAUACAACAUGCUUCAUAUUUGUUGAAAAUUUUGCAGGACAUUAUGCUCUGUGGUGGUUCAGAUGGGAUGAUUAUUCCAUCAGGUACAGUUAACAAAGCCGUUGCAUUUUAGAGUAGUUCAAACAUACAUCUGUUAAGAUAACAAAUUUUUUUGAUGAAAACCAUUACCAUAUCCUAGGAAUAUUUAUAUUGAAUCACCAAAAAUCUAUAAUAAAUUAUACAGAAGCGUACCUGAAUUCAUAACGUUGAAUUGUUUGUGUGGUUAGUCUUCUAGAUCUAUACGUUCUUCUAGAAAAUCCUUUUAAGUUUUUCACUGCUCUCUCUGAUGAUGGGAUGUCAAUAGAGAAUAAAAAGAUAUGUGUAAAUUGUUGAUUAUAAUCUCUUAUAUAGAUAACUUUUUUCUAUUGUCAUUAGGUAUUCCUAAUUCUGCCCAUCAUAUAAUUAGAAUAUUGAAUCUCUACACAUUAAAAGUUCACACUCUAUUAGAUACAUUAAAGCCCAUAAUACCAAAAACUUUAAGAGAUCACCUUUAAUUGAGUUUAAUCUUAUAUGACAGUUCACAAUACAUAAUUAUUCAUAUAUAAGUCUAAUGUUGAAUAAAGGAUCCAACAAUAUUGGAUUAAAAAAUCUAAUAAUAUCAUGAGUUUUGUUUUAUUGAUCUCAGGCAUAACCAAUCUUAUCGCAUGCAAUGCUCGUUCGCAAAGAAAUAGCGAACGUUGGAUUAAGAAUUUAACAAUAUUAAAUUAAAAAAUCCAACAAUAUUGGAUUAAAAAAUCCAACAAUAUCAUCAAUUUUUUUUUUACUGACUAUUUAUCGGAAUAUCAGGCAUAGCCGGUCUUAUCGCAUGCAAUGCCCUUUCGCAAAGAAAUAGUGAUCCAACCAAAGCUGCACGCCCAUGGGACGCUGUAAUCAUUUCAACUCUUCCCUCUCUUCUUGUUGAACAACUUUCUAUUAUAAUAAACGAUUUGGCAAUAAAUAUUUUGAUUGCACAACGAGCAGGAUCGCGAUGGAUUUGUUAUGGGAGAAGGAGCUGGGGUUUUGCUUUUAGAAGAGCUGGAACAUGCUAAGGUUAAUUACUAGCAGAAUCAUCACUUUUUAUGAUUAACUAUAGGGCAUUAUUUCCCACUCAUGCACUCAUGUAUCUACACUCAAAUAAUUUGACAGAAAAGAUGGACGAAUAUUUAUGCAGAGUUUCUGGGUGGAACCUUAACUUGUGAUGCUUAUCACAUAACUGCACCUCAUCCUGAGGGUUAGUACAUAGGCUUUCUAAAAUUCCCACUAUCCACAUCUAUUUGAGUUUAUUUCUGCUCGAGUAAUAUAUAUGUUUUUGAAAUCAGGGGUGGGCAUGGUAUCUUGCAUGAAGAAGGCUUUAGCUCAAGCUGGGGUUGCCAGGGAAGAUGUGAACUACAUUAAUGCACAUGCUCCAUCAACGAGACUAGGUGAUCUGAGAGAAUAUCAAGCUGUAAUCCGUUGUUUUGGAAAGAAUCCUGAGGUAAAAACUGAAGCACAUUGCCGCUUAUAAUUUAGAAUUAUUAUAUACUUGUUUAGUUGCUAUUAUACUUCAUCUGAUUCCAACAUGUCGCAGCUAAGAAUGAACUCUACAAAAUCCUUGAUUGGCCACCUACUUGGAGCUUCAGGUGCUGCUGAAGCUGUUGCCACAAUCAAGGUGAAUAGCUUCUGCUUUCUUCCCUGCAUACAUGGUGUAACUGUGUAGAUCACUCGAAUAGUUAAUAUAAGCCUGCUCAUCCUAGAGUGAUGGCCACAAUCAUUGAAGCCUUACGCAUUGACAGAGGGUAUAUCUACAAUACGGAGGCCCUAUUGGUACAAUAUCCUCCACUAUCUAUUGAAAACUUAAUAAAGCUUUUCAUUACAGUUUUAACUUUUUUUUGGUUGCUUGCUUCAAGUUUUACAUAAUACAAUAUCACUGUUGGGUCAGAAAUGAAAACUUAGGGGGCAGAUAAAGAAAAAAUUUGAAAACAUGAGGCUUUUCAAUAAAAGUCGGGUUGGGAGUGUUAUGCGGUAGUCAUUCUCGCGAGAGAAUCCCGUAUAUGUUUCCUGUAAAAUUUCAUGGUUUUCAAUAGGAUAUAGAAAGAAGGCGGCCAACCCAAAAAAAGAAAAAAAUUACUUAAAAAUCACUUAACUCUUAACAAAGUGUUAAGUUUGGGGACAUAUCAUGAUUGUUUUUUGAAUGGGGUUUUUUUCUUUUUCCUGCAGGCAAUACAAAUUGGAUGGAUACAUCCAAACCUAAAUCUGGAAAAUCCUGACAAACAUGUGGUAUGCUUCUUGAAUUUAAAAUGGAAAUAUUUUUAAAAAAUAAUCUCUAUCUUACGUGUAUAUAAAAUACAUUUUUCUCAUAUAAAUAAUGUAUUUAUGAAAUUUAUAUACUAUUUAUAUAAACAGAAUAUAUCAUGCAUGUAAGAUAGGAGAUCUUGUUUAAAAAGGUUCCUGCUUUUUCACAAGACGUCUCUGCCGAUUCAGGACGCAAAAGUACUGGUUGGCCCCAUGAAGGAACGUUUGGACAUAAAAGUGGCGAUGUCCAACUCGUUUGGCUUUGGUGGACACAAUUCAUCCAUCUUAUUCGCUCCUUUUAAAGGAAAUUGAUUAUGGCUAAAGAAAAAACCUUGACCACAUGCGUGUGCUUGGAUGUUAGUCAAUUUACAGCAAUUAAUUAGCAUCCAAAUCCAAGUGCGUGCAUCGUGGAACUCUGCCAAGACGUUAAUUUUGUAUUGGAAUGACAUUUGGGUACUGUUCUAAGACCACUUCGUUUGAUAUGUAUUAAUUAUUAUGAUGCCGCAAUUUAAAAAGAUGCGUAUGUUGAUCGAUCCUUGUGAAAUGAGAAAUAAAAGUUGAGAUUUUGAUCAAAUUUAAGACACUUUUCAAACCAAAUGAUACUUGUCUAUUAUCGUUUUAGUUUCAUCAUCCAACUGAAGUGAACCAUAUAUUUGAUUAUACGAACGAGGUAAUCCAUAGGUAAUAAUAGUCAGAGGUGGCAUAGCCGUGAUGGUGAAAUUUUUGUUAUAAAAAAUUUGGGAUGAAGUUUAGUAGACCAAAAAUUAAUUUUCGAGUUGGACAAUUAGCAUUUUUUUUAAUUUCAUUAAAUUCUUAUUUUAUUAUAAUUACAUAUAAGGAUAAAUAUAAAUAAAAUUGAUACUACUUAUAUUUUUAGUCUCUCACUUAAAUUUAUUUUAUUUGUACAAUAUAUUAUAUUUUUUUCUCUCUUCUCAAUCUAUAUAAUUGAUUCUUGCACAAACUUAAAAUAUUGAUCUUUUUUUAUAUUAAUCAUUUUUUUUAUUGAGAAAGAAAGUUUGAAUAGAAUAAUAGAGAUAUCAAGAUUUAAAUAAAAUAAUACGGUAAAAAAAAUUAACUGUGAGAAAGUUACAGAAAAUAAAAGUUUUACAAAUGAAAAGAGUCUUUUUUAGGGGAAAAAAAGGAAAAAAGUAUUUUUGACAUUACGUGGAAGAUUUUGUAGAGGUGGCCGCAUAUCAACUCUUAAUUCUCUCUCGAAAUGAAUUUCUCUUGAACAACAUUUAAGUGAGAAAUUGGCAACUAUUAAUUAAGAAUAUGCAAAUUAUAAAUGAGUUAAUCUCAAUAUUAUCACUAUUUAAACACGUGCCUUCUUUCCCAAAAACUAUGAGAUAGAGACAGAUUGAUUGGUCAAGUUAUGGAUGGCUCAGGGUUAUCUUAAGCUGGAGGGAAGGGAAGAUAUGGAGUUAAGAGGAGAAAAGUACUUUAGAAACUUAGCCUCUUGCUCUUUAUUCCCAGAUUUUCAAAGAAAUGAGUUUGAUGGUAAAAUAAUAAGGUGCCAGAUGCACUCCAUAGUGCAUGAUUUUGCUCAGUGUCUUACAGAAAGUGAUAGUUUGAAUGCAGAGGUGAAGGAUUCUGAUUACAAGUGUCAAUUAGAGUCUUCUCAUGAAAAAAUUCAGAAUUUUAUGAUAAUGUUUGAAAGUGAUGACCUCUUUCCUAUUUCAGUUUACACUCAAAAGAAACCGCGGAGCCUUGUGGUUGAGCGUGAAGGGUAUUUCAUGAAGGGCAUAGUUCUGUCUGAGGUGUUUGAUCAGUUGACGUGUCUGAGGACACUGGAUUUGAGUAACCAUGAUAGUGUUUGGUGUAAAGUGAUUGAAGUGGUUCCCAGAGGAAUAAAAGGAUUAAUACAUUUAAGGUACCUUAACUAGUCUAACAACAAAAAGAUAAAAGAUUGCCUGAGAUGUUGUGCAAGUUGUAUAAUUUACAAACCUUGGAGCUCAGUUGGCGUAGCAGCCUCAGAAAUUUGCCUCAAGGGAUGGGCAAGUUGAUCAAGCUGAGGCAUGGAGAAAAUGUUGGGACUCCACUUAGCUACAUGCCAAAGGGAAUUGAAAGAUGCAGUUAGAUUUUGGACACUAAGUGAAUUCAUUGUCGGUGGUGGAACUGAUGAUAAAAGCUAGUAAACUUGAAUGUCUGAAAAGCCUGAUCCAUCUUCUAGGGAUCUCUUACGAUAAAAAAUGCUGGGAAAUGUGAAUUAGGAUGAGAUUUGCAAAGCAGAACUUUCGGAGAUGGAAAAUCUCCUUACUGUGUGUAUAAGUUUCGAUAAUAAUGAUAAAAAGGGAGGAAGAAUAAGGAUAAUGAAGACCGUCUUGAGGGCUUACAGUUGCCUCAAAAUCUUGAGACCUUAAACAUUUUUUACCAUAGAGGUAACAGGAUUUCUCGCCUGAGAAUAAUGUUGUUAUCUAAGUUGCAGUCUAUGGCAUUAGAUUGGUGCAUGAACUUAGUGCAAUUGCCUCCUUUGGGAGAAUUGGCAGCCCUUGAGUCACUGAUUACACAAAGGAUGAAGAACUUGUAAAAGGUGGGGAAUGAAUUUUUGGGAACAGAUCAAAGUCGUGGGAAACCAUUUGUUGCUUUUUCUAAAUUGAAUUGACUUGUUUUUCAGAAAAUGAAAGUAUGGAAAGAGUGGAAAUAUAAAACGAUGAAGAGGGCAUCAUUAUGUAAUCAUGCCAAGUCUUCAUUCAUUAACAAUUGGAUUCUGCCCCAAAUUAGAGACACUUUCGGAUGACCAUUGUCCUUGAACACUAUAUUUGAAGAUCAUUUCAUGUCCUGUGCUGGAAAAUUGUUAUAAAAAGGGAACAGCAGAGAGGCAAAAGAGCUCUCGUAUCAAGAUUUCUUAUGCAGUUGAACUGCAACAGACACACAGGUAACACUUCUCCUUGUUUUUACAUAGUUCGAUUUUUAGAAUUCGUUUUUGGUUUGUCAUGAUCCUGUAAUCUUUUGUCGUAUAUAAAAUAGAUAUGCAACCACCUGCAUUUGUAAAAGAGAUGUUAAUUUAAGGUAUUGUUCUCUUCACUUAGAAAUUAUCGAUGACAUCACUGGAUAAUUUGAUCUUAUUGGUUUUGUUUUCCAGGAGAAUGGUGUGAGAAGCAUACUGGAGAGGAAUCAAAAGUUAUAUCUCGUGCCCCAUUUCAGAUAUCAAAUAUUUGGUAAGUUAAUUUCUUCAACUCACACAUAUCACAUUCCUGGUCUUGGUUUUCAGAAUGUAGAACUGGCUACUAGGCACAGCAACUAAUCAAUAGAAUUGUAAAAUUAUAUCUCAGUGCAGAGCAAUUACUUCAAAGUCUCCAAAGAUGAUGGGGGCUGAGACAGAACCUUCCCCUUUGAAACAGAAAGAAAACGUUAUCUUAAAACUUUUGCUUAUAGUUAUGUUACAGUUUGAACUCCUUUACUACUUCAUAAUCAUUAUUCUUCAAUCUUGAGGUGUUUCUCAGAGUGUAAUACAACUUUCAAAAAAUGGAGAUUGCAUUGAAGUCAGAAAGGGUGCGAAAGGUCGUCGAGGGAAGAAAGUUGAUAGGACGCUUUGGAUGGGCUAUUGUUAAACCUCGAAUAGUAUGAUAUUGUCUGCUUUAAACAAAGGUUAGGUUAUUUUUUUUCUUCUUCAGUUCUCGUCAAGAGGCAUCAUACUAUUUAAGAAAUGAAUUUGUAUAUGUAGUCUAGCAUUGCUUUUAAAGCAGGCAAUGCAGGACAUUGACUUCCAAUCCUUAUCAUCCUUGAUAUUUCCAAAUCUUGAAUCACGUAUUGAAGCUCUGCAAGGAAAAGGAAAUGGAUCAUUCCAAGUUACCAGUUGCAGGAUGAUGGCAAAUCCGAUUACAAGACAUCAGGGAAUAGUGGCUGGAUUGCCUGAUUCUAAAUGAUAUUCAUGAAUCAUGACCCUUUGUUCUGUCACUUGGUUUCAGGAACUAGCCACUAGAAAUAUUUUCGUUGCUCUUUUUAUGUCUGUCUUUCACAGCGAAGGUAGAAGGUUGAAGCACAAGAGGGUGAUUGAUAUGCUGUUAACUUUUAUCUUUGUACAAUAUACCAAAACAAUUUAUUUUAAUGUAGCAACUGGUAAGUCCUUUUAUUUUCAUGUUAUUCAGCAACCGAUGCUUUUUGUUCCUCUGUGGCCUCUUUUGUAUUCGAUACAAUAUACAUAAGUUCGACGAAGGGUUCCACUAAACUUCAUUUUUCUGUGAUGCUCACAUAAUUUUGGAUAUGGGAGCAGGAGUUGAAGCCACCAAUUCAGACUGAAACGUUGAGCCAAAUUUUACCAAAAUUUCACUUUGUUUGAUGCAUUUGCAUAUUAGGCACUUUAGGUCCGUGGCCUUUUGCUAGCUUGUCCUAGAUGGUGCAAGGAAACAGAGUCACAAAAUCAAUCGACAAAAGAAUGUUAUAAACCAUAAAAAUACUUCAAAUUUAAUUAGUUUAAAUGAUUGCUCAUGGUUUAAUUCAUCCAUACAUAUAAGGGUGUGUUUGGCACCCAGCAUUACUCCUCAUUACAGCCUUGUAUUGUAUUAAAUUAAUACAAUAUUAUGUUUGGCAAAAAAUGAACUUUGUAUUAGACCACAUUGUAAUACACCAAACGCCGCAAAAAUUAAACCCGUGAGGGGGGUCGUAAUUAGGCCGCAUUGCAUUAGAAUAGAAAGCAAAUACUUUCUUCUUCACGAUCUCAGCCACAACCACAAACCAAAUCUUCUCUUCGCAAAACCCAAAGUAAAAUUUUUCUCUCAAACUCACUCGCCUUUCACUCAUAGAUUUUCCUCCCUUCUCCUUCAAUUUCUCAAGAGCCAAACAUAGCAAAUGGAAUCACUAAGUGAGCGGUGUAGUCGAAGCGUCUGAAUCUUUGAUUGGAGCCAAUGCGUCAUUUGAAGUUCAAACAACAGCGUAGAGUGGCAGUGGUGCUACGGCGCGGUUCAAACAGACUCUCGUGUAGAUUUCAUUUUUCCAUUUAGGUUUCGAGUUUAAAUGUUUCAGUUGAUGACUCUAUAAAGCCCAAAAAAAUUAUAAUAGUAAUAAUAAUAAUAAUAAUCAUCAUCAUCAUCUAGACUUUUAGUACUCAUAUUGUCCAUGAUAUUAAAAGAAAAACAGAAAAAUACACUGUUACAUAAUAAAUAUGACACUUUCACAUAUAAAGUGAUUGUCUGAUAACUCUGCUAAUUAGAACUAAUUAAUUAAAUAUUAAAAUGUAUUUUUUACCCUUAAACGACGUGUUUUCUCUAUCAUUCUUUGAAUACCAGAGACAAAAUGAGGUAUUAAAAAACUAUAAAGGAUUAAAAUGGUAAAAACAAAUUGUGGGAGGGACUCAAGUGUCAGUCUCCCUUAUUUUUCAAUACAAAUUUGUACUCGAAACUUUAACCCUUAAAUUAUCAUAAUUCUCACAAUAGAUAAGUUAGUUUCCUUAUAGAUUCCGUUAUUAAAACCAAAAGUUAAUUACCAGGAAGUCUCAUCACACGUAACUAAGUAUUUAUUAUCUCUAUCAUAUUUUCUAAUUCCCCACAUUAUUUAAUAUUUUCUAUCUGACAAAAUGGUUGUACAAAUACAUAAUUACAUAAAACUCUCAUUGUAAAAGAAAAUUAUUCGGGAGAGUGCCAAACUAGGGAGGCUGCCACUUUUUUUUCUCAAUCGAGUUUUCGUGUUUAUCACUCACUUAAUAUUUUUAUGGUUUUUAUAUAUAAUACGCAAUUACUUUCUUUAACAGAAAAAUUUAUCUGAGUGAAAAAAAAAAGUUCUUUUCUUUAGAAAUUGGAGUAACAUGAUAUAUUAAAAAAAUUAUAAGAGUAAAUAAUUGGUGAAAUUCGAAAACAAUAGGAGAGGAACGAGCAAAUAACCCGUCAAAGUAGGAAGGUCAUCACAUUAGCGUUGUCUGUCCACUACCGUCUUCAAAUCAUUAAGGCUUUAUUGACGUCAUAAGGUAUAAUGAUAAUUUCACCUACGCUUCAAAAGCGUAAUUUGGACAAUAUUCCGUUAGUUUUCUUAACGGUUUAAAGACGAUAGUGGAUAAGUGUAAAAAAAUAUAAAUUUAAGUGGAGCACAGUAAAAAAAAUUAAAAAUUAUAUAUUUUUAAAAAAGUACGAAAAAAAAGGUAGACGGUAAAUAAUUACCGUUAAUCCAUUCAUCGAACUCCUUGUUUAUCUAACAAUAAGGUUAGGUGGCAAAGUAUCAUUUUUCACCUCAUGGGUCAUGAAAUUGGAAAUCGGCAUGUCUUUACCACGAUUAAGAUUUCUUUUUUUUUUUUAAUCUAGUUAUCACAUCAUGCGUUUAAAUUUUAUUUGGAGUUGUUAUAAUAUAAUCGAUAGAAAUCUUUAACGUGAGAAAGCAGCAGCAUUACCUUGACGUGCGGUUACUGCUGGCAGUGUGAUUGUUAAUAAUGAAGUAUUUAAUGAGAGCAGGUGGCGUGGAUUUUUUAUGGUGUGGAAUUUUCUAGACUUUAUUUGCACUCUUAGAUCAUGCUUAGAUGAAUUGUGGGGUUGCAUUAAAUUUUGAGAUUAAUAAAAUAAUUUAAUUUAAGGUAUGUUUGGUUGUCAUGAAUUAAUAGGAUAAAUAAAAAUUAAUUCAUAACAAUUGGGAUUAUUAGUAUUUAUAUUUAUAUAGGUUUAGGUGAGAUAAAAUUAAAUGAAGAAUUUGUGUCCUCUUUAUCACUAUUUUAUUUUUCAUUUAACCCAAUAUUUUAAUAAAAAUUAAAUAUAGAAGUUAAUUUCAUAAUUUUUUAACCUAUAAUUUUGUUUUAUAUAGAAUAUCAAAAUUUUAUUCAUUAAUUUAAUUAAACUAAUAUUGAAUUUUAAACAUAAAAUAAUAAACUAUUUCUUUGUAGUAGCAUUGAAUAUUAAAUAUUAAAGUCAACAAUUAUCAAUAUAAUUUAAAAAUAUUAUAUUAUUUAAAUAAUUAUUUAAAUUUAUUAAAUUAAAUUAAUAUAGUCCUUUUCAAUAUUGUCCAAUUUAAUUUUAAAAGUUAAUUCAAUCAAAUCAUAUCUUCCAAAUGUAACCUUAAGUUAUUAAGGUCUGGGUUUAGUGGGGCAAUAGGGGGACACCUGUUCAAGACUCAAUCGAUGCUCUCCUACACAAAUUAAUAGAAGGUGUAUGUAUCUCUCUAAAUAUUUUUGGAAGUAUAUAUAACUCCUCGGUAGAUCUCAAAUUACACUAUAUAAGCGUAUAAACUUAAGCUAAUAAUAGAUAAUAGGUUGUAAGAUGUAACAAUUUUUUUUUUUAAUAAAAAAAGCCUUCCUGUUACUUGGACUGUCCGUGCACUGUUGCACGGUCGACAUAAUUGGUCUAUCAUUUUUAUUUGUGUUUAUAAAAAGUUGCAUGAAUAUGAGGCUUUUCAAUAUCAACUCUUAAAAUUAAAAACUCUGAUCGGUCUGGUACUUAUAUUGGCGGCUUUGGGAAUAAUUGGGACGUCUUCGGGCAGCUUUUUUUUUGAGGUGAUAUGCCAUGUUGCUAGUUAUUGAAAAUGCCAUUGCUAGAGGUUGGAAUUAUUCAUGGCAUGAGGUUAUGCUUCAAUUCUCGUUGUUACUUAUUUUGUAAUCUCGAGAAUUGGAUUUAAUUAACUACUGCAUCGUGUGGUGAAUUUCAUGCACUUCAAGAUCAUUCCUACUUUUCGAGGAGAGACCAAUGUUGUUGCUAAUCGAUUAGCUAAUCUCAAGUGUCAAUUGCAGCUCGCUAACUUGGUCGGUUAGAUAUUUCAUCAUCAGAUAUUAUUAGUCUUCUUUAAGAAAGAUGCUAAUGGAUUUUACUAUUAAUUAAUUUUUUUUAAUUUAUUAACUUGCCUAUUAGAAUGGGUUUUUGUUGCUCUCAUUUGGGUGGUGGAGUGGAUUUUAAAUAGUUUUUUUUAAUAUAUACUGAAAUUUUAGGGGAGGUAAGACGCAAAAAAAAAUGAAUUUGCACUUUACCCAUCCGCUUAUGUUAAAAAGAAAAAGAAAGAAAGAAUAGACUUUUUGUUUCGUGGAUGCAAUUUAACUGAAAUGGUAAAAUCUCUCCUAUUACAAAUAAGUGAUUUGGGGUUGGAACCUCCCACACGAAUGGGGAAGAAAUCUUUUUGACAUUAGACUAAACAAUAACUAUUAAAAAAAAAGUUUUUCGAUUUAUUUGAGUUGUCUUUUGAAAUAAUUAUUGUUAGUUGGUUGUAUAAAUAAUUAGAUAUGAAGAGAAAAUGUUUAAUAUUUAAUAAAAUUUAUUAUUAAAAGUGCCUGAAUUUUAAAAGCAGUUAGACAUAUUUGGUAAAUCUUACUGUAAAAUUGUUGUAAGAAUAUAAAUAACUGAAUUAAACAUAAUAUUGAAGCAAUCUUAUUUAGAUAUUUAUAAAUAUGUAUAUAAAAUAUUUUUUUAUUGUGUAAAUAUAAGAAUUAAUAACUAAAAUAAAUAUUUUAUUUUUUAUUUUUGUUAUCUUAAUAUAAUGAGUAGUAAUAAUAAUAAUUUCUUUAAAGUUAAUAAUUUUAUUUCUUAAAUAAUAAGGAUAAGUUUAAAUGUUUAUAAUAUAUAUGAUGAUAUAAAUGAAAUUAUAUCGAGUAUAAAAUUUAUUCACAAAAUCAAAUUUUAAAAAAUUACUGAUUUCUUACGUUUUUAAAAUCUAUUGUAAAAUAAAAUAAUUUUAAAAAAUUCAUCGAACAUUAAAAAUAAUUUUUAAUUUUUUAAAAUUACUUUAAGUAUUUAGAAUAGUCCAACGGGGGCCUGCCCCACUAUUAAAGCUUCCGUCAACUACUGUGAUCCAUCUGAAUUAGAAAAAUAUAUCAGAUAAGAUAUUUUAGUAUUUUUUUAAUAGAAUGAUUACUCCGUUAUUAUCCACGUCUUUGUACUUGUCAUUUGCUGCUCCCACAGCCGCCUCAAGGCAGCUGCCAUAAAUUGACCGCCAUCUUUCUUUUUUCUGGUCAACAAGUCAAAAUCUUAUAUUAAUGCAUUAAAGACUUACAAACAUUGUCCAUUAUAAUUGAUUAAGCAGCUCUAUUAUAGUUUAGUUUUUUACGUGAUUAUACCUGUUUUCCUAUUUAUUACUAACAAUUAUUAUAAUAAUAAUUUUUUUAACAAAUUUUUAUUUGACAUCUAACAAUACAAAAAAGCCUAAAUUAAAAUUUUCUCUGAAGGCCAUAAAAGCUCUUGAGCUGGCCCUGACUUCGAUUCAUCCCAUUCCAUCUUUAGCUUAUUUUAUUAUGAUCUAAAAUGAAUGCAAAUAUAUCGGAAACAGAUCAACAAUUAUUGGAUAGGCAUGUCCGUGAAUUAACAGUAUAUUUAUUUCCUAAAAUGAGAAUGAGAAUGUGCUGGAAUGUUAUUGAUGUAUUUAUGUGAGAGAGAGUGGUUAAGAUGUUAGUGGAGAUUGUGGUGGUGAAUUGUUGAAUUUAGGAGAUGGAAUAAGAAUUAUAAAUCUAUAUAGAUUGUGGUGACUUUUUUACAAAGAUAAAUAAAUAAAUAAAGGAUGCAAAGAACCCAGAGAAUAAAGAAAAAAAAAACAAAGGAAGAAGAACAGAAGAGAGAAGGACGAAAAAGAAUUGCAGAAGGAGAUUCAGUUUGGAGAUGGUAAAAGAGGGAGAUAAGAGAUAAGGAUGAUGUGUGACCUGUCAGAUUUGUGUUUAUUGUUUUAUAAUUUAUUUUACCAUUUAUUUUAUAAAACAAGCAAAAUAUGUACAAGUUGUUUUGUAAUUCAUCACUCAAUCUAUUUGAAAAGUUUAGAAUUUAUUAGUUUAAUAUAUAUUUAAUGAAAAAUUAUGAUAUUUUUUAUAUUUAUAUUAAAAAUGAUGUAAAAAAUUUUAAAAUUUAAUACUUCUAUAAUUAAUUUUUUUUAAGUACUAAGAAAUAUUGUUUUGAAAUAUAUAAUGUAAAUUAAUCACCAAAAAAAUUAAUAUAUAAUGAAAUAUAUAGCUCCAAACAUGAUAUAAUUAAAAAUUAAUACAGUAUAAUGUAAUACCAAACGUUGUACAGUAUUAUUAUAAUUCAAUACUAAUACAAUACAGAAUAAUAUAAUACAACUGUAUUAAAAUAAUAUAAUACAGUAUAAUACAAUACAGUGUACUAAACACACCCUUAAGACAUUUCUGCAACAGAAUAAUAUUACAGCAUCGAAUGGAUUCUCUCAUGCUCAGUUCUCACAUGCUUCCUGGUAAUAUGUUUCACACUAGGACAGCCAGUAAGGGCCAUGGUCAACUCAAACUCAUCCUUCAGCAUUUCGAUGACGCGUCUCACCCCAUAUUCCCCUUUUGCAGCAAGGCCGUAGACUACAGGCCUUCCAAUCUGGAGUAACAUAUGACAUACAUUUGUUUAGUAAUCAAAUAAGGACCCGAACAAAAGUAGUACUGCAGCUGAAAUAAAUUUCUAUGUUACCUUUGUGUCCCUGGAAUCAACUGUUAACAAAAGAGAAAAGAAAGGUGGCUCCAGAGUCUCACCACUGAAAUUCAAAAACUUAAGGGUGAAGUUGUGAAAAGCUUACAAGUACAGCUUGUGCACCGAGGGCCAAUGCCUUGAAAACAUCUGUUCCUCGCCGCACUCCUCCAUCCAUAAGAAUUGGAACUCUUCCUUUAACGGCAUGAACCACCUGCAAGCUCAGGGUUCACAAGUAUAAAAUGUAUUGGUUACGAUUUCCUUGGUAAAAUCUAUUGUGUAACCCAAAGUUGUCAGUGGACACAUAUCUUAUUCCAAAAUGCUGGUCAUUUCUACAUCGAGCUAGUUAGAUCGAAAAAUGUAUUGUUACAAGAUCUCCAUCAUUAAUACAUGAAACGGCAAGUUCCAUUGUCUACACGUCAGAAAACUAGCAAAAACUACAUGCAUUAGCAUUGUUAUGAGCACCCGAUAGAUUUGCGUCUCCUGUUUCCUAAUUCAUUUGCCUUAAAUUAAAACUCAGAAUAUUAAUUAGGAGAAUUAUGUAAUCCUUAAUAAUAUGAUAUUUCUCAACCUUUCAAGUUAAAUUCAAUGGCAGCAGCAAUGUUGUCAGUUUGGAUUCCCUUUUACAGUCUUAAAAAAAUUUUAGAAUGCAUUCUACUAAUCAAACAUUAAUCAAAAUAAACUGACACAUAUUUGUAAUCAAUUCAAUUCUCACAAUUAUUUACGUACUUGUAAAAGUGAAGUAAGUUUAGAUCUAUAUACAAAUCUAGAUCAUAUUGUCUGCAGUUUAGAAUGCUAAAAGUGGUGUGAAAUUUAUAGUCACCUCUUCCAGAGCAGAAAUAGUGGCAGGACUAUAAUCUAACUGUCGAGCUCCGUGAUUGGAGACAAUAAUCCCAGCAACACCUACUUCCACAGCUUUUAUUGCUGAAAAUUUUAGAAACCAAGCAAUUAACAAAUCUUCAAUUAGGAACUCACAAAAAAAAUGAAAAUAUUUCUGAUGAAAUUCAUAAAAGAGAUAGAUAGUGACGUGAGGAGAGGAUAUUUAACAAUAAUAUUUUCAUUUGGAUGAUUGGCAUCUCCAAUUGUACAAACUUUAAUUCUAAGUCUCUAAUCCCACUACCGAAUCACUGCAUAAAUGAACCUCUGGCUUAGAGACUCACAGUGUAUAAAUGGAAAAGAAUCCUCUUUUAGUCUAAGGCUACAUGGAAAACAAAACAAAGCGAUACUCAUAUCAUCAGAUGGAGCUUUGAUCUUACCAUCUUCACGAGUAAGUAUCCCCUUGAUCAAAAUUGGUAAGUUUGUAAUAGAUCUUAGCCAUUCUAAAUCCUGCAGAAGCAUAUGAUAUUCUUCAGACUCAAAACUUUACAGAGAGUAUUGACAUCAAUAGCCAACUCAAAACUUUGCAGAAGCAUUUGUUCUAAGUAGCUGAAUAAUAUACACUUAUUUUUUCUUGAUAUAUUUUCCGAGCAAGGGAAAGAAACAGCCAGGACAGAUUUUUUCUUGAUUUACAAAAGGUGAAAGACUUCACUUAUCUCUACCUUCCAACUUAAAGAAGCAUCCAUGGUCUCAUUGGCAUCAGCUUCAAAAUUCGAACCUGUAUCCUGUAAAAAGUGUAAUCCAUUAAGUUAAAGUAAAGGAUUAUAGAUAUAGUCUAUGAGUUUAAACAAGCAGUAAAAGUAAAUGCCGGCUGAGAACCAGAAAUAUCAAAAAAUAAAUAAGUGAAACUGUAACACUCACAGAGCUGACUUUGGUUGAUAAGAGGCCUUCCAAAUUCUUCAACGGCGGUGUAAUCAUUCUGCAGAUGUUGUUGAGUGAGAUUCAAAAGACAAUGUUUACUGUACCCAAAUAAAAGGUAAAGGGCACUACAUAUUUCUUUUGAUGUCACAAUACAAACAUUUGUGUCAUAUCACUAUCCUAAAAGGUUUUUUUAACCAAAGUUUCAAUUCAAUUAUAUGUGGUAGUACUUGGAAUAUAUAGAACCAAAGAUAAAAAAGAUGAUAAUUCACUUGUUCUUUAUAUCUGCCUCCCUUCUACCAAGUCUUGGAGUAUCAACAGUUAGGACAAGAGCCUUAAAACCAUUCCUUUCAGCUCUCUGCACUAGAGUAGCUGUUAUAUCUCGUUUCUUGAAUACCUAUUCACAAAAAGGACGCCAUAGUGUGGUUCAAACCCUUUAAGUAACAUUAUAAGAAAGAAGAAAAUAGUUGUUGCUCAAAAAAAUGAGCAGUUUCCUAAUAAGAAUAGGAGGGGAAAAUAAAAAAUAAAAAAGGAAAAAGAAAAAAGAAAGAGCCCAAGACAAGCCAACUACAUAUAAUUGAUAGAAGCGAACAGCAUUGGAGCUGGCCGCAACCUCCUCUAUGGUGCUGCUAGAUGUGAAGGAUAAAACCAUUAUGGUGUUACAUGAAGCUGCUGCUCUGGCUGUGGCUACCUCUCCUGGAAUAUAUACAAACACUUAAUGUUAGAAUUUGAACAAAAUCUUAAUGAUGUACAUCUUGAAAAAGGAAUAAGACCUUCAGGGUUUGCAAGCUUAUGCAAAGCCGUUGGAGCAAUGAUAAUGGGAGCCGAGAUUUUGUAAUCAAGUAUAGUAGUCGAUAAAUCUAUUCUGCUGACAUCGACAAGAAUUCUUGGCCGAAACCUGAGAGAUAUAAUAAAAGUCCAUUUGAAAGUUCUGAAUCUAGUUCUAAGAUUACUCAUUGAAACUCAUUUGUCUUACGUAAUUCUAUGAAAGGCUUCCACAUUCUCUUUUAGGGUAUGUUCAUCUUCUGCUCCACCAGCGUAGAAAUCAUAAUACAUUUUUGGAAGGGCCAGCCUUGCCAAUUCUUGGAACUCAUUCAAAUUAACAGGUUCAGCUGCCAUUUGAAACCUGCAAACGUUGACAUUAAUAAACUUUUCAAGUAAAUCAAUCCCAGAUGCUACAUACUGCAUGCAUAAAUCAGAAUAAUUCAUUUCAAGAAACUUAAAGCAGCAUUUGGAUAUAGCAAGAAAAUCCUGUAAUAGGUGACACUUCUCUACGGAAGUGAAUAAAUCAUAGCCAACAUUGCAUAGCCCCCCCCCCCCCCCCCCUCCCCAAAACAAAAAAAGAAAAAGAAAAACGGUUCUCAGGAUCAUUCUAUAACACACAACACUUGUUUAAAAUUAUAACGGAAAUAUUGUUUUCUUUCUGUAAAUUUUCAGUGUACGGUGUUCUCGUCAUACCGUCAAGAAAUAUACCGUAUACAAUAAAGUAACAUUUAAGCGCUUUCUUAUCUGUCAAUGAUCCAUUAUACAUGUAAUUUCUAAGAUACAUACAGACAUACAUACACACUAGCACAUGAUAACAGCUAAAUAAUGCUUCACAUCUAUCAAAAUUGUUAGGAAAUUGAGUUUCCUCCCAAGAUCUCUCCAAGUAAUUUAUUAAGUAACAAAUUAAUAAGAAAAAUUAAAUGUAGAAUAUACCAAUCAUACAACACAAGAUUUACGUGGAAAACUCUAAAUCCAGAGAAAAAUCACGGCUGUUGUCGAAAAGACAAUCAGAGAAAAAAUAUUCACUAUGUAAAAAAUUAUUAUAACCACUCUCUCAGAAAUAAUUUUCUCUCACCUAAUUCCUAAAUACACCCCAAAAAAACAAUCUCUGAAUGAAGAAGAGAAACCGAGGAUUGGAUUUAAAAAUUAAAGAUGGGAGCUUCCUUUAUAUAGCCAAAAUUGACUAUUAUUAUAAUAUUUUCUUUAUUCUUCUCGUGGCUUCUUCAAAACCUUUUUCUUUCUUCCAUUUUGGCGUUCCAACUUUUGCAACAUCUUCUUCAUUCUUCUUUCUUUUUCUUCCUUGGCGCCUAACCCUUCAACAUUUGCUGCAUCAACGCUUCUAGAUGUAGCUUCUAGAAGCUGCAGCCAAAUGCUUUUACAAAAAUCAGUAAGAUCACGAUGAUCCAAUAUAGCAUUUCACGUACUUAAGCUCACAGGCAAGUUCAUCAUGAUCAAAACAUGCUUACGAAUCACGACAUCAGAAAAAUUUAAAAAAAAAAAUUCCUGAAAGAGAGAGAAUAAAGAUACCAAUUCGAAUAACUAUUAAUCAAACUUAAACAAUAGAAUUUUGUAAAGAAAUGAACCCGAAUGACCAAAAAUUUCAACUGAUGAAGGUCGAUCGUGAAGCAGAUUACAACAGUGAGUCGGGGGCAGAGUCAAAGUCAAGAAGCAUAUAAAGGAUUAGUAUUACUUAUUUGUCAUUUGACGUGUUUCCUACAAUUAUAGUCUUAUCAACUUCUAUCAUUUUUCAGAAUUUUGUUGUUUUCUUGGGCUUGCACGGUGGAUACAGCUCUGUAUAUUCCUUACGUUUUUAUUAUUUUUACUUCCUCUUCUUGGAUUGUACCAUCACUUGCCUUCUCUCAAUAUAUAUACGGACAAAAAUAAAAUGAAGUGAGAAUCAAGAUUAAUUUUAGUUACCAUAAAUAAAGCGUUUGAUUUUAAAUAUUUUUAUUUUACAAAAUUUAGAAAUUUAACAAAAAAUCUUUAUAUUCUUUUGUUGAAACAGGCAGUCAUGUUCACAAGAAAACUGACUGCCAUUGGGCUUACUGUCUAGAGUCCAGACAGUAAGAACUGGGCCUGCUGUAGGAUGGCCCAAAUAGAACAAAACGCAUACAAUGAGCAAAAAUCAAAGCAUUCAACAUUGUAACCGAUCUAUAUGUUUUUGCAUAUUCAGUUUCCACGCCUUUCAAACUGUCUAGGCAGCCCGUCAUACCACCUGUACUCGCGUCUUUGAUCACCAUUGUCUCUCUGUUCAUGCAAGAAUUUGCAGUUGUCUCCAAAAUAGCAUCUUCCCUUAGGAUAAUAUGGGCAGAGCUGUUGUUUCAUGCAGCUUUGCUCCUGAGGUGGACAUGUUGGAGGAUGAUGGUUAAUGCUUUUCAAUCGCUGUCUAUUGAUUGGAGCCUCCCUAAUGCUGCUGAGCUUAACAAUAGGAUCCUGAGGAACCUGUGUCUGGCAAUUAUUCUGCAUUACUGCCAAUUCCUGCUCUAGCAAUUGUGAAAGCAGCUUUGCUGCUUUUUUGGAAUCAGCAGAAAGCUGAGGUUGAGCUGCCACCUUCCUAUGAUCGACUGAUAAGCUUGGUUUUUGAGGUUGAACUGAUAGCUGCUGAGGUCCAUUCUUCAUUUGAUUAGAGUCCAUAUUUAAGGCUAGCUGUUGUUGAGACAGAAUCUCCACUUUUUCUGUUGCAAUUAAAUUCAUUUGAGACUGGCAACUUUUUGGAACCUGAUUUAUGGACAUCCUGAAGAACAAACAACAUAAGCAUGUAAAUCUUAAAAUAACAUGAUUUAUGGACAUCUGAAAAUAACAUGGUUGAGUUUCUUCAUUUUUAUAUGAAAUUAUACCUAUUUGCUUUCAGCAAUUUCCUCUUUUCCUUUCCAUGGAUCCGUAUUUCUCUAUUAGACCUUGCAAUAAAACCCCUUGAGUGCUUCUCCAUCAAAACCUUGUGUCUCUCCCCUUCGUCUUCCCAUCUCUGACAGCAACAAUAUGGGCAAAGCUGGGUUAAUAUUUAAGAAUCCACAGAUAAUAGGAAGAAGAAACUUCAGCUCUGUGCAAACCUGUCUCAAGGUCUGGAGACGAUAAAGGUUUCGACCUUUAAUUAGGAGAGGACGAAGUGGAGGGAGUGGCUUCUCCCCUUUGCUCCAAAGUACCUCUAUCUGAAAGAUUAGCCAAAAACAGCACUUUAAUCACAAUAAUUAUUUUGACGGAAUUUAAAAUACAGCAUCUGCCUGUUCAAAAUUUACUCCUAGAAAAUUUAUCUCAAUUGUAGGUGAACCAACUAGAGAAAUUCCAUCCAUCAAAUUUGCUUGAAAUGAUCAUACCGCAAAAUCAAGAAAUAUCAUUACCCUAAUGCAUAAACCCAGAUAACUGAACAGAUUUAAGACAUGACAGGGCAAGAAUAGUCAUAGAUUUUCUAUGAUUAAUGGCUUUCCAAUAAACUCCCAAAGUCCAAAUUAUAUAGGGCUUAUGACUCACUGUAAAUGUAUGUUGUUGCUUGGCUGCUCCAUAGCUUUCUUUCACAAUGCGGCCAGCAACAAUCCUUUUGCCAAAUGGGGGACCACUUGCACUACAAGCUGCUAUGUUAAACCUAAUUAAUGAUGUAGAAAUAAGGUAAGAACAAAACACUCAACGGUUGCAAACAACUUUGAGAAAAGAGCACAGCGAUACUAGCAAAUCCAAAGUAUUUGUUGUCAUUGUUACAUUUGUAAAUCAAAUAAUGUAUUGACAGAAUUAGUAUUCUUUGGCAGAUAUUGGAGGUUAAAUGCCAGUUUCAUUGAACUUGUAUUUUCGGCACAUAAACAUAGAGUCAUAGACCAAUAGCUUACAUUUUGUAAACAUUCUGUUCAAACAUAACAACGUCACCUGUGCAAGCGUCACCUGCAUUCAGUACGUAUCAGGGUAAUGAGUACAAACACAAAAUAAAAGUAGGGUUACUAGAACUACACUAUACUAGUAUCAGGGAGGAAGGCUGGAAGAGGUGUGUGCAUUCUAAUGCAUUAUAAGCAAAUCAACCAAAGAGUGUUACAAUGAACUGACAUUUUUUUCAGACCCGUAAAUCUAGUAAAUUAAUGAAUCAAAUUUGUACCUUUACAGUCCAAAACAAAGCUAGAGAUUGGGUACCUUCUCUCUCCACCACCAUUUGAGAUUCUGAAAAGUAUCAAAAGAUUACAAAAAGGAAAAUCAAAGUGUUAUAGGUCUUAAGUGAAAUUAUUAGUUCACGAAAAAAGUUGAAAUUACUCUAGAUGCUCCUUUAUACGCUGAAUAAGUGUGGGUUUAUUGCCCGUCAAUCUCAAUCCAUUGUUCCUCAAAUAAACUUUACAUUGCUCCACUUUCAAUUUCUCUUGCUGCCCGGCUGCCACCACAAUUUGAAAGCAGCCAAAAACACUAAAAACCCAGUUAAGUGAUCAUUAAAGUUUGAAGAUUUAUAAUGCACGAACAAUGGAAUCCUGUCUAAACUAAUCAUGUAUUUGUCCAAAAUUCAAAUUUUUGUUAAAGCAAUAUCCUUACCCAUUACAAAAGUUCUGAUUUUAACUUGCAACAAAUAAAUAAAUAUACCUUCAAUGAUCUUCUGGAUUACUUUUUCUUCAAUUUCAUCAACACCCACAUCCAAAUCUUUGCCAAUACUAGACAUGAAAAAAUAAAUAAAAAAGAAAAGAAAAUCUAUUAUUAGAACAAGGCCAAGAUAAAAAGGGAAAAAAAAUUAUCUUUAUUUAAAUAUCGUUGAAAUAAAAAUCUAACCGAGACUUGGACUUUUUCCCAAUUGAGAGCUUUGAGAAGGUGGCAUGGGUGUCCUCAAGAGGGCUGUAACUCGGGUCUAAAUCCGAAUCAUAGCCCAGGUCGGACCCUCCACUGUCGGUGCUGUAUUCAUCAUCUCCUUCUUCGAUGAAUAUUACUUGCUCAGACUCAGGAGCUGCCAUUGAUUCGCUACUCUUUUGCUUUCUUCUGGUUUUUAAGGUAACAACUUGCUUUCGCUUUUUGAAAUCGAAUUGCCGGAAUGAAAGGAAAUUUUCGACCAAAAACAGAAGUAAAUAUGGCCGUUGAGGAUUUGAAAAUUUGAAGUUUGUGCAGAAUGGAUCAAUUAUAUAAUUAAAUCGUUUCGGCGGAUUGUUUUGAUUGAUUAGAUUUUUUUAUUAUUAUCUAAUUAACAAUGCUGCUUCGAUUAAAAAAAAAAUUGCGUUACAAGGUUUUCACAAGAAAAUAGAAAUAUUAAAAUAUUAAAAUAUCCUUUAUUGUAUUGUAAGUUUCUCACAAUUACUUCGACAUUACUAACUUCACUCGGGCACAGUUCGAAUGAGUCUGAGUGCACCUGGUGCCUAUGUUCAGUGGAGAAAUCGUUAGAAAUUUGGAUCUAAUAUUGAUUUCUCCGUCUUUAUCUUCUAAUAAUUUUUUAUCACACUGUAUUUAUAAUUUGAGUGUCUAAAUUAUAUAAUUGUAUUAGAGUUAUUCUUUAGUGUAAACUUGCUUAUCAAAAUAUGAAUAUUAACGUCGGUGUUGUAAAAAGAUUUUAUAAUAUUAUAUUAUCAAAAUCUAUUACAAUAUUUUAAAGCAUUAAGUGUAGAAUAUGUGGAUGUUCGCACCUAAAAAUUAUUUAAUUAUAACAUGCGUAAAAUUCUAUAUGAGUAAUUUAGAAAUUAUUCCACAAAAGUUGGAAGUUCAAUUUUCAACAGGAAAUGACUAGUUGUCUACUCAAGCACCAGUAUUUCAACAACGUAAUUACUUCUAUAAUUAUGCAUGAGCCAUCUUAAUUUCUGCUAUAUCAAUAUAAGAAAAUUUGUUUACAGUAAUGUCAAUGGGGAUUGCUAAAAACGUGUCAUCAAGAAUAUGACUGAAGAUAAGCUCAAUUAAUUAAUAUACAGUCUGUGGCUCUCAAUAAUACAAUAAUGAACUUACUUCAGCUUUAAUGAUUAUUACCAUUAUCUAUGUGAGCUCUACUCUGAUCAUAUCAUUUCAUCUGGUGAUCAUUUGGAGGCACCUCUCUCUCUCUCUCUCUCCCCCCCCGACAUAUUUGCUUUUGUUUUGUUGUCGUUUUCUUAAAAUGGAAACUGCUUCUUUAGCAUCUCCUCUUUGUACAAACCCUGCAGCUAAUUAUCGAAAUGACCAUGCUUUAAAGUCCUCUGUUGAAAUCUCCGAAGAGACACAAGAAACUCACAUGAAGAUGCAACAUUGGGAGUACUUUCUGUAUUCGGAAUGGUUUUUCGAGUAAGGAAAUUUUAUCCCAUGCGGUCAUGUUAUUCUUCUCAUCAGCCCAAUUUCUUACUGGGAUUAUUUUGUUAUGCUUGUAGGAAAAACAAUGGCGGUGUCUGCUGCACAAUGUAAAAAGGAGCUCGUCAUAACAAAGAAAAAAGAAACUGGAGAAAGGAGAAUUGUUGUGACUGGGUUAGGUGCUGUAACACCACUUGGUGACGAUGCACAUUUGUUUCACACCAGCCUUCUUGAAGGGGUUACUGGGAUAAGUGAUAUACAGGGCUUUGAUUGUUCAGAAUUUCCCACUGUAUGUCUAAAUCUUGUGUAAAUUUCAUUAUCAUAACUGAGUUUGUGUACAAAGCUAUUGGAUGAUGCUAUUCUCAAAUCUUUAACAGAGAAUUGCUGCAGAAAUCAAAUCUCUCUCAAUAGAUGGCUGGAUCUCACCAAAAAUUGCGAAGAAAGCAGACAAAUACUUGAUUUAUGCUCUCGUCGCUGGCAAAAAAGCCUUGGUAGAUGCUGGAAUUACUGAACAAGUUAGCGGAGAGUUGGAUAAAAGUAGAUGUGGGGUUAUAAUUGGGUCUGCCAUGGGAGGCUUGCGUGUAAGUGAGCUUUGAGCUUUGAAAACAAAAGUUAGUUAGGAGUGGCAAGUAUUAUGGCUUGCUUAUAAACAAGAGCAUGUAGCCUUACUCGCAUGUUGUAAUGAUUUUCUGGCUUUUGAAUAGGUUCUUAAUGAUGGAUUUGAAGCAAUAAAAGUUUCGUAUAAGAAGAUGAGUCCCUUUUACAUACCUUAUUCAUUAACCAAUAUGGCUUCAGCUGUCUUAGCAAUGGAUUUGGUAAGCUCAUAAGAUAGCUUUGUGGCCUGUUGAAAAAAAAAAACAUUUAUGCAAUCUUAAACUGAUUUGAAAUUGACAUGCUUCCAAUUAUGUGCAGGGAUGGGCAGGUCCAAGUUAUUCAAUCAAUACAGCUUGUGCAUCGAGCAACUACAGCAUACUUAAUGCAGCUAGUCACAUAAUCAAAGGUGACACUGUAAGCAACUCGCCUUCAUCUCAAGCUGUCAUUACUUAAAGCUAAGAACAUCAAUUAGGAUGUUACAUUGGAGAAGUCUUAGUUAUAAGAUACAACAUGAUACAUAUUUGUUGCAAAAUAUGCAGGACAUUAUGCUCUAUGGUGGUUCAGAUGGGAUGAUUAUUCCAUCAGGUACAGUUAACAUAGCCAUUGCAUUUUGGAGUAGUUUUGUUUUACUGAUUAUUUAUUGGAAUCUCAGGCAUAGCCGGUCUUAUCGCAUGCAAUGCUCUUUCGCAAAGAAAUAGUGAUCCAACCAAAGCUGCACGCCCAUGGGACGCUGUAAUCGUUUCAACUCUUCCCUCUCUUCUUGUUGAAUAACUUUCUAUUAUAAUAAGGAAUAAAUGAUUUGGCAAUACAUAUUUUGAUUACACAACGAGCAGGAUCGCGAUGGAUUUGUUAUGGGAGAAGGAGCUGGGGUUUUGCUUUUAGAAGAGCUGGAACAUGCUAAGGUUAAUUACUAGCAGAAUCAUCACUUUUUACGAUUAACUAUAGGGCAUUAUUUCCCACUCACGCACUCAUGUAUUUACACUCAAAUAAUUCGACAGAAAAGAGGGACAAAUAUUUAUGCAGAGAUUCUGGAUGGAAGCUUAACUUGUGAUGCUUAUCACAUAACUGCGCCUCAUCCUGAGGGUUAGUACAUAGGCUUUCUAAAAUUCCCACUAUCCACAUCUAUUUGAGUUUAUUUCUGCUGGAGCAAUAUACAUAUGUUUUUGAAAUCAGGGGUGGGUAUGGUAUCUUGCAUGGAGAAGGCUUUAGCUAAAUCUGGGGUUGCCAAAGAAGAUGUGAACUACAUUAAUGCACAUGCUCCAUCAACUAGACUAGGUGAUCUGAGAGAAUAUCAAGCUGUAAUCCGUUGUUUUUGAAAGAAUCCUGAGGUAAAAAUUGAAGCACAUUGCCACUUAAAUUUAGUUAAUUAUUAUAUACUUAGAUGCUAUUAAAGCUAGCAAAACGGAUCAUUGGAUUGUGUUCAUGUUAUAUAAGUUUUGUGUCGUGUUCAAUUUAGGUUAACUCAACCACAAUCUAUUUAAUAAUCGUGUCAAAAUAUUGAGACCGUAACCUGAUAUAGAAAUUAAAUAUAUUAUUAAGAGCUCAGUCAAUAUCUAUAUAUCUAUUUAACAAAAUUUACAUCAAACAUUUACAUACUGUCGUGUGUGUGUAUACAUAUCUACCAAAAUAUUACAUAUUUAUAGUAUUGAAGUUCAAAAUCUUUAUAAAAUUUUAUAAAUGAAGCAAUGUGUAUCUGUUCAUCAUUCUAAAAAAUAAAAAUAAAAAUAAAAAGAGAAUCAUGUUUAAAAUUUGAAUUUUGAUAAUAAGAAUCUACAAAUUAAUUAAGAAUAGAAAAUAUAAUUGUGUCAUUGAUUGAGUAAAUGAGUCAAGAAUUUUAACCCUAAUUUGACAAGGAAAAAAAUUGUAUCGACCCGAAUGCAACCCAUUUGAUAACCGUGUCAAAUUUGAUGACUGAUACCUAUUUAUUUGUGUCGUGUUCGUGUCGGAUAAUCGGAUCGUGUCAAAUUUUCCCAUAUUAUGCUUCAUUUGAUUCCAACAUUUUGCAGCUAAGAAUGAACUCUACAAAAUCCUUGAUUGGCCAUCUACUUGGAGCUUCAGGUGCUGCGGAAGCUGUUGCCACAAUCAAGGUGAAUAGCUUCUGUUUUCUCUGCAUCCAUGGUGUGAUUGCAUAGAUCACUCGAAUAUUAGAAAAUGAGCAUACUCAUUCUAGAGUGCUGGCCACAAUAAUUGAAACCUUACGGAUUGACAGAAGGUAUAUUUACAAUAUGAAGGCGCUAUUGGUACAAUAUCCUCCACUAUAUGUUGAAAACUUAAUAUAGCUUUUAAUUAUAGUUUAACUUUAUUUGGUUGCUCACUCCAAGUUUUACAUAAUACAAUAUCACUGUUGGGUCAGAAAUGAAAACUUAGGGGCAGAUCAGAAAAAAUUUGAAAACAUGAGGCUUUUCAAUAAAAGUCGGGUUGGGAGUGUUAUGCGGUAGUCAUUCUCGCGAGAGAAUCGCGUAUAUGUUUCUUGUAAAAUGUCAUGGUUUUUAAUAGGAUAUAGAAAGAAGGUGGCCAACCCAAAAAAGAAAAAAAAUUUCUUGAAAAUCACUUAAGAAAGUGUUAGGUUUGGGGACAUAUCAUGUUUGUUUUUUGAAUAGGAUUUUUUCCUUUUUCUGCAGGCAAUACAAACUGGAUGGAUACAUCCAAACCUAAAUCUGGAAAAUCCUGACAAACAUGUGGUAUGCUUCUUGAAUUUAAAAUGGAAAUAUUUUCAAAAAAGGUUACUGCUUUUUCACAAGAUGUCUCUCCUGAUUCAGGACGCAAAAGUACUAGUUGGCCCCAAGAAGGAACGUUUGGACAUAAAAGUGGCGAUGUCCAAUUCAUUUGGCUUUGGUGGACACAAUUCAUCCAUCUUAUUCGCUCCUUUUAAAGGAAAUUGAUUAUGGCUAAAGAAAAAACCCUGACCACACGCGUGGGAUGUUAGUCAAUUUACAGCAAUUAAUUAACAUCCAAAUCCAAGUGCGUGCAUUGUGGAACUCUGCCAAGACGUAUAUUUUGUAUUGGCAUGACAUUUGGGUAUUGUUCUAAGACCACUCCGUUUGAUAUGUAUCAAUUAUUAUGAUGCCGCAGUUUAAAAAGACACGCAUGUUGAUCGAUCCUUGUGAGAUGAGAAAUAAAAGUUGAGAUUUUGAUGUCUCUAAAAUUUAACACACUUUUCAAACCAAAUGAUAUUUGUCUAUUAUCUUUCUAGUUUCAUCAUCCAACUGAACUGAACCAUAUAUUUGAUUUUAGAACGAGGUAAUCCAUACCAAAGGUAAUAAUAGUCAGAGGUGGCAUAGCCGUGAUGGUGAAAUUUUUGUCAUAAAAAAAUUUAGGAUAAAAUUUGGUAGACCAAAAACUAAUUUUUGGGUUAAAUUAUUAGCAUUCUUUCUUUAAUCUCAUUAAAUUCUUAUUUUGUUACAAUUACAUAUAAGGAUAAAUAUAAAUAAAAUUAAAACUACUUAUAUUUUUACUCUCUCACUUAAAUUUAUUUUAUUUGUGAAAUAUAUUAUGAUUUUUUCUCUCUUCUCAAUCUAUAUAAUUGAUUCUUGCACAAACUUAAAAUAUUUAUUUUUUAUAUUAAUUAUUUUAAUUUUUGGGAAGCUUUUUUUUUUUUGGUUUUAUUGAGAAAGAAAGUAUGAAUAGUAUAAUAGAGAUAUCAAGAUUUGAAUAGAACAAUACUGUAAAAGAAAUUUAAUUGUGAGAAAGUUACAGAAAAGUAAAAGUUUUACAAAUGAAAAGAGUCUUUUCUUGGAAAAAGAAAAGGAAAAAGUAUUUUUGACAUUAUGUGGAGGAUUUGUAGAGGUGGCCUCAGUUCAACUCUUAAUUUUCUCUCGGAAUAAAUUUCUCUUUACCAAAAUUUAAGCGAGAAAUUGGAAACUAUUAAUUAAGAAUAUAAAAAUUAUAAAUGAGUUAAUCUCAAUAUUAUCACUAUUUAAACAUGUGGCAUAACAUUUUAUUUGGGAUGUUUAAGCAUUAUUAUUAUUAUUAUUUGGGUGCUUUAUUAGCAUGGAUUUGUUGAUUUACGUGUGAACUAAUUAACUCAAAGUCGAAAGGACCAGACGUCUCAGCCUCUAAGACUUCAAUGCACAUGCCAACGUUAUUUCUCUGAUAUUUUCUGAUUGCUCGUUAGAGUCAUCAAUUCAUUAUCUACUAAGCUAUCAAGAACCUCCGGAGCUUCUGCUGCUUUUAUUUCAAUUCCAGUUAUCAAGCAGUUCAAGACACGUUUUGUUUUAAUUUCGUUCAAUGGCAGCUUCUUGUCUUCCUUGUACAUGGCUUCCUGCUUUCGAGCUCGACCAUGCUUUAGAGCCCCUUCUGUUGCGGUCUUCGAAGAGACGCAUGAAGCUCAUAUCGCCAUUAAGUUGCAACAACAGUAACAGUACUAGUUUUGGUAUUUGCAAUGGCUUUUUGAGUAAGCAAUAUUAUUAUAAUGAAUGGCCGCCCUCUUUGGCCUUCUAUGAAUGUAAGUGAGAUUGUAAUAUUUUAUGGUUUGAAAUUUAGAAAGAAAACGGUUAAUCAUUUUUAGAUAAAACGGCUAGCCGUUUUCGUCCAGAGAUUAGGUUUUGGAUUUUACAGAAAACGGCUUGCCGUUUUCUGAUAAAGCGGCUAACCGUUUUCGUCCAAAGAGCAUGUUUUCUGUUCUACAGAAAAUGACUAACCUUUUGGAGAAAACAGCUAACCAUUUAUUUCCAGAGAGCAACUUAUUUUGAUAUUUUGGAAUAAAACGACGAGCCAUUUUCUUCCAGAGAGUGUGUUUUCGCGUCAACUGAAAAAACGAUUAGCAGGCUUAAAAAUUUCAAUUGUGAAUGGAUGCAAAUUUCAAACUAAAAGAGUGUUUGAAAAAAUACCAUUUCUAAUGGUUGUAUUCUUUCAAAUAAACAUCUUCUUCAUUAAAAUAGAUACACACAUUAGAUUAAUAUCAGAUUUUUACAGAUUUCUUUUGUGUUCUUGGAAUACAAUCUUAUUUGCUAGAGAUUGUAUUCAGGAUUUAUUAUAUCUUGGGGGUAAUUUGCCAUUAAAACUCUAUAGCAAACCAAGAUUGGUGAGGGCAAAUAAAAUCUUAAAGGAAAGUGUGUAAACACGUCUCAAAUCCUAUCAAAUUCUCUUACUAUUAUUUGCCUCCAUAUUUGAAAAUCCACCAACAGUCUUUAAGGUUUUAAUGUUACAUGGAGGCUGAGAAGAAUUUGACUUCAUUUCUUAAUCCAAGUGUCCAUCUCGAUCGUUUUGAUGGCACUAAUUUUACUCACUGGAAGGGAAAAUUGUUCUUCCUUCUCACUGUUAUGAAAAUUGCACAUGUUCUUGAUCCAAAAUUGGAAUCAUUUCCAGAGCCAAAAGAAAAUGAUACCGAAGUUGUUAAAGUUGCAAGGAAAAAGCGUGAAGAUGAUGAAUUGAUGUGUCGGGAUCACAUACUCAAUACGCGUUCUGACAGGCUCUAUAAUCUUUACAAUUCCAUGACUUCUCCGGUGGAAAUUUGGAAGGCUCUUGAGUACAAAUAUAAAACGGAGAAGGAAUGUACUGAUAAAUUCCUUAUCUCUAAAUAUUUUGAAUUUAUUAUGGUAAACACAAAAUUCAUUCUUGAUCAAAUACAUGAGUUACAAAUUAUAGUUGUAAAGCUUCGAGAGUUAAAAGUUGAAAUUUCUGAAUCAUUUCAAGUUGGGGCUAUUAUUGCUAAAUUGCCUCAAAGUUGGAAUGAUUGUAAAAAGAAACUCCUUCAUAGUAAAGAGAACAUAACUUUAGAAGAAUUACAAAAACACUUGGUAAUCAAAGAAGAGACUAGGUCUCGCGAAUCCAAGGAUAAGAAUGAUUCUACUAAGGUUAAUGUUGUUGAAGCUAGUAAAUUUUCAAAGGAUUUCAAAGUCAAGAAUGACAAGAAAUUUAAGAAGUCCAACACAAAAAAAAAAUUUCUGGAAAUUGUUUCUUUUGUGGCAAGAAAGGCCAUCGCCAAAGUGAUUGCAGAUUCAAUAAGAAAAAUGAAGAAGUGAAUUCCCAUAAAGCUAAUGUUGUUGAAGACAAAUAUGAAGAGAUUUGUGCUAUGGUUUCUGAAAUGCAAAUUGGCAUGAUUACUGAAACCAAUAUGGCUGAAACUAAGUCCUACGAUUGGUGGCUUGAUUCGGGUGCAACCAUUCAUGUUUGUAAUGAUUAGAAAUUUUUCUUAUUGUACAAAGAAGAAACGGAAGGACAAAAGGUUUUCAUGAGGAACAAUGAUGCAGCCAUAAUAGCAAGGAAAUGAGUAGUUGAGAUUAAUUUUACUUCUGGAAAGAAAGUUACAUUGUAUAAUAUCUUUCAUGUACCUUCCGUUAGGAAGAAUCUUGUUUCUGCUAGUUGUAUGUGUAAGCAUGGGCUUAAGAUUGUGCUUGAGGGUAAUACUUGUAUUAUCUCAAAGAAUGGAAUAUUUGUUGGGAAAGGGUAUUCUUGUGAUGGAAUGUACAAACUCAACAUUAAUAAUAAUGAUAUCAAUUUAGCUUAUAUGUUGAGUCUUGUGAUUUUUGGCAUGCUAGAUUAGCACAUUUGAAUUUUAGAUCUUUGAAAUACAUGUCUAAGCAUGGUUUGAUUAAUUUCAAUGAUGUUAAAAGUCAUAAGUGUGAAAUCUGCAUCCAAGCUAAAUUAACUAAGAAACCUUUUUCCUAAAGCCGAACGAAAUACUCAAAUAUUGAAUUUAAUACAUACUGAUAUUUAUGAGUAUAAUGACAUUUUAAUAAGAGGAGGUAAGAGGUACUUUAUCACUUUUAUUGAUGAUUGUUCUAGAUACACUUAUGUGUAUUUACUUAGAACAAAAGAUGAAGCUUUUAAUAAAUUUAAAAUUUUCAAAGGUGAGUUGAGAACUAAAAAGAUAAGAAAAUCAAGAUGGUUCAAAGUGAUAGAGGUGGUGAAUAUUUCUCAAUUGAGUUUGAUAAUUAUUGUGAAGAAUUUGGAAUUAUUCACCAAAGAUUAGCUCCAUUUACUCCUCAACAAAAUGGUUUAGCUGAAAGGAAGAAUAUGAUCUUUACGAAUAUAAUUAAUUCCAUGAUCCUUAAUGCAAAACUACCAAACAAUUUGUAGGGCGAAGCAUUACUCACUGCAUGUCUUAUUCAUAAUAGAAUCACAUCUUUGAAAACACAUGUAUCUCCUUAUGAAAUUUGGAAAGGAAGAAAACUAAAUUUGAUGUAUUUAAGGGUCUGGGAUUGUUUAGCUUUUUAUAAAAUACAUGAUCCUAAAUCAUCAAAGUUAGGUGCUAAAGGUAUGAAAAGUGUUUUUGUAGGAUAUGCUGAAAAUUCCAAGGCUUGAUUGUUAAAUAUAGAUUCUAAUGUGAUUGUGAAAUCUAGAGAUGUUGAAUUUAUUGAAAAUAAAAUUUCAACAUGAUUCAAAUAUUGAAUUAGAAUCAAUCAUUAAUCAACCAUGUGAUAAUACACCUGGUACCUCCAUUAAUAAUAAUAAAAGGAAAGAGUAUAUGACAUCUUUCGAACUAAUGAGGAGUCAAUGUGAAAAGAAAUAAAAGAGUUUAGCUCUGGAUUUUAUUUCAUCACAAGCAUUACUCUUCUUAGUUGAAGAGGAUAGAAAUAAUGUACUUAACAAAGUACCAUUAUUGUUAAAUGUUGAAAAUGAUCCAAAGACAUUUAGCGAAGCUGUGUCUUCUAGAGACGCUUCCUUUUGGAGAGAGGCAGUAAAUGAUUAAAUGGAUUCGAUCAUAUCAAAUCAAACAUGGGUCUUGGUUGAUCUUCCUCCAGGAUCUAAACCAAUUAGCAGCAAAUGGGUGUUUAGAAGAAAGUACAAUAGUUAUGGUUCUUUGCAAACUUUUAAGGCUAGAUUAGUAGCCAAAGGGUUUAAGCAAAGAAAUAGUAUUGAUUAUUUCGAUAUAUAUGCUCCAGUGGCAAGGUUAACAUCUAUAAGAGUGCUAUUUGCAAUUGCUUCAUUGAACAAUUUGUAUAUGCAUCAAAUGGAUGUUAAAAUCGAUCUUCUUAAUGGUGAUCUUGAUGAAGAAAUUUAUGUGGAACAAACUUAGGGAUUUGUUUUGCCUGGAAAUGAGAAAAAGGUAUGCAAGUUAGUCAAGUCGCUUUAUGGUUUAAAGCAAGCACAAAAACAAUGGCAUGAGAAGUUUGAUUCGGUAAUUUUAUUUCAUAGUUUUAAGCAUAAUAAGGAUGAUAAAUGUAUAUAUUUUAAAUUUACGAAUGAUUUUGGUGUGAUUAUAUGCUUGUAUAUUGAUGACUUGCUUAUAUUGGGAACAAAUAUGCGAGUAAAUGAUACAAAGAAGUAUUUUACUUCACAAUUUAAGAUGAAAGAUCUUCGUGAAGUAGAUACUAUCUUAGGUGUCAAAGUGAAGAAAUAUAGUGGGGGUUACUCGUUGUGUCAAUUUCAUUAUAUAGAGAAAGUGUUUCUUAAAUUCAAUUAUUUGAAAUUUAAAGAAGCUAAUACCCAUUAUGAUUAUAGUAUUAAAUUACUAGAGAAUUCAGGCCGAGCAGUAGCACAACUAGAAUAUGCCAGUAAUGUUGGUAGCGUGAUGUAUGCUAUGUAUUGUACAAGGCCAGAUAUAGCCUUUGCAGUUUGUAAAAUGUCAAGAUUCACGAGCAACGCUAGUGUUGAACACUGGAAAGCAAUUAGUAGGAUACUUGGUUAUCUUACAAAGGACCAUUAAUUUGGGCUUAUUUUAUAGUGAUUAUCCUAAAGUACUGGAAGGAUAUUUAGAUGCUAAUCAGGUAACCAAUACAAGAGAUAAUAAAUCCACUUCUGGUUGGAUUUUUACAAUUGCUGGAAGAGCAAUUUCUUGGGCUUCAAAGAAACAAACAUGCAUAACUCACUCAACAAUGGAAAGUGAGUUUAUAACACUUGCAACUGCAGGCAAGGAAGCAGAAUGACUGAGAAAUUUGUUAUUUGAUAUAAUGUUGUGGCCACAACCGAUGCCAUUUAUUUUUUUGUACUAAGCUAGUGAAGCUACAUUGUCUAGAGCUUAUAAUAAAGUGUAUAAUGGAAAGUCUACAUAUAUUAGAUUGAAAACAACAAUUAAGAGAUAGAUUAAAGGCUGUAACAGAAGAUUAAAGAGAAGAUAUCAACAAGACUAAGCAAACUUUAGUUUUUCUUCUUCUUUUCUUGUUUUCUAGUUAAUUAUGGAAUAUAUUGAAUGGUUAUAACAAUUUUAUUUAUUGUUCUAUUACAAAUCAUGAAUUGAAUUGGAUUGUGGUUGAGUGAUAAACGAUUUUAAUAGAUAUUUGACUGACAUAUGUAUGUUACUCUGUAUUUGCUACAACAGUUUGUCUUAAUUGUCUUUAUUUUAAUUUCCUAUUUCAGCAGACCACCCAUUUAUUGGAUACUAGCUAGAAAUAGCCUAAAAAAAGUCUGACUUAGUCGAUUAAAUUAAGAUAAUACUUGGUUUUAGAUUGAGUUUCCUAAGUUGAGAAAAUCUCAAUUUGAAUAAGGUCAUACUUAAUAUAAAAUUAGUGAAGAACUAGACAUAAAGAUUAGGAAUACCAAAAGGUUAGGUCGGGCUCGGGCUUGGCCAAGCCCUACCCGACCCGAUAAAAAAAAAUAAAACCCGACCCUAAAAAAACCCAAAAAAUAUUUAGUUAAGGUCGGGCCUGGCCAGACCCGAAUUGGGUCAACAUCGGGUCGGGCCCAACCCAACCCUACCGAAAUAGUUAAUCCUCCCAUUUCCCACCACCAUUUCAACUAAUUCGGCAAUUCCUCAACCAUUUCAAACACAAUUCAAUUCCACUUUCCACAACCAUUUCAACCCCACACACAAUGUAAUUCUACAACCAUUUUAUUCAUAUACAAUUCAAUUUAACAACCCAACAUAAAAAAUAAAAAAUAAAAAAACUCAUGUCUUAUACAAAUAAAAACACACAAUUUAGUUCAACAACCCAACAGUAAAAAAAAAUGUUUUAUACAAAUAAAAAACUCAUGUCUUAUAAUUCAUAAAAACUUAUAAUUCAUAAAAACUCAUAAUUCAUAAAAACUCAUAAAAAUACACAAUUUGUUCGGGCCUUAAAAGUUUGACCCUAACCUUAAAAUUUCGAGUCAAAACCCUAAAAAUUAAGUUUGAGUCAAUCGGGGCAAAAAUAUGAUCGGGCUAAAUUGCCAAGCCUAAUAAGGAUUCACUAUGUAGGAUAAACGAAUUCAAGAACAUUUAAUGUUAUAUCUAAUAUUAGCAUAACAAUUAGUCAUUGUUAAGUUAUGUUAGGUAUAAGAUAUCUAACAGGCGAUAGCUGAAAAUGCAUAAGAGAUUCUACUCAGUGCUGUAAUAGAUGAUGUAGCAACGGUAUUGUAAUUGAAAAAAUAGUCAAAAUCAUCAAGUGGGUUUAUUAACUCAAUUACUCAUUUUCCAUUAAUUACAUCCUUGUGUUUAACGUGAAAAUUUUCUUCAUUGUAUUUUAUUUGUUUCCUUUUUAUUUUAAUUAGUUUGUUGAUUUUAUUAAUUGUCUUAUUUUAAAAUAGAACAAAACUACACUGUUAAGAUUAUUGUAGCAAAUCUGAUAACAUCAAUCCAUGUAGAGACGAUCUAAAUACUAAUUAGUAUAUUACUUAUUGUGUAUACUUGCACAUUGACACCUAUAGCAAGUCGCACGCCAAGGUUGUUUGACAAUGUUAAAGAUAUUCAACUCCAUAGUCAUAUUGCCAAAAAACAAUUACAUAUUUCCAGUCUUGCAUUAAAUAUGAGCAUCAUCAGUUGCCAAGAAAGGUCGGUCUAGGAUAAUAGGGUUGUGCUUUUUUGAAUCCUAUAUUAAUUAAGUGUCAAUCAUAAUCAAUGAGCACAUCCUCUAUAAUACCGCGAGAUAUUUUCAUGGAUCAAUUUGCAAGUUAUAACCCAACUGGAGUUAGAUGUAAUAUUCCCGGUCCAAGUUUCACAAGUCCAACAAAACAUUCUCAAAUGUGUGAUUUACUAUAUCACAUGAGAUAGUAGGACAACCUAGGUCUUUGUAUUUUAAAGAAAUUUUAUGUUAAAGUAUGAAGCUAAUGUUUUCUGUUAAAAAUGCCUUCUUUUGAACAUAAAUGUUUCUAAAACGAUCAAUAAGUACACAAAUGGACACAGGAAAUUAUCACAAUUUUGGACCGGAGUGAGGAAAGAUAACAACUCGAUUUCAAUUUUAGGUCCAAACACCCUCCAACUUUCCAAUAUAUUACAAUACAGUAAGGAAAUUACAAUAAAAGCAGUUGCUUUGACGAGGCAAUGCCAAAGGUGCUGAUUAUUCUUCACAGACAACAAUCACAAGACAUAAAACUUCAGUACUAUACUAAAAUAACAUCCUCACAAACUUUAGCACCAAUGAUCCCUUCAUGCCAUUUCAUCCAUGUGCAAUUUAUGACAGGUUGCAGCUACAAUACAAUGAUAAACAAAAUUACAUCAAAGAAAUAAUAAUAUCAGAAUUGAUGACAAAUUAUCUCAUUUUUCUGCAAAAUGACUGGAUUCUGUACCUACUGCCGACGCCAAAGAAAUGAACAGGAAUUUGUCAGUUACUCUCAAGAAGCAACUUGUGAUGCCUUGCACUGGAUUCCGUUUCACCCCAAUGCCUGUUUUUACCCUAUAAUAGAAAUACAACCAUUGAAUCAUGCUUACCGAAAGUUCAUACUUUCUCAGAAAAAGGGAAAGUAAACAUGAGAUUAUGUAACAAGUAGGUAGACAAGGAAAACUAUAAAAGUCACCUGUGGAGGAUUGAUUACAAUUUUGACAGUCUUGGCCAUGCUUCCUCUAACUUCAUAUUCGAAACUUUUUUUCAUAUCGGUUAGGGUUAGUUCCUUCAAGGUACUCAACUUUUCAAGUUCAAUAGGCUUCUUCAUUUUUUUGCAACAUCUAAUCUCUAAUUCUCUUAGUUCAGGCAUGGCUUCUUUACCAAUAGUCCACUCUCGCAACUCCUUCAGCACCCAUAACUUCAAUACACGGAGUUUUGGAAAUCCACCAUCGCCACAAGUCAUUUCUUCCCCCAUGAAAGAAUGAGCAAAAAGCCUGAGAAUGUUCAGUUCUUUUAGCUGUCCUAGCACUGGCAUUGGGUCUUCCGAUAGGUAUGACAAUGACAAAGUAAGGAUUCUGAGAUUUGGUGGAAGCUUGUCUAGUUUAAGUGGUUCUGGUAACUUUCCAAGCAAAUACAACUCAUUCAGUGCCCUGUGAUUAUUCAGGGGUCCAAUAACAAGGUCCGAGGGUUCACCAAAAUCAUUUAGUGAUCUCAACCUUAAAGACUCAAGACUUAUCAGGUCUUGAAUCCACUUAGCUAUCUGCCCAAGCGAUGCAAUAUGGCAGGUCAGACCCAAUUUCUUAAGACCCCUCAAGCUUUCCAACCAAUUCAAUGGAGGGCUCUUGUUGCCGAUUAAUAAGGACCACAAUGUCUGAAGGUUGGUUAAAGAAUAUUUGACAAAUGGCUUCUGAACUGACAUUUGCAAAUAAAUAUCAUUCAUAUAGAGAUGCCUAAGUGUCUUUACCUUCCAGAUUGACUUAGGCAAUGAGGUUAUAUUAGUGUGCUUCAAAUCUAAAGUCUCUAGGCAGGGAAGAUCACCUACUGACUCUGGAAUUGAAUCAAGAAAAGUCCACCUCAGACCAAAAUACCUCAGAAGCUGCAGCUUUCCUACUGUUUCUGGUAGCACUGGUUUGUAAACACCUUCAAGAUCAAGCACUCUGAGCAAUCUGUAGCCUCUUCUAUUGAUCAUCUUGUUAAGCAAAUUACCUACUUCAUCUGCAGGUUUAUCUCCCAUUCUCUUGUCGAAAGAUAAAUAAGAAUGCAGACAUUCGAUGUAUUCAUCUGGAGGAACACUGUCAUUCUGGUUGUAUAAAUGCUCUGAAAGCCUGCGGAUGCAUAACUCUGGUAAACUGGAGGUAGAAUCUGAUUUUGCUUUGUGAUGGUGGUAAAAUCCCAUUUUCUCGGCAUUCUGAAAAGUGUCAUAGAGAGUACUUGGCACACGGCAUGUUUUAGGCCUUCCAUCUGACCUUCGUUUUACUACUUCGAUCAUGUUCCUUUGCUCCAGUUGUUCAAAAUCUUUCCUUGCCCGAUCUUCAGGAGUCAUUUCUUCCCCUUCGCUUGGGGUCACAAAUCGCUCAGCAAGCCAUAACUGAAGCAACCUCCUUACAGGGAUCUCAUGUGAUUUGGGAAAGAGACAGAGAUAAUGAAGACAUGCCUUUAGAUGCGCUGAUAGAUACUUAUAUCCCAGACCCCAGAUAGAUGAAGCAUCCAAGUUAUCUGAGGGAGGCAAUUCAUCCCGAGAACCAGAUUGAUCUUUAUCUGAUGCCACCUGUUCAACAUGUUGAAUCUGCUUUUCCUUUUUCUUUCCCCCAGGCGUGAACCCCUCAAUCACCUUUUCCCAAUCAGAAUUUUGAAUCUGCCUGUUAGUAGAUAACAAACCUCCCAGCACACAUAUUGCAAGAGGUAGACCGCCGCAUUUUUUCCAGAUCUUUUCCUUGAGGUUCAAUAAUUCUGAAGCACGUUUCUCUCUCCCCACCUUCUUUAGGAACAAUUCCCAACUCUCAUCUACAUUCAGUGGACGAAGCUGGAGAAGAAUGAUUGACGGACUGAAAGCGCGAGCAACAAAAGCUUCUCUGGUAAGUAGGAUCACUCUGCUGCCACUUGAUGAUGUGUUGGGCGAGAAGAUCCUUUGGAGUUCAUACCAAGCACCAGGUAAAUGGACAUCAUCCAACACUAUCAGGUACCUCUUAGAUUGAAAAAGCCGUAUAAGCCUACUUUCCAAUUCAUUGAGCGCCAAUUCUUCUGCAAUCUUCACCCGUGUGACCUGUUCCAGUAUGUCAAUGAAGACUUUUCUCAAAUCAAAAUCAUGAGAAACGUAAACAUUAGCCCAAGCAUGGUACUCAAAAUUCUGCCUUAUAUAUGAACUGUUGUAAAUUGUUUCCACCAGAGUGGUCUUGCCACAGCCGGCCACACCCACCACCGAGAUAAGGAAAUACUUACUGCUGCUACUCAUAGUCAGUUGAGCUAACCUCAACAACUGAUCCUCAAGACCGACCAUCUCUGCUUCCGGUCCCAAAAUCUCUGCAACUGAAAUAUGUGGCCGAAUGGUAUUAACAUCAUCGUCAUUCCCGACAACAACAGCUUCGUUUAAAGGAGAUCGUGCUUUCAUUUCUUUGAAGCUGAGAUUCAAAUCUCCUCCAAAGAAGUUCAGAUUUCGAUGCAUUGCUGCAUCAGCUUCACGAAAACUUAAAAUCACCCGGCUACCACUCAGCGAGUUGGGGAAAAGGAACUUGAUAAUCUCCCAAAUAUCAGGUGUCCGGACAUCAGUUAAUAUCACUAAGUAUCUCUUAUGAAUCAAGUAAUUAUGAACCACUGUUUGCGGUGACUCGAGCGACUUCUCUUCCAGUUCCACAUCAGUCGGAGCAAAUUGGUUUAAUAUGUUGAUGGCAAGUUCUCUUUUAUCAAGCCUUGGAGGAACAAGAAACCAAGCACGGCAUUGAAAAUGAUUCUUGAUAUCGUCACAGCUGUAGAUCUUCCACAACUCAGGUGUCUCAGCAGAUCCAGCCACAUCCACCACCGGAAUGUGGAGAGGUGAAGGGUAAUCAGAGAGGAUUAGUUCUGCCAAACCCUUUACUUCAUCAUUCAAAAUAAAAUCCAGCAUACCAGUUUUCUUAUUAGAAUUAGCUGCCUCAGAAGCGUUAUUGAAUGCUGCAUUUUCGACGGGGAGCUUCGUACUUGACCUGGUGCCCUGCAAUUCAGGUUUCUUUCUUGACUUGCCGCUCGUCAGCGCUGCCGCAUCUACAAGCAUCGCACUUGACUCUUCUUUGAUAACACCUACUAAUUUCUUCAUCUUAUCGCUGAAACGACUUUUGAUGUAGGCAGACCUCAAAUCGAUACCAGCUUUAACCAAAUGAUUCUGUUGUCGGUAAAAUUCUUUUCUGAUUUCCUUGAGGAAUGUGUCUAUGGUGUCCUCUGCAAGGUAAACAGCUCGCAGAAACUCAGGACUAAGGCCAUUACCUUCUUGACCUUCCAAGGAUUUCAGCUCUUUGAUGGAAUCUCUGACUUGGGAAGCCAGAGCCGGAUCUAUUAUUUCCUUUUCCACCUCUCUUAGUUUCACUAUCACCGGCAAAACGGUGGUUUCGACGGCCAUCGAUUCUCAAACUCCUUUGUGAUUGCGAAUAAGAAUAUAAUCUGGUAAAACUUUUAGCUUUUUGGGAGAUUAAAUUCUAAAAUUCCUCCCUGAAUCCAUAGUCUGUCCAUAAGCGUGAGGUUGACUAUUAAGCGGUUCUUUUUUUUAAUUUUUUAUUUCGAAGGGUGGACAUUUUUUAUCCUAUUUUGUGUCUGCCAUUGCGAUCAUGUGUUUGGUAGGAGUAAGAGAGCGGGUCCCACCGAGGGCAGUUAAAAUCACCCUUUUGGCGGGCCAUGACAAACAACAUGAAUCGAAGAAAAUAUAGAAUACGCAAUUGUUUAAAUUUUCCCACAAACAAUAAGGUUAUGAACUUACGGUUGUUGUUUCGAGUUAGAAUUUCAACCACAUUCAGGGAAAAAAAAUGAAAAAAGUUGGAAUUUCAACUCUUGUGUGGUUUUGAAUUUUUUCAGAUGCAGUCUUAACUAAUGUGCUGGAGUUGGCGGUUUCAACCACAAUCAAGCUCUCGUUCCAAAGUAUUCGGACUUCUUGGUGGCCGAAGUAAUGAGAGUUAGAUACUUUUGUCAAAUUCAUUUUCUGGAAGCUAAAUUUAGCUCUAACCCAUCUUUUAUCUGGAGGAUUAUUUUGUGGGCUAGACAGGUCCUUCAAAAGGGAACAAGAUGGAGAGUGAGAAGAGGAGGCGAUGUUCCAAUUAUGGCAAGUAAUUGCAUUCAGGCCAAUAAUAAUUUAGGCCUAACUUUGUUCCAUCCUUACCUGCAGUUGCUAGAGUCUCAGUGCUAAUUGACCCCAAUCAUCAGUGGAAUGACAGCUUGAUUGACCAGCAUUUGCAAAUGAGGAUGCAGAGAUUAUAUAGAGAAUCCCAUUACUAAGAACUUCCCAAAAAGAUGAGCUACUGUGGCAUUGUGAUAAGAAAGGGCAAUACACAGUGAGGAGUGGCUAUCACUUAGCUCUCAACUUUAAGUUUGCUGCCUUCCCAACAAGUUCAACAGGUGAUUCUCAUGGCUGGCACACCAUAUGGACUCUCAACUACCAGAGAAGAUCAAAAUCUUUCUGUGGAGGGCUGACAAGAACUUGUUGCCAAAUUCAGAAAACAUAUCAAGAAGGGAAACUUUGCAAGAACCAAUGCGCCAAAUCUGCAAAACUGGGGUUGAACAAGUGUUUCUUGCUCGAGUGAGCUAGAAUUUGUGGCGGCUAUCUGGCGGCCAGCAUGACAUGCAAGGAACAAGUUCAUUUUUUUGGGACAGAAACUAAAUCCCUUAAUUUCAGCUGCUAAGGCUCAAGCAGUUAUGGAGACUUUUCAAAGAAUGCAAGCGAAGGAAUAGGUGUGCACAAGAAGCACUGAAGGCAGCAAGCAGAGACAGUGGUAUCCACCGCCUACAGGCCAUUAUAAAGUCAAUUAGAUGUUGUUGCCCACAAAGAUCAGCAGAAUAAAGGGCUAGGUGAUGUCAUCAGGUAUUGCCAUGGCCAAGUGAUAGCUGCAGCACUCAAAAGCUCAAGGUUUCAGGAGAACGAAUCUACAGCAGAAGCUGAAGCUGUCAAAUGGGGGACGGAGGUGGCAAAAGAGGCAAGGUUAACAGCUGUGAUCGUUGAAACGGAUUGCAAUGAAGUGGUUGGUCUAGCCAACAACAAAAUCUGCAGCAGAAUGGAGAUCUUUUGGAUUAUUUCAGAAAUUCAAAGAUGUGAAAGAGACUUUCAAAAUUUGAACAUGCUCCAAGAUCUUGUAAUGACUUUGCUCACUCUUUUGCUAAAAGAGCCUUGAAAAGCUCUAAAUCUGUCAUAUGGUGGAUGAUUUUCCAGCUAACGUAAUAUGUCUUUUCCCUUACAUUAAUGAAUGACAGGAUCACUUUCUUAUCACAAAAAAAAAAAUGUUAACAAAACCUCCAAUCAAAUGUAGCAAGUAGCUAAUUUUAAUAACUGGAUACAGAACUUUGACACAAAAAAAAUUCAAAUAUUUAAUAUUUCGAUUCUUGAAUUCAUAAUACUGAUAUGGCCGCAAGCCCUAAAAAUAACUAUUUCACAUCCAGUUUUGCUCUAGCAUGGCCUUGAGAUAUCUGGAACUGAUCUGUCAUGCCAAAAUGAGCCAUAAGGAGCCAGACAUGAGUGAGAAGCUCUCCUCCUCGUUUUAGCUGACGUGCAUGCUCACUUCCUCGACUCUGACUUGCAGCAUAAGUUAACAUUUCCAACCAAACAUCUCUGACCAUCUUCCAUCUAUUCUUUGAAUCUGAAAUUUCAUUCAAUGCAGAUGCAACCCUGCAUGCAUCGAAUAACACAGACUUGCUUCUGUCUCCUUUAACUUUAAUGGGCAGGACUUGAGUUUUCACUUUCAGUAACAUUUUGCAAGCUUGAAUUCUUCUUUCCUUUCUCCGAUCACAAGCUUUUGUGGCAUGAGUUUGGCUCGUACAAAAAAUGGACAUUCGUUCUUCCCAAAAAUUCUUUCCUUCAGAAAGAGUGUCUCGAAAUCUAAUAAGGCCUAUACCAGCUGGCAAUAAGGAAGGAUACAAAAGUAAGAGAAACAUCAUGUACCUUGACAGGAGCUUGCCCAUUUUUCGAUUGAUGUCACCUGAAAUGUUGCCCCAACUACGUGAAUAAUAGCAAAGUUCUGUUGCAAUGUGCCAGAUAACAAUGCUUUGAUCAAAUUCAACGUCCUUAAUACUCCAAUCAAGAGAAAGAUGCUUAUUAUACUUUACAAGCGCAAUGCUUCCCCUUUUGGUGCACAAGUCCCUAAGACUAACAUUGCUUCCUAUAUUUUCCUUUAGUUGAUCACAUCUCUUCUUGACAUAUUUGAAGAUUGACUUUUGUAAAUACCUUGGCAAUUCUUUGUAAUUCUUGUAUCGGUGCUUUUCCCAUAGUUCACUGAUGAAGCCGCACCUCAGGAUUUUGUAGCAAGGUUUUUCUUUGAGGCAAACAUGUGUAAGACUGUAUUGCCCCAUGGAACUUGACCACCUAGGAGGUUUAACCACUGAUUCCAUACAAUUAAUUGCUUUCAAGUAUUUGCUUUUCUUUUGCUGAAUGAACCACACAUUGGACUGGUCUGAGAGAAGUAGAGCAUAAGCUGCAUAUAAUUCUAGAAAAAUUGCCACACCUAGCAAAAGGUAAGUUAUACUAAUGUUCACCUUAGAAUAAUGCUGCUUGUCAGUAAAAGAGAAAAUCCCCAGUACAAUGCAGGUGAGCAUAAUAGUGAUAAGACGGCGAACAUGACCGCAAGGAGUGUAAAUUACAGAUGCCUUGGUGUAAAGCAUAUCAUACAUCAAUCCUAGCUCGAUGGCAAUCACAUUAAAAGCAUCUUCCUGAGACAUUUCCUGGAAUAAAGAUUGACUAAUGUCGCGGUCCUGGAAACUGAGGAUAAGAUCUGCAAAAAGGCGCUUGAAUGUCUGAAACAACCUAUGAGCUAUAAUCAAGUUGCUGGCAUCAGAAGUUGAGUCUUCUUCUCGAUGAGGUAUAGUUAUUUCAACCUUAUCUUUCACCUCUUUUGGCUCCACAUAAAAUCCCUCUGCAUCUUUCAAACAGUACUCGUUCAUGAAUUUGGGAUAGUUGGGACCAGGAUCAGGAUCUGUAAGCAUAGAAUCUCUAAGUUGAUCCCUGCUUGCUAACCAAAGAGUACAUGUCCUCUCUCCAUACUUAAUAAACCCAAUCACAAUCAUUGGAAUUGUAAGAAAUGAAAGACGAGAGCCAUUCCAUGCCGUGAGAAAUAUGUAAAGAGUGGUCACAGUUUGGACGCCCAGUUGAAAUGCAUGGCGCAAGUACAAUUCAUUGUCUUCUACAGAGUAAGCUGUAAUAGUAUCAGGGCCACCCAAGUGAAGCAGAAAGAAUGGUGCCCAAAAUGCAGUAACUUCGUUGUUGGCGUCAUCGACAGAACCUUUUUUCUCAUAGAUUUCACCUAGGUUAUUUAAGAGUACACCAAGGGCCAUGGUUGCUACGGCAUCUGCAAGCAAGUAGGCACACCAAACUGGAACUUUAAUCAUAAUUUUGGGAUUACACUUCCUGCGAUUGCCCAUGAGAAUUAGAGAGAUUUGUGAGGCGAGGCUGAGGAAAACCAGUGCUCUCAGCUCCCAUUCCUUCCACAAAUCCUUUAACCUUUGAGGAAUCACCUCCAUCAUCAUCCUCUUUCUCGCCAAGAUCAAGCUGCCGACAGCUGAUAAUUUACAAUACAAAAAUAAUUGAAGAUUUGAUUUUCCCAGUGAAUGACAUAGAUUAACCGUGAAUGAGAGUAGUGUUUAAUUUUAUCUCAAAUUAAAGUAUACCUGAUUUCGUAUUAAUGAAAAUGCCUACGCUAGAAUUAAAUCAGUUACGCACCUGCUGUGAGCAUCAUUUUGGCUAUUGCAGUUCUUGUUCUAAACCUGUUUGAACUUGAGAGAAAGCAGACGUCUUGAGUUCUAACCAAGCCGUCAUGCACAGUGUCUGAACAGCAGGAGAUAACGGGCCCUCAUGAAACCUGCACCACAGAAGCACCUUUCCAAUGUCCAAUAUUCAAAAAUUAAAUUUCAAACUGAAUAAUCAUUUCAGGUUCAGGCGACUGUCAACUUCAACUUUCCACCGUUGCCACCACCAUCAACUUCUUUUCGGGCGCUUCCCAAAACCCAGAUGAGAAGAAGCUCGACAGGCUGACGGAGGUAAUUGCAGCAGAUACACCUUGAUACUUUCAAAAUUAUCCCAAUACCCUGAAAUCAGAAUUUACCAAAAUUUUCAUCAAUACCCUCUAAAAGCUUACAUAAAAUUAGUAAACCAUCCUCGUCUUAAAACACUUACACAACUCAAACAUUCAAACACUCAUACAUGUUGAACUAGACAUCAACACAUGAGCAAAUCGAGCUUGAAAAGGGGAAGCUAUUGCAAUUGAGAAAGAGAAGCUUGGUUCGUCGUUGACAAUUGCCGACGAAAUACGAUUCUUUACUGCAAAAUUGUUGGAAUCUAACUAUUUUCGAAAAGUAAUUCCUUAUAAUUAGCUUUUUUUUUAUAUUUAAAGAAAAAUAAAACAUUUAAGAUCUUAUAUUGCAAAAAUAUAUUAAAUUAGUUGUCGGUCUUUCAUAACAUAUAAAUUUCUAGUUGUUUGCUCCAUAUAAAUGGUGAAAUUUAAUAGAUUGUACAGAUUAUAAUUUAAUUGUAUAAUGUUGUGUAACUCACGAUUUGGUCGUGUAAGGUCAUGUAACAUAAGAUUUAAGGUCGUGUAAUACACUCAUAUAAUACACGAUCAUCAAUCGUAUAUGACAUGACUUUUUGUAUUAUUAUGCGAUCUUGAAUUAUUUAUUACAGGACUUUCACGAUCUUUAGUUGUAUAUUACAUGACCUUCAUGUAUUAUAAGACUUUCAUGUAUUAUAUGACUUUAUGUAUUACGCGAUUACACGACCUUAAUGUAUUAUACGGUUUUAAAAUUACUCGACUUUUUUUCAUUAUUCAUUAGAAUAAUUUAGUUCUUUAAACACUUAAUUUGUGUUAAGAAUUUAUAUUUGUUGCUAUGUAGAAAAUGUCAAUGAAAAUUAUUUAAAAAAAGAAUUGAAUACAUAAUUAUAUUUGUAUAAGAGAUUAUAAGAGAUUUUAAUCGAAUUUCAAUAAGAAGAAAUUUGAGUGUAAGAACUAAGAAGACAAUGAAAAGGAGUGGAUUUCAUGCUUUCAUUUUAGACUUCAUAGGCAUUUAUUAGGGUAUCUAUGAAAAUAAAAAAAAGGAGAAAAUAUUUAAAUAAUUUUACAACUAUUAAAAAGUAUUUAAUUAUAAACCCCCGGGCUGAAGUCCCGUGACUCCAGCUUAGAGAGAGGAUGUCAAAUCAAAAGAUAGCAUGUGGCCCGGGCUGCUCAAAUCGUCCGGCACAGAAUGGUCCAUUGAUGGGCUAGCCCACUAGACCCGUAUUUUAUAAUUUUAAUUUUUUAAUUUAGACUAUUUUUCUUUUUCUUUUUAUUUUUUUCACAUACAAUUAUUUUUAAGGCAUAUUAUUUCUUUGAACGAAAUUUUAAAAAUCCAUUAGUUCAACUCAAGACUUUAAAGAUUUUAGUGCAAUAAUAAAACCACUAAAGUUGCGUUUGGGGUAGCUAUGCUUUUAUAUUAACAUUUUGCAAGGGCCAAUAUAUAUGUAUAAAUAAAUUAAGUGAAUUAUUAAAUUUAAAUAAGAUAGAUCAUAGAUGUUGAUAUCCAAAAUAGUAACGACAGUAUUAACAAUAGUCAUAGCCAUGAUAAUGUAACAUAAGUACAGAUUAUUUUUAACACAAGUACAAAGUUUUGUAAUUUAAACUAUAUUCAACUAAAGGAACAAAAUUUAUUGUUUCUAAAAACUAUUCAAUUUUGGGAAAAGGACCACCUUGUACGAAUCUUGGGAAAAAAGUAAUGAUCUAUAGGGGACAAUUUAUUAUAACUCAAUAUUAUGUGAUUGCUUUUAACACUUAUAUAACACAUCAUAAUUGAAUGUAUAAUUUUGAUAUCUUAAUUAAACUCCUUUCCUCCAUCUUGAUUAAUAUUUAAAUGAAAAUAAAAGAAAUUAGUAUUUUGAAAAAUUUUGACUGCAAAGUAUGUGUAAUGCUUUUUUACAUUUUUAAAAAUAAAAUAAAUAUAAUUACUAUAAAAUAGCCCCUUUUUUAGAUUUUGACCCUUCUUCUCUUCUUAUUUUUUUUUGUCUUCUUCUUCUUAUAUUUCUUUUUUUAAUAUUUAUAAAAUAUUUAUUAUUAUUAUUAUUAUUAUUAUUGUGUUAUCGUAAAUAAAUAAAAAGGUUAUUAUCGUUUCACUAUUUCAAAUAUUGUAAAAUAUCAAAUGAGUACAAAAAAUUAUUGUUUCUUAUUAUUUUACUACUACAGCUUUGCAAAGUCUUUUAUUUUACUACUUUUUUGUUAAAAUUGUUAGUUGACUAGUUAAAAAGUAAUUUUGUCUGUUAUGGCAAAACAAACAAAUAGAGGUAUCAAAUAGUAGACAAAAAAUCAUAUUAUGCCCUUAAAUUAUUAGAUAAUAGUUUUAACUAUUGAUUUAUGAAUAAUCUUUAAUUUAUUAUAACUAUAAAAUAGCGAAUUGACCAAAAAAAAAAAUCCUUGGAUACUUUGUUAAAAAGAAAUACAAUCUAUUUUCAACAAAAAAAAAAAAUUAAAGCUUAUCUUCAGAAUCAACACUUCUAUAUUUUAGUUUUUUUUAAAGAAUAGAUUGUGUCUUUUUUUAAGAAAAAUAUCUGGGGUAUUUUUGUCAGUUCAAUACUUUUAUAGAUAUAGUAAAUUUAAGUUUAUUAAUAAAUUCAUGAUGAAAACUAUUAUUUAGCAGUUUAAGGGCAUAACAAUAAUUUUAUGUCUAUUAUUUAAUACCUCUAUUUGCAUAUUUUACCAUAAAAGGGUAAAUUGAUAUUUUAUUAGUCAAUUAAUUAGUCAACUAAUGGUUCUAAUAGAAAAGUAGUCAAAUGAAAGAUUUUGUAAAAUUAUAGUAAUAAAACGGUAUGGAACAAUACUUAUUAUAGUUAUUUGAUCUUUUACAAUUUUUAAAGUAUUAGAAUAAUGAUAACCCUAAAUAAAAUUAAUAACUAGAAUUCUUUUAAGUAAUUUUUUAUAACCUAACUUGAUUAUGUUGUUAUAAGUAAAUCUUAAAAUUUGGUGUAUUUAAUAGUUAUAUUAGUGUUUUAAGUAAGCAAAAUUAAUUAAUUUAAUUAGUUGAGUAAGAAUAUUUUUGUAAUUUUAAAGAGUUUACAAAAUAAAACUUAUUUUUCUUAAAAUUAGUAUGUGAAUAUUUAUAGUAAUAGAGUAUUUAAAGUAAUUUUUAGAGUGCAAAUGGCCAAACCCAUAACUUAUUCUUUUAACUCGAUGAUUUUUAUAAUCCAGUGGUAAUACCUUAAUAACGUGAAUUCAAGCCCCCCUAGGGCUUCAUUUCCUUUCCUAAUAAUUGGAUUGGGUAGAUAUCUCCUCAUAUCAGUGGAAGCAGAUUUCUAAGUUAGUGCUAGGCAAACCUUAGGGAAACGUAUGUAUUUAUUGUCCCAAAAAUACCAUAUUGUAAUAUAUCUAUAGAUUAUAAUAAUUUGAAAAAUAAACCUAACUUUUAACAUAAAAUUCAAUAAAUUUUGUCACAUUCCAAAUUGAGUUGAAUUUAUGUUAUUUAUUAAUGUUAUGUUAUUUCCUUUCAAAUUUUUAUUAUACUACCAAAUUCGAUUUAUUGUAUUGUAGUGUUUCAAAUUUAAUGAUUUAAAAUUACAUUGCAACAAACUUUUCUUUUAAUAUCAGUGUUUCUUUUAAUGUUAUUGAAUUCAAUAACUUUAAAUCUAAUAUCAGUAUAUCACAUUCUAAAUAAAAUUGGGUUGUCGGUUAUUAAUAAUUUUAUUUUUUAAUCGUUAAUUACACUAUGAAAAUUGAAUUAUUAUGCUGUUGUACUUCAUAUUAAACAACAUAAUAUCUAAUUGAAUCAUAUUAAAAUUUUUUUUUAAAGUAACUAAAUGCAAUAAUUUUAGAUAUCAACAAAUUUUGUCACAUUCCAGUUAAUUGAAUUUGAAUAUUAAUUGUUGUAAUUGUUUCAAUUAUUAAUUAUAUUAUUAAAUUUGAAUUGAAUGUGUAAUUUUAAUCUUUUAUUUUUUUUGUUAAGGUAAAAUGUAUUCUAGAAUUGAAUUUCAAAUGGUCAGUUAAAAGAACAAAAACAAAAAAUCACUUGAACAAACUUUGGCAAGCCGAAGUUUGAUCAUUUUAUUUCAAUUCAAUAACAUGUAAUCUUUUUUUUUUAUUAUUACAUGAAACUAUUGCUCAUAGUACAACUCAUAUUACAUGAGAUUAUAACUGAUAUUUACAAAUUAGACUAUUACUGGGACCAACUUACAUCAAUGCUAAUAGAGUUCUGCCCAGAUUUUUAACCUUCACUAAUAUUCGAAAGAUGUCUACUCCAUUCACACUUGGGUAAGGGAUAAGACUACCUUUACUCAAUUAUACAAUAUAAUUAAGGAGAAAAUACCCUCACAUUGGGGUUGCGGGAGUUCGAAUUUCUGUCCUCCAAGAGCCCUAACCACUUGGCCUCUAACAUGUAACCUAUUUAAAUUGAUUUGAAUUUGAAAUUAUGCUAUAAAAUUUGAAUUGAAUAUUUUCGAGAAUCAUCCUUUUGAAAUUGUUCCGGCUUUUUAUGUUUUGCAUACGUAAAAGUCGCUUUGUCUAUCGUGCCCGUUGGGCACCAUCGUCUUGUAGUGAAGCCAUUGUUGGAUGAAAAGGAGCAAUGUCGUGCAGUCGUGAAGUGGGCACGUGCCACCUGAAGCAAACCGAGAAUGUAGGUCAUUAGAUAAGAAUCAUUAAUGUUGCAAUUAUUUUGUUUAAGGGAACAAGAAAAUAUUGGUGUAUAUAACUGUUGAUGCGAGAUUCUGGUUACGCCUUCCAACGACCAGGAUGUCUGCUCGAUCAACCUCACCUCGAUCAGGAUCUCUCCUCGUACGCUUUCUUCUCUAAGUAUCCCUGCGUUCACAGAAACAAGUCAGAGCACGCCGGUUGUUUUCCCGGCGUAAACCCUCCGACGCUCAAGUCAGAUAUGAAGGCUCUGGGAACGCUUGCCACAAAUCUUAUGGCUUUUAGGUCGUUUGUUCUCUUUUAGAAUUUUACUUUAUCUCUCUAUAAUCUCAAAAUUGCUAACCCUUUUACCUUCGUUGGCUACCUUUUUAUAGGUCACCUCUGAACUCGGGCCUCCCCUCCAUUCGCGCUCGCCAUCCCCCCACUUCUCGAAAGUGGAUGCUCCAUUGCCAUAGUCGUGGGUGGUUGCGUGGCCCUCGAGCCUUGAUUCUCGGACUGGAGAACAUGUCUCACCAACUGUCGUUGACCGGGUCUCCUCGACCCAACCGUUAGUAGGAAUAUAGCAGGAAUGGCUUCACACUCCCAACAGGAGACUGACCUCGUGGAAGAGCAGGAUACUCCUGCUCCUGCUCCCCCGGCUACCAGACUCUUGCAAGAUAUACCUGUUCGAGGAAACCUGCUACCAGGCGCCUGCUCAUCACUGCUGGUUGUGGUCGAAACAUAUCCCACAAACACCAGUCCCCCAGUUUCUUGUGUUGGAUAGCGUAGUGAGCCAACAGUAGAAACUCGACAGUUCUUGCUCGCGUGGGAUAGAAAAAGGCUGCCAAGAGUCGUGUCGCAUUUAAUUGCGGAUGAGAUGAUGUGGCAGAGAUCCACCCCUCCAUUUGAAUUUCAAACCGACGGUUACGAGACCCUCGGGAUUCGGUGUUGUUAAAUGCUGGCUAUCCAAGGGUUUUUCUUCCAAUAAGAUAACCCAAAACCUCUCGAAGGGAAAUUAGCCAUUUCCACCGUCUCUGUCCUUGUCUCUCCGGCGAAGAAGUUUCGGCAUAAAAGCCCUCAUCCUCGCCUUUCUCCGACUGAAACAGUACUUCAGGUAUUACUUCUUUCUCCUCGGUCUCGGAUAAUUUGUAGAUAACUUCUUUUUUAUUUGCUUUGCUUGGGGUAGUAGUUGGUGGUGGUGUUUUGGUUAUUAUCUAAGGAAUGUCGAAGGGUAAGGAGAAAGUCGUUGAGAUUGACGACGACAAACUAGGUUUCUUGCCUAGUCUGCUCACUGAUCCUGCUUUUGACCCCGGGAUCCCCUUAGAGCCCAUUAGGUCUAGCAUAGGGAUUAGUGCUAGGAGGAUGUCCCCCCAAACAACCUCCACAAGCGGAAGUAGUGGUGAGGAGGGAUCCUCUGGUUCGGAGAACACCCUAAGUGAGGAUCAAGGAGGUGACUCUGGUGAGGGAUCCUCACCGGGAACAUUGCGACCAGAAGGGCGGAGUACAGUAGGAGGUAGAGCCUUGUCGCGAGAUUAUGACAUUGAUUACAUGACGUGCACGACCACGUUUGUCGAGCUCAAUGACCUCCGACUUAGGUAUAGUAUCCCUAGUGAAAUUCCUCUCAAGAUCCCAGGGAAGAAAGAUACACCUAGCCGGCCUCCUAGGGGAUAUGUUACCCUGUUUCUGGAGAGCUUUAAGUUUGGGCUGAGGUGUCCCUUGCAACCCUACUUUGCCUGGAUACUUAAUGGGCUAAGUCUGGCUCCUGGUCAACUGAACCCCAAUGGGUGGAGAGUGCUCUCUGGUCUGUUCAUAUUGUGGGACAGAUGCUGCCAAAGCGAGCCCACGGUUGAUGAGGUGAAGCACCUGUACCAGCUGAAGAGCAGCCCCAAAGAUGCCGGCUGGUACUACUUCCAAUCUAGUACCAAGAGCAGGAAACCUAUAACCGAUCUUCCUACUGGUGGUGGUGGGAAUUGGAGGAAGAAGUUCUUUUUCGCAGGGGGUCCCUGGGGGUCAAGUUGCACAGGUUGAUGGUCAGGACUUCCGCGUCCCAACCCGUUUCGUGGUCCCAGGUUGCCUGCUCGUAUUAGAUGUCUUGUCUCCCUUGUGGUUUGCACUUUACUGGUUUAUCUCUAAUCAAAUGUUUGUUUGUGCUGCAGGUUCUUGGGGUGUUCACUUCCCGCUCGAACCUGACCAGCUCAAACGAGUCGAGGCUGUACUAGCCAAUUCCUGCCCGAGUCGGGAGCUGAUAACUACCUACAACCUGCUCGAGUCUCGUUUGGUGCCCCCCGGCCAUAAGAUGGAGGAUGCUGUGAUUGGGGCUCUGACUCGGAAGCGUCCUCGACCUCCAACUACGAAGAGGGACCAGAGCAAGGACGCUCCCACUGCGAAGCGAGUGAAUACUGUGCAACAGGUUCUUCCCCUGAAGACUCUACCUCCUCCUCCUGCCAAAGUCGGAGAAAGUAGUGGAGCAGCCACUGAUCCUGCUUCCUCUUCUCCUCCUGUCGGGCCUCGGUCUCGUCUAUCUGACAACCGAGCAGAACACUUGGGCCCCUAUCUCAACGAGCUUUCCAAACUUGUGAGCAAGAAAUACUUGGAGGAUUUUGAGGGCUGCACCUUAGGCGAGCUGGUGGGAGCCAUGCAGUACAGCGCUUUCCAUCUCAGCUGCAUGACCACCUACUAUAAGGCCAAGGUUGGCCGUUACAACAGGAAGAUGAAAGAGGACAUCCAAUCGGUGACGAUCAGAGCUGACGUUGCCGAGAAGAAGGCAGGGGAGCUGAACGUUGAGAACCUCAAGCUGAUAGAGCAAGAAUCUCUUGCUCAAGCAAAAGCCAUUACCCUCGAGGAGGAGCUGAAAAAGGUCAAGGAGGAUCUGCAAGGGCAGAAGGCUGUGUAUGAGGCUCAGUUUGAAUCUCUCCGCGAUUCCCACCAGGCUCAGGUCGAGAACUUGGAGAGGGAGGCCGACAAUCAGUACGACCAGGGACUUCGGCAUUCCUAUCGUUGCAUCAUGGCCGUCCUCGGGAGGCAGCAUCCUGAUCUGAAGAUGGAUGACCUUGCAGCUGGUGUUGCUCAACAUAUGGACGAGGAGGCGGCCAAGGAAGAUGCCGAAGGGAUAGAGCCGAUCGUGAUUGAGGAGGAAAAUUCUCCUCCUCGGGCAGUCCCUGCUGACGUUGGCGAGGCGAGCACCCCUGCUGUCGUUGCUGAGGCGAGCACCCCCCCGAACGCAACUGGUGAAACUCCCCCCGCACCUGAGGAGGUCCCGUCAACCGAUGCUGCUCGGCUUACUGAUCCGCCCUCUUCUUGAUAUAUUUCUUGCGUUGUAAUGAACAACGUUUACGAAAUUUAUCUUCUCUGUUAAUUAUUUGCACAUUAAUAAAAAUGUUUUUGAUUACUUUCUUGUGUUGUAAUCGUGAGUUAUUUUUCGUUUAAGAAUCUGCUCGUCUUCGUCUGGUUGAGCAGGUUCUGGCUUGGCAUAUGGUUUUGCCAUAUGCCUUAGAAAAUUUUCCAAUGUUUGGGUUUCUGCUCGCCUUCGCGCGGUCGAGCAGAUCCUGGCUCGCUAGGCUUCUGGCCUUGCCAUAGACAGGCUUUGAAUGCUAUGGAGUCUGCCCGCCUUCACGUGGUCGAGCAGAUCUUGGCAUGCUUGGCUUCUGUCUCGCCAUAAAACGGGCUUUGAGACUUGACGAGCCUUUGCAUGCCUUAGAAAUUUUUUCGAAUGCUUUGGAGUCUGCUCGCCUUCACGGGGUCAAGCAGGUCCUGGCAUGCUUGGCUUCUGUCUCGCCAUAAAACAGGCUUUGAGACUUGACGAGCCUUUGCAUGCCUUAGAAAUGACUUCGUGAUUGGGGAUUCUGCUCUCCUUCGCGUGGUCGAGCAGAUCCUGGCAUGCUUGGCUUCUGUCUCGCCAUAAAACAGGCUUUGAGACUUGACGAGCCUUUGCAUGCCUUAGAAAUGACUUCGUGAUUGGGGAUUUUGCUCGCCUUCUCGUGGUCGAGCGGAUCCUGGCAUGCUUGGCUUCUGUCUCGCCAUAAAACAGGCUUUGAGACUUAACGAGCCUUUGCAUGCCUUAGAAAUGACUUCGUGAUUGGGGAUUCUGCUCGCCUUCGCGUGGUCGAGCAGAUCCUGGCAUGCUUGGCUUCUGUCUCGCCAUAAAACAGGCUUUGAGACUUAACGAGCCUUUGCAUGCCUUAGAAAAUUUUCACAGUUUCAAGUGACUGAAAUUCCUCGACGUUCCAUUAAUUGCAGGAUUUGAUUUUACAUGAACUUGCUAUGACAUAAAACAUAUAAAAAAUAAGAGAUAACGAGCACAAGCAGAAAUAGCUUUGAAAUGUGAACAAGUCUUAUUGGAAGUAUUUUCGAAGGUGUGCUGCGUUCCAUGGGCGCUUCACCUCGUGGCCAUCCAUACGAACCAACUUGUAAGCUCCUGGUCCAACUAGCUGCUUGACUCUAUAAAGCCCCUCCCAAUUCGGACCGAGCACUCCUUGAGUCGAGUCUUUGGUGUUCUGAUUCACUCUCCUUAACACCCAAUCUCCGACCUUGAACUGCCGUAUAUUCACCUUCUGGUUAUAAUACCGAGCAAUCCUUUACUGAUAAAUGGCUGAUCGACCAGCUGCUUGCUCCCUCUUUUCCGUUAGUAGAUCAAGAUUCAAACACAUCUGCUCGUCGUUAUCCUCCUCAUUGAAAUGAUCUGUCCGGUGCGUGGUCGUUUCUAUCUCAGCUGGUACGACCGCUUCAUGUCCGAAAGCCAGAGCGAAUGGUGUCUCCCCAGUUGCUGUUUUGUGGGUUGUUCUGUAUGCCCCUAGCACACCUGACAGCUCGUCAACCCAUGCACCCUUUUUUGCUCCGAGCCUGGUUUUCAAAAGCCUCUUGAUGGUCUUGUUAGCUGCUUCCACUUGUCCAUUCGAUUGGGGGUGAGCAGGAGAGCAAUACUUCAGCUCUAUCCCGAGGUUCUGGCAAAAAUCCCUGAAGCUGUGAUUAUCGAACUGCCUGCCAUUAUCCGUUAUAAGGGCAUAAGGGAUCCCGUAUCGACAGACCAGGUUUCUCCACACAAAGUCUGUUGUUUUCUUCUCUGUGAUCCUGCUAAGGGCUUCUACCUCUAUCCAUUUCGUGAAGUAGUCUAUAGCAACUAUUGCAUGUGUUGCUGCUCCUCGUCCCUUUGGCAGCGGGCCGAUCAGAUCAAUUCCCCAUUGAGCAAACGGCCAAGGGGAGGCCAUAGAGGUGAGCUUCUCUGGUGGUUGGUUGGAGAAACUUGCAAAACUCUGGCAGCUUACACAGCUCCUGGUCUUCUCCUGAGCAUCCCGGUGCAUUGUCGGCCAGAAAUAUCCCUGCCUUAGAACCUUGUGGGCCAGGGACCUCCCACCAGAAUGGUUCCCGCAAAUUCCUUCAUGUACUUCUCUCAGCACGUAAUCCGCGUCGUCCUCAUCCAAACAUCGAAGGAAAGGUAGUGUAUAUCCUCGCCGAUACAGUACCCCAUCAAUCAUCGUGUAUCUCGAGGCCUGGGCUCUAACCUUCCGAGCUCGCAGCUUAUCUGGUGGUAAUACCCCGUCUCUGAGGUAUGAAAUUAUCGGGUCCAUCCACGAGCAUUUUUGUUCUAUCCGCAACACCCCCAAAUUAUGCUCGAUACUUGGGUUGGACUUCACCUCCAGAGGGACUGACUUUGGCAUUUUUGGGUUGGCAACUGCUGCCAUCCUGGCCAAAAUGUCUGCUCGACUAUUCUGCUCCCUGGGGAUUUGUAUCACCUCCACUGCUUCAAAUUUCCCCAUCAUCUGCCUGACUAUCUUUAGGUACUGCUCCAUCUUCUCCUCUCUUGGUUGAAAUCUUUCACUGACAUGAUUUGCAACCAGCUGGGAAUUAGUUCUGAUUUUCACUCUGUCUGCUUUCACGGCCUUAGCCAAUUCCAAACCUGCUAUCAAGGCUUCAUACUCUGCCUGGUUAUUUGUGGCUGCAAAUUCCAACUUUACAGCAUAAGAGAUCUCCUCCCCCUCCGGGCCUUCCAAGACAAUCCCUGCUCCUGAACCCUGCUCUCCUAAUGACCCAUCCACAGACAUCUGCCAUACUUGAUCUUCGCCACUGUCUGUAACUACAUCUCGCCGAUCUAAACAUACCUCGGGCUCUGUGAAUUCAGCUACGAAAUCGGCCAUUGCCUGAGCCUUUAUCGCUGCUCGGGGUUUGUAGUCGAUGUCGAACUCGCUCAGCUCUAUAGCCCACUUGACGAGCCGACCAGAAGCAUCUGGCUUGUGCAGAGUUUGACGUAAUGGCUGGUUUGUUAUUACUGAAACUGGGAAUGCUUGAAAAUAUGGCCUCAACUUCCGAGCCGCAACCACAAGGGCAAGUGCCCAUUUCUCCAACGGUGGGUAUCUGGUCUCGGCAUCGAACAGGGCCUUGCUGGUGUAGUAUAUCGGAUACUGAACUCCUUCUUCCUCUCUCACCAGAACAGAACUGGCGGCCCGAUCCGAUACCGCCAAAUAUAGAUAUAACUUGUCCCCAUCCCUCGGUGUGGACAGCAGUGGAGCUUACUGCAAGUAUUGCUUCAAGUUCUGGAAGGCUUCCUCGCAUUCUGAUGUCCAUUCUGUUUUCUUUCCCCUCCUUAUCACUUGAAAGAAUGGCUGACACUUAUCUGUAGCCUUGGAUAUGAAUCUGCUCAACGCCGCCAACCUCCCGGUGAGGCUCUGCAUCUCCUUCAGGUUACGAGGAGACCUCAUCUGCACAAUCGCUUGGAUUUUCUCGGGAUUUGCUUCAAUCCCCCUAUGGCUCACCAUGAAUCCAAGGAAUUUCCCUGACUCGACCCCAAAAGCACACUUCUCCGGGUUGAGCUUCAUCUUAUACUUUCUCAAAAGCUCGAAUGUCUCCUCGAGGUGUCUGACAUGUUCCUUCGGGAUUUUGGAUUUGGUGAUCAUGUCAUCCACGUACACCUCCAUGGUUUUCCCAAUCAACGGCUUAAAGACUUUAUUCACCAGCCUCUGAUAGGUGGCCCUGGCAUUUUUUAGACCAAAUGGCAUUACCCUGUAACAGAACAAACCUUGGUUAGUGAUGAAAGCCGUGCUCUCCUCAUCCUGCUCGUACAUGGGGAUCUGGUUGUAUCCCGAGAAUGCGUCCAUGAAACUAAGCAGACCGUGUCCAGCCGUUGAAUCUACUAGCUGAUCGAUCUUCACCAACACCAUAUUCGAUAUCCAUUCAGGGUAAUUAACUUCCCGAAUGAACCCUGCUCUCAAGAGCUUCUCCACCUCGCCAUUUAUAGCCUCAUACCUCUCCUGGUUGAAGCACCUCCUCUUCUGCCUUACUGCCCGCGCACCUUUCUUUAUUGCCAGCUUAUGACAUGCUACCUCAGGGUCAAUCCCUGGCAUGUCUUCAUGUGUCCAAGCAAACACAUCUGCAUGAGCCUGUAAGCAUUUCACCAACUCCUGCUUUUGCUCUCCCUUAAGUCUCGACCCGAUUCUGAUCGUCUUUCCCGGAUUCUCUGGUCCCAGGCUUACUGUUUCCAGAUCCUCUACAGGUUCUUGCCUGCCAUUCCUGUUUUCCACUCGGGUAUCGAGGGAUGUUAUCUGCAUUGCUUCCCUUGCUGCCGAGGAGUAGCAACUUCUUGCGAUCCUCUGGUCUCCUCGUACCACUCCAACUACCCCAUUCACCCGGUACUUCAGAGCCAGAUAAUGGUUGGACAGCACCGCUUUGCUCAUCCUCAGAAAUGGCCGGCCUAGGAUCAUCUGGUAAGGACCUUCCUCAUCCACUACCACAAAGUCCAGUAUCAUUGUCCUUUCUGUCGGGGAGCUCCCAAUCGUGAUAGGUAGCUCGACCACGCCCAGAGGGACCAGCUUUCCUCCUCCAAACCCCUUCAAGGAGGUACUGGUGUAAUCCAACUUCAGGUCUGCUAUUCCCAUCUCUUCCAGGGUUGACUUAAACAACACAUCAACUGAACUCCUUGUGUCAACCAGUAUCUUGUCAAACUUCUUGCUAGCAACAGUGGCCUUGAUGACCAAAGCAUCCUCGUGGGGGUAUAGGAUCCAUUCUUCAUCCUCAUCUGUCCACAUGAUUGGCACUUGCCUGACUCUUGCACGUUUGGCUGCUGGGGUGUUGAAGAACACCUCUUUGCUGGUCAUGGCAUAUCUAGCAUAAUUCUUCCUCGACCUGUUGGAAUCCCUGGCCAAUGUUGGGCCCCCCGCUAUAACCCUUACUGCAGGCUGCUCGCGCCUCAAGUGCCUGUCACUCUGCUCCCCUUCACUUGUUGAGGCUACCAUUGGGAAGGUCCCAUCUAUAAACUCGUCCAGAUACCGAUUUCUCACCAAAUCUUCAACCUGGGUCUUAAGAUCUCUGCAAUCUGCUGUGGUGUGGCCAUUAGUGCCAUGGAACUUACAAUAGCGUCCCUUAUCCCUCCUGCUGGGUGGCUUUGUUAUUGGAGCAGGAACGUAUAGCAACCCCCGAUCCUUUAUGGCCUCGUACACCUCGUCCAGGGACAUCUUCAAGGAAGUAUACCGCCCAUAGUCCUGGUUCUGGUCGAUUAGGUGCACUGCUCUUUCUCUAUUUGCUCCAUUCUGAGUUGGAGGCGGCGGCAGUAAUUCUGGUCUGCUCCCUCUGCUACCGUGGGAGUGUUGAUGGAGACCACCAUAUGCCGAAUCAUGCCUUCUCCAAGGCUCCCUAGCUGGGGAACGAGGAGGUUACGCCCUGCUGCGCUGAUAUUGUGGCGGCCUCUGAUGAGGCUGGUAAGCAGCUACCCGACCUCCUGCUCCACUACCCGAGGUCUGGUGGUCCCUCCUCCUGAUCGGCCUAUUCCCUGAUAAUACUUUCUUCUCUUUCCUCCCCAACCCUUCUAACUGGUCUGUCUUAAUCCGAGCAGCCUUUUCUUCCUCGAUCUCUAUGUCUCUUUUGGCCUGCUCGUAUGCGGUUGCAUACGUCUGAAUAGCUGGGCUUCUCAAGUUGUACCAAAGCCUUCCUAUCUUUACUCCCUCUUUCAAUCCCCUUAGUGCCUGAGGAUGGUUGAAGGCUCCCAAGUCGAGGACAGCACGAUGAAACCUCUUGAUGAAUUCCCGAAGGGUUUCCUGCUCCCCCUGUUUCAUGCUUUUCAGCUCCAUCAUGUCAUCUUCUGGUGCCAUUGCCCCACUAAACUGCUCUGCAAAUUCCUGGCACAUCUGCUCGAAGGUCUUAAUGCUCCCCCGAGGAAGUUUCCUGUACCACUCGCGUGCACGUCCUUCCAGGGAGAGUGGGAACACUCUGCACCUUUGGGAUUGAGAUAACCCUUGCACCCCGGUAAUGUCGUUGAAGCGCUCUAUUUGCACCAACGGAUCAGUUCGUCCCGAAUAUCUAAGGUCUGGGAGGCGAAAAUCCCUUGGGAUGAUUGCCCUCAUGAUCUCUGCUGCGAGCGGUGAUUCUCCGUCCAGCAUUAUCCUCCAACCAGGAGUUCUGCUCCUUCCUUGCAUGUUAUCAAUUACCUGCGCUAGUCUGCGCACUUCCUCCUCCAGCUGCACUGCACGACCAGGAUCGCGUGCCGCAACUUGGUCCCGCUCUUGCUCUACAUCAUGCAAGUGUUGCCUCAACUCUGGUUCCUCUGCAUUCACUACCCCAUCGUCCUCGUCAAGAAUCUGUCUUGCCGGGGACUGCUCUUCCUCUCUAUGAAAUUCUUCCCGCAGAGAUAGGUUAACCCUCUCACCGCCAAAUCUCCCGGUGGUUUGAUUUCUCCUCGUACUAUCGUGACCUGGUGUCACUCCACCACCUCUCACCCUUUUCUCCUGGGUUCCUCUUCGUUCACUCCGCAGCUCAUGUAGGAUGGUUGUCAGGGUCUCCAUCUGCUUCUCCAUCUGUUCCAUCCGGUCGAACAUGGCCUUUUCCCGCGCUUCACUGGCUAUCUCUCUCAGCGUCACGGAGUCAUUUAGCCUCAUAUCACCCCCUUGUGCACUACUCCCUCCUGUCUCCAUCGCUUUUCCACUUGCUUCACUCCUCUUCUUGCUAUCAACAGAAGCUUUUUGCUCAGCUCCCCACAGACGGCGCCAAAAUGUUGAUGCGAGAUUCUGGUUAUGCCUUCCAACAACCAGGAUGUCUGCUCGAUCAACCUCACCUCGAUCAGGAUCUCUCCUCGUACGCUUUCUUCUCUAAGUAUCCCUGCGUUCACAGAAACAAGUCAGAGCACGCCGGUUGUUUUCCCGGCGUAAACCCUCCGACGCUCAAGUCAGAUAUGAAGGCUCUGGGAACGCUUGCCACAAAUCUUAUGGCUUUUAGGUCGUUUGUUCUCUUUUAGAAUUUUACUUUAUCUCUCUAUAAUCUCAAAAUUGCUAACCCUUUUACCUUCGUUGGCUACCUUUUUAUAGGCCACCUCUGAACUCGGGCCUCCCCUCCAUUCGCGCUCGCCAUCCCCCCACGUCUCGAAAGUGGAUGCUCCAUUGCCAUAGUCGUGGGUGGUUGCGUGGCCCUCGAGCCUUGAUUCUCGGACUGGAGAACAUGUCUCGCCAACUGUCGUUGACCGGGUCUCCUCGACCCAACCGUUAGUAGGAAUAUAGCAGGAAUGGCUUCACACUCCCAACAGGAGACUGACCUCGUGGAUGUCGUACUCGUGGAAGAGCAGGAUACUCCUGCUCCUGCUCCCCCGGCUACCAGACUCAUUAAUGUCACUUCUAGUCAUCUGAUAAUACACUGAUACAGUCACCUAAAUUUUAUGCCAAUUGCAGUGACAAAAUCGUAAACAAUAAACAACAUAUUAUUCCUCACCAACUACCUUACAAAUAUUUGUUUCAACUAACUAAUUUAUUGUUAUAUACACCAAUAUUUUCUUGUUCCCUUAAACAAAAUACUGUAUCAGUGUAUUAUCAAAUGACUAGAAGUGACAUUAAUGAGAGUAAAAAAGAACUAACAAUGAAAGGAUAGGAAGUAAAUGUACGAAUUUAAAAGUAUUUAGGAUGCAAUCUAAUUUGUUAAAUCCACUUGCUCGGUAAAAGUUCGAGCAAAAAAAAAUCAGAAAAAACCAACAAAAAACACCAGAACCCAAACCAUUGCAGGAAGUAGCACCUUCGCCUCUGUUGAGGCCUGCUCUGUCGAUUAAGAGUUCUAUCCAAAUCACAAAAAACUAACGGAAAUCGACACUCACAAAAAACUAACGGAAAUCGACCAUAACAUCCACGAAACACGCCGCCUCCGUUCAUAAUUUUUCGCCAUGCAUUGAUUAACAUCACCGCUCUCCACCACUACAACCUUUCUAACUAUUCACCACCGCCGAUCAACGAACUGAUCACCGGAAUCGAAACCCACAAAAACUGCCAUUGCUUAUCUCAAUUUCCAACCAAACCACCAACUUUUGGAAAAACCUCCACCACCGUCACACUCACCCAUCUCAAAUCUCCCAUAAUGAACACGCAAUAAAUUGAGAUGGUAGCCUAACUUUAUAUUACUAUUUAUUUGUUCAAUUAUACUCAUUAUAAUCUAACUGCUUGCCAGAAAAUGGACAAAUAAAGCGAGUACGAUGCCCCUUGGGCACGAUAGGUAGAACUUGUAAAAGUAGGAACGAAUCAUCAUCAAGUGUUAUUAUCAUCAGUUAUCAUUGUAUUUUUUUUUUAGAAUAGUUAUCAUUGUAUUUGAAUUCAUUAUCAUUGUAUUUGAAUUCAUUUUCUCAUGCCGCGUUUGUAGUUGUUUUGAAGAGGUCUAAAAAAGUAAUUUAAAAAAAAAUUAAAAGUUCAGUUUUUUUUUUAAGGUUACUUAAGCAAAAUCACCACAUCCUACCGUAAAUUUAAAAAAAAUAAAGAGUAAUUUUUGAAAAUAUGAUUUUAAGAACUGAAUUUUUACUUAAUAUAAUUUCAUAUAUAUACUAAACAUUUAAAUAAUUUUCUUCACAUCUAAUUAUUUUUAAAACAUAACUAUAGAACAAUUAUUUUAAAAAUAAUAAUAUUAUCAAACUAGUCCUUAGUUAAAAUAUUUGGAUGCCAACACACAAAUUACAUGAUUGUUGUGUACAUAUAUGUGUGACAUAUGUAUAAAAUAAUAGAAUAAUUCUUUAGUUAAUUAAUGAAGAUAUAAUUAAAAAAGAAGUUCAUAUUUAUUUAAAUUGGAGCUUGUCAUGCUCAUAGAUGCACUUCAUAUAUGGGAAGCCUUACUUUUUCAACACUAAGUUUACUUUUUCAACACUAAGUUAUGACAGAAUCUUAACCACUUAAAAAAAUUGAUUUCAAAGGGCAAGAUCAAUGCUGACUUAGAUUUUUGUUAAUUAAAAAUAAAUAAACAGUGUACCCAUCCAUUAUUUUAAUUCAUUUAUUUUUUUCCUCUCAAAAUUUACGCAUAUUUUCUGUUGAUGCUGAAAUCUGUUCGUCCUUUGUCCGACCAGAUCUUUACACCAACGCUUAUGUGGUCGGUAGAGAAGAUGUCAAUUUCUUCUUACUUCAGCGAUCACUCAAGUCACUGAAGUUGGAAUUGCCCUUCCUUCUCAUACUAAGCCUGUGUUCACAAAAGUGGAUUAGAGACGCCGGUGGUUUUACCGGCGUAAACCCUUCGAUGCCUAAGUUAGCACAAGGUGUUUACGGGAAUACGGUGCAAUUUAGACUCGGUAAUUUGCUUAUAAUUUGCUCACAGUUUGUAUAGAAAGUGGUCUGGUUUCAAUUUGGUAGAGUUUUCCUUUCUCUCCAUUUUUUCCCUCCCCUUCUUUAUUGGUUUCUUCCUCUUUUAUAGCCGCUGUCCCACGUUUCCAUUCACCCUUCAUCCCUCCCUUUCUUAGAUAGUGGCAGCCCCUCAUAGGACUCCAACUACUACAUUGUGGGUAAACGUAGGAUACCGUGUCUCCCUCAACGGUUCUGGGUAUAGCGCAACUAUCGCGAUUUCGUGAGGUCUUGUGCCUGCUCUUUGGGGAAUGGGUAUCUGCUCGGUAUACGUCUCUGGUCGGUACUCGUCUCCGGUAGGCCCACGUUUGCAGAAGGCUCUCUAUCAGUGUUCCGCUCGUACCAUUUAGCAUAGGUGGUUCACCCCGGGGUGGGAGACGAUGGCAUGGCUGAGCUGAUGCUCUUAAUUCCUCAACACCAGUCCCUUAGUUUCUGGUCUUGCGAGUGAAACGAGUUGAGAGUAGAAACUGAUACUUGAAUCUCACCGAUUCUGGGAACCACCCAUCUGGUCCUCUGCUUAUUGUGAUGGACCUGAGGAUCCAUCUUUCGUCUAGGGAGAUUUUGACCUAAGCAUGGGCCUUUAUGAGUAUGUCUAGUAUUUAUACCUGGGUUUUUUGUCUAGUCAGGCCUCUCAUAACGGUUAGUGACGUGGCGCUUCCCGACUCUUCGUAUUUGAAAUUUGAAACCACGGGUUAUCCAUCCUCGAUACGCAGUGAAUGAGCUGGCAUCUCUAUCACUUAAACGCUUCCAUUUCCCCCUUUUCGUUUCAAAUCCCUAGACUAAAAUCAUCAUUGUUCUGUUAUUCGUCUCUCCGCCGUAGGCCAACCCAUUCUUCGAACCUUACUCAUACUUUUCGCAUCAGGAAUCUCACUUGUGGGUCCUUUCUCCAUCACGGCAGCGCUAUCAGUGCCAGUCUAUUCCAGGUACAGCCUUUAACCUCUUCUCUGGUUGUUGUUGAUUGGGUUUUGUAUUGUGGGUUCUGUGUUUGUCCCUUUUUGUACCCAUACUCUUAAAUAUUUUGUGCUUUCCCUUCUUAAACUUCAAUAUGUCCAAUCGAAAAGGAAAAAUAAUUGUAGAUGAGAGUGAUGAAGAGAUAGAUGAUUCAUAUCCCCAUUUGUUUGGACACAGUGAUCUUUUAUACCCUGCUCGUAGUGUAGGUCCCUCCUAUCAUAGGGAUACCCCUGAAUACCCUCGUCCUAUAGCCACUUCGCCUUCCCCUGAAUUAGAGCUUGUAGGAAACAGAAGUGGACUCGCGUCGGGCUCUGGUGAGAAUCAUAGUUCUGGUGGGGUUAGGGUCCCUGAAGAAGUAGGUGAUGGUGAGGGAAGCAGUUCCGAGCCGAGCAGACCCCCUAAGAAGAGAAACCUUGGUCAUAGGAUGGAGGCAGAGAGAAACCUUGGUCAUAGGAUGAAGGCAGAUUCUUACCAUAUUGACUAUAUAGCUUGUGCCACCACCCCAACUGACAUGUUCAAGCUUAGAGAUCUCUACAACAUUCUUGAGGAGGUUCUCCUUGUAAUCCCCGGGAAAGAUGACAUCCCUAGUCGGCCUCCGAGGGGGUAUAUGACGAUGCACCUGGAGAGUUUCAAAUUAGGAGCUCGGUUGCCCCUUCAGCGUUAUUUUGCCAAGAUACUGGGUGGUAUACACCUGCCUCCAGGUCAGCUACACCCAAAUAGGUGGAGGGUUCUCUCGGCUAUAUAUGUGUUAUGGGAGAGGGGUGGAUCCGAAGAACCUUCCCUUGUUGAAGUAAAGCAUUUGUACCAGCUGAGUAGCCCAAAGGAAGCAGGCUGGUACUACUUCAUGUCGAGCUCUGCGAAAAGGAAGCCAAUCACCGGUUUUUCUUCCUCGUGUAAAAAUUAGAAGAACAAAUUCUUCUUUACUGGAGGAAAUUGGUGUCGAGCAGCCCGUUCGCUUGGUGGUGAUAUUCACAUUCCAACGCGCUUUGUCACCCCAUGUCGUUUAUUUUUUAUCUUUUUUUUUCUCAAAUUGUCACUUAUUGGGUUCUUUAACAUUUCUUGCUCUUUCAGAGUCGUGGGAGUUUGAUCAAGGAGCUUGAAGAAAGACCCUUGCUCCAGGUGAAAACUGCUCUGGUGAACGCGUAUACCUGCCAAGACCUCCUGUCACCAACAAACCUGGUCGGUUCGCGUUUAGUGGACGUAGCUGCCGGAAUGGAUAACAAGAUCCUUAGCGCUAUGACCAGGAAGCGUAGUCGGGCUCCAAGCAGCUCCAACAACCCUCCUCCUCCGAAGAAAGCCAAUACUGGUCCACCCAAGACUUCUGUUCCUGCUCUGCCCCCUCCUCCACCUCAAAAAAAUGGUGGGGAGAAGGUGAGUGAUAAAAGUCCUGAGGUUAGCAUUCAGUCCGGGGACCGAUCCUCUCAUCUUCCAUCUCGGGAUCAAGGUGACUACCUGAGCCGGUACCAGAGGGAUUACGGCAAAUCAGUGGGACCCAAGAUGGUGAAGGACAUUGAAAGUAUGAACCUCGCCGAGUUAGCUGGUUCCGUUCAAAGGGUCUCCUUUAAGCUGGCCACCUUGGUUUCGUGCUACAAGAACAGGUUCAUGCACCAUGAGAGGAGGUUUCAAGCUGACAACAUGAAUUGAGAAAAAAGCUGAGUCUGCCGACCGCUCGCGGGAGAAACUGCUUGAUCUGCACAAGCAAAUCAUGGACCUGGAGGAGAAAUUAGACAUGGCGGAGUCUACCUCCACCAAGCUUGAGGGUGAGUUGGGUGAUCUGAAGUCUGAUCUUUAGGCCACUCAAAGUGAGUGAGAUACCCUGAAGACGGCCCUUGAGGGAGAAAUCAAAUCUCUGAGUGAGCAGUUGGCCGAGGUGAAAGGCAAAUCUACUGAUGUGGAUGAUCGGCUGGAUGCAGAGUAUAACUCUGGGGUUGCUUUCUGCUAUAAGUGCAUCAUGUCUGUGCUUAAGGAAGAAUAUCCAAAACUUAACAUGAGCAAGUUGGAGGCUGGAGUGCAGAAAUAUAUGGCGGAGUCCGACCAGGGGGAUCAGGAUCAGGUGGAACCUUAUUCAGGUGAGGCGCAGGAGGAGGGAGUAGGGGGUCGUGCUCCUGAAGUAGGUCAAGGGUCAGUGCCUCUUCCCCUCGAUGUUGCCGAUCCUCCUCUUCCUGAGGUUGUUGAUCCUUCAACUACUGAGGCCGCUGAUCCUCAUAAUUUUCAAGUUUAUUUUUGUUUAAAUUCUAAAUUUUCAUCUGUUUUGCAAACGUUUGGAUGUUUAUAAAUUUUGGGAUGCUUUCUGUUGGCCUUCUUGUCUUGGUUUUGUUGAUGGAUUAUUUCUGCAAAUCACCUUAACAAUUUAAUUUGACUUUGCUUACUGGUUCUUUGAGUAGGACGAGCAGAAUUAGACACUUCCUUGCCUUAAUAAAAUUUUGUAAAAUUGCAUGCUGGUCCUUAGGCGACCGAGCAGGAUUAGGCACUUUUUUGCCUUAGUAGAAUUUCGUAAAAUUGUCUGCUGGUCCUUAGGCGACCGAGCAGGAUUAGGCACUUGCUUGCCNNNNNNNNNNNNNNNNNNNNNNNNNNNNNNNNNNNNNNNNNNNNNNNNNNNNNNNNNNNNNNNNNNNNNNNNNNNNNNNNNNNNNNNNNNNNNNNNNNNNACUUGCUUGCCUUAAUAACAUUUCGUAAAAUUGCCUGCUGGUCCUUAGGCGACCGAACAGGAUUAGGCACUUGCUUGCCUUAAUGAAUUUAAUGGACUUUGCUAGCAGGGGAAUUUCAUGCUGAAUUCAUCUUUAUUGAAACUUGCAUGGGUUACAGAAAUGCGGAAUAUAUGCAUGUGCCACAAGUCAUCAUGCAUUUAACAGAAAUAACUUAUCGAAAUAAAGACUUAGUAGAGCACUUUACUUACUAGAAGUACUUUUUCAAGUGUUCAGCGUUCCACAACCUCUUCACCUCUCGUCCAUCUGGGUAAGCCAAAUUGUAAGCCCCUGGUUCAGUCGCUCGUAUUACCCUGUAUGGGUCUUGCCAUUUCGGGCCAAGAGCGCCAUGAUUAGGAUCCCUAGUGUUUUGGUUUACCUUCUUAAGUACCCAAUCUCCUGCUCGGAACUGCCUCACGCGUACGUUCUUGUUGUAAUAACGCAUGAUUCUUUGCUGACAUUGGGCCACUUUCUGAGGGGCCCCUUCCCUUUUCUCCUCCAGCAGGUCCAAGCUCAAGCAUAUCUGCUCGUCGUUUUGCUCCUCGUUAAAAUAUUAUGUCCGAUAUGUCCCCACUCCAAUUUCUGCUGGGAUUACCGCCUCGUGACCAAAAGCUAAAGCAAAUAGGGUUUCCCCCGUGGCAGUUUUGUGGGUUAUCCGGUAAGCCCAUAAUACUCCUGGUAGCUCGUCGACCCAAGCUCCAUUCUUCUCUCCCAGUCUGGUUUUCAGGAGUUUCUUUAUUACUUUGUUGGCUGCUUCCACUUGUCCGUUUGCCUGGAGGUGUGCUGGGGUGCAGAACUUCAGGUCCACCCCCAAGUUUUGGCAAAAUUCUCUGAAGUUGUUGUUGUCAAACUGCCUCCUAUUGUCUUUAAUGAUGGCAUAGGGAAUCUCGUAUCUGCAGAUGAUAUUCUUCCAAAUAAAAUCCAUUGUCUUUCUCUCCGUGAUUUGGCUGAGGACUCCCACCUCUACCCACUUGGUGAAGUAGUCUAUAACCAUAAUUGCAUGUGUUGCCACUCCUCGGCCCUUAGGUAAUGGGCCAAUCAGGUCAAUUCUCCACUAAGCAAAAGGCCAUGGGGAUGACAUAGUGGUUAGCCUUUCUGGGGGCUGAGCAGGAACCUCUGAAAAGUUCUAGCAAACCUUACAAUUUUUUGCCAUUCUCUUCGCAUCAUGGUGCAUGGUCGGCCAAAAGUAUCACUACCGAAGUGCUUUGAAAGCUAAAGUUCUUGCCCCCGAAUGAUUGCCACAUAUUCCUUCAUGAAUUUCCCUCAACACAUAAUCUGCUUCCUCGUCAUCUAAGCAUCUCAAAAGGGGUAAGGUGAAUCCUCGACGAUAGAGUAUCCCAUCGAGUAGUGUAUACCUUGCUGCCCGACAUUUCAACUUCCUUACUUGCUUCCUGUCCUCUGGUAAGAUGUCCUCGCGGAUGUAUGAGAGAAUGGGGUCCAUCCAGGAUUUUUCGGUGCUUACCCGCAUUACUUCUGCUUCCUCCCCUAUGCUUGGCGAGGUUCUCACUUCCAGUAGAACUGACUUGGGUAAUUUUGGAUCUGCAAUUGCAACCAUUCUAGCCAACAUAUCUGCUCGGUAAUUUUUCUUCCGGGAUAUCUGCUUUAUUUCUACCUCUUGGAAGAGUUCAACCAUUUACUUCGCCUUCUCCAAAUAAAGCCCCAACUUCUCUUCCCUUACUUGGAAUUGAUCAUUGAGCUGAUUGCAGACUAGCUGGGAAUCUGCUCGGAGUUCUACCAUUUCUGCUUGUAGUGCAUGUGCAAGCUCGAGCCCAGUAAUGAAGGCCUCAUAUUCAGCUUGGUUAUUCGUGAGCUGGAACUCGAAUUUCACUGCAUAGGAUACCUCGACCCCUUCUGGGUUUCGUAUUACUACUCUUGCUCCGGAUCCCUGUUCACUACGUGACCCAUCAACCAUUAUCAGCUACACCCUCUUUGGAUUCUCCUGUUCCACUGGUUGCUCCUCCUGAACUUCUUCCACUGGUUCAACACGGUCAACCAUAAAAUCAGCUAGGGCUUGGGCUUUGAUUGCUCCUCAGGGUCUAUAAGAUAGGUCGAAUUCGCUCAGCUCCACUGACCAUUUUACUAACCGACCAGAUGCAUAUGGUUUUUGGAGUAUUUGCCGAAGGGGUUGGUCAGUCAUCACAAUUAUCGGGUGGGCCUAAAAAUUUGGUCUGAACUUGCGUGCUGCCGUUAUUAAAGCUAGUGCCCAUUUCUCCAUCAGUGGAUAUCUGGUUUUUGCGUCUACCAGGGUCUUGCUAGUGUAGUAUACUGAGUGUUGCUUUCCUUCAUCUUCUCUGACUAAUACCGAGCUAGUAGCCCAUUUAGAGAUUGCUAAGUACAAAUACAGCUGGUCACCCUCCCUCGGAGUCGAUAAUAACGGGGCGCGGGCCAGAUAUUCUUUCAGCUGCCCGAACGCUUCUUCACAUUCUGACGUCCAUUCCAUCUUCCUCUCUUUCUUUAUGUUUUGGAAGAAAUUGUGGUAUUUAUCUGUGGCAUUUAUCUGUGGCCCGUGAGAUGAGCCGGUUCAAUGCUGCUAAUUUCCCUAUAAGACUCUGCACCUCCUUAACUGUUCGGGGGGACUUCAUUUCUGUUACUACCCGUAUUUUUUCCGAGUUAGCCUCGAUCCCUCGGUGACUCACCAGGAAUCCCAAAAACUUGCCCGAGCCGACUCCAAAUGCACAUUUAUCCGGGUUCAGCUUCAUUUCAUACUUCUUCAGCAAUUCAAAGGUCUAUUCCAAGUGCUUCACAUGAUCCCUCAGUUCUUUAGACUUCGUGAUCAUAUCGUCCAUGUAUACCUCCAUAGUGUGACCGAUCAAUGGUUUGAAAAUCUUAUUCACCAACCUUUGAUAGGUAGCUCCUGCAUUUUUCAGGCCAAAAGGUAUCACCCUGUAACAAAACAAACACAUGUUAGUUAUAAAGGUGGUACUCUCUUCAUCCUGCUCGUUCAUGGAUAUUUGGUUGUAUCCUAAAAAGGCAUCCAUGAAGCUGAGCAGACUGUGACCCGCCGUUAAAUCCACCAAUUGAUCUAUUUUUUGUAGGAAAAAAUUGUCCUUCAGGUAUGCCUUAUUAAGGUCUGUGAAAUCCACACACAUUCUUCAUUUCCCAUUGACUUUCUUUACCAGCACUACAUUAGAAAUCUACUCCGAGUAUUUAGCCUCCCUUAUAAAUCCCGCUUUCAACAGCUUCUCCACCUCGGCAUUUAUGGCCUCGUACCUUUCUUGGUUAAAGCACCUCCUUUUCUACCUCACCGGUCUUGCCCCUUUCUUGAUUGCUAACUUGUGGCAAGCUACCCCGCGAUCAAUUCCUGGCAUAUCCUCAUGAGACCAUGCAAAUAUAUCUGUAUGGGACUGUAGGCAUUUCACCAGCUCGCCUUUUAUUUCUUCGCUUAAUCCUAACCCGACUUUAACCACUCUGCUCGGGUUACCCUUGCUCACAACAACCUCCUCCAACUUCUCAACAGGUUCUUGGCGUCCAUUUUUAGAAUCUCCUCGGUUAUCCAGAGAUGUAACAUGUAGUGUCUCCUUGGCCGUUGUAGCGUAACAGUUCCUCGUCAUUCUCUGGUCACCUUUUACUACGCCUACAACUCCGUUGACUCUGUAUUUCAACGCCAGAUAAUGCAUAGAUAUAACGCAGGCUAAUCCUCAUGAAAGGUCGUCCCAAUAUCAUCUGAUAAAGACUUCUCUCUUCUACCACGACAAAGUCCAGCAUCACUGUUCUUUCAAACGGCUUUGAUCCUACAUUAACCGGGAGCUCGAUGAUCCCCAUGGGGGUUAACCGUCCUCCUCCAAAUCCCUUCAAGAAUGUAUUCGUCCGUUUCAGUUUUAAGUCUGAAAUUCCCAUAUCAUCUAGGGCCGACUUAAACAGUAUGUCAACCGAGCUGCCCGUGUCCACCAGUAUUCGCUGUAAUUCUGUACCAGCCACCAUUGUCUUAAUCACCAAUGCAUCCUCAUGAGGAUAUAAAAUACCCUUUUCGUCGUCAUUUGUCCACAUAAUGGGAACUUGCCUCACUUUCGCCCUCUUGGCUGCUGGCAAAUUGAAAAACACUUCUUUACUGGUCAUGGCGUAUCUCCCAUAGCUCUUCCGUGCCAUGUUCGAAUCCCCAGCCAAUGUUGGCCCCCCUGCUAUCAUACGGAUAGUUGGCUGUUCACGUUCCAGGCUCCUCUCAACUCCUUCAUCCCGCUUGUACUGUGAUUCAAUGACGGGGGACACUCCAUCUACAUAUUCAUCAAGGUACCGAUUCCUCACCAAAUCCUCCACCUGAAUCUUUAAGUCACGACAUUGGCUGAUAGUGUGAUCAUGAGUGUCGUGGAAUUUGCAGAAUCUGCUCUUAUCACGUUGGUGAGCAGGUUUUGUUAUAGAGGCUGGAGGGUACAGCAGGCCUCGUCCCUCGAUCCUCUCGUACAACUCCUCCAUAAGGACUUUUAAUGGGGUGUAUUGUCUAUAUGCUAAGCUCUGGUCAAUCAGCUGGACUGCUCGGCUAUCAUAGAUAUCGUCCCGAGCUGAUAUUGUAGGUAGCUGACCUGGUCGCCCAGCUCUGGAGUUGGUGGUAUGUAAUGCCUUGGGAGCGUUGUGAUAAGGUUGGGCAGCCAACUGCCGGAAUUCUCGUUGCUGCUCCGAGAAUAGGGGGCGCGGAGGCCGAGCUCGGCUGUGUUGGAACUGUUGCGAUCUCUGAGCCAUGGGGUAAGGGCAAGACCGAGCGGAUAUUGCGUCCAUCACUGAGGAUUCCCCAGCUCGCUUUCCCGACCCGCUCCUACUUGGGAUUCUCCUUUCCUUUUGUCUCAGCUCCUCCAGCUGUUCCCUUUUUAUCCUCGUCGAUUUUUCUUCUUCGAUUUCUAUAUCUCUCCUCGCCUGCUCAUACCCCGCCGAAUAAUUCUGCACCAGGGGACUUCUCAAGUUAUACCAUAGUCGGCCUAUCCUCACACCCUCUUUUAAUCCCCUUAACGCCUGCGGAUGAUUAAAAGCUCCCAAAUCAAGCACGACCCGGUGGUAUCAUUUUACAAAAUCCCGAAGGGAUUCAUGUUCCUCCUGCUUCAUCCCCAUCAAUUCCAUCGUAUCGUCCUCUGGGGUCACUGCUCCUCAGAACUGCUCGGCCAACUCUUAGCACAUCUGCUCGUAUCCUUUAAUACUUCCUCGUGGCAGCUCGCGGUACCAUUCUCGGGCUCGUCCCUCUAGUGUCAAUGAAUACACCCUACAUCUCUGAGCUGGUGUUAGCCCCUGCACACCUGUCAUGUCGUUGAAACGUUCAAUAUGCACCAGCGGGUCACUUCGCCCGGAGUAUUUGAGGUCGGGGAAGCGAAAAUCUCUUGGGAUUACAGUACCCAUGAUCUCGGCUAAUAACGGAAAUUCUUCAUCUAGCAUUAUCCUCCAACUCGGGGACUUUCUCUUUCCCUGAAUCUCAUCCAUCACCUGCGCCAAUCUGCGCACCUCGCCUUCCAAUUCUACAGCACGGUCAGGAUCGCGCGCAGCUAUCUGAUCUCGCUCCUGCUCGCCAUUCAGCAACCGUUGUCUGAGCUCUCCUUCAUCAAUAUUGGCUCCUCGGCCAUCAAUUUCCAGUACCCGUCCGGAGCGAGGUUGGCCUCUCCAUUCAUCUACGCGCUCCCCUGGAAUCUGACAAGUACUUCUAUAGGGAUGUGCCCCAUAGGGUUAGUCUAUCGGUAGAGGGAUCUCCUCGACUCUACGCCUCCGGAGGCUGGGUUCUGCCACAACUUCAUCUCUCCCCACAGGGGUUUCACAAUCCCUUCUUCGUUCACCCCCUCAGCUCAUACAAUAUGGCCGCGAGAGUCUCCAUUUGUUUCUCCAUCCGCUCUAGUCGAUCUUGCAUCAUCCUCUCUCGAGCUUCAUUCGCAAUCUCCCGGAGAGUGAUUGUCUCAACAGUUUCAUUGUCAUCCCCUAAGGCACCCUUCCUUAAAACAUCCAUAACCGAUUGUUUGUGUGCUUCCUCUGAUGACUAUUAGUUUGGUGGUAGCUUUUUAUCCAACUCCCCACAGACGGCUCUAAAAUAUUGAUGCUGAAAUCUACUCAUCCUUUGUCCGACCAGAUCUUUACACCAACGCUUAUGUGGUCAGUAGAGAAGAUGUCAAUUUCUUCUUGCUUCAACGAUCGCUCAAGUCACUGAAGUUGGAAUUGCCCUUCCUUCUCCUACUAAGCCUGCGUUCACAAAAGUGGAUCAGAGACGCCGGUGGUUUUACCAGCGUAAACCCUCCGAUGCCUAAGUUAGCACAAGGUGUUUACGGAAAAACAGUGCAAUUUAGACUCGGUAAUUUGCUUAUAAUUUGCUCACAGUUUGUAUAGAAAGUGGUCUGGUUUCAAUUUGGCAGAGCUUUCCCUUCUCUCCAUUUUUUCCCUCCCCUUCUUUAUUGGUUUCUUCCUCUUUUAUAGCCACUGUCCCACAUAUCCGUUCACCCUCCAUCCCCCACUUUCUCGGAUAGUGGCAGCCCCUCAUGGGACUCCAACUACUACAUUGUGGGUAAACGUGGUAUACCGUGUCUCCCUCAACGGUUCUUAACAUAGCGCAACUAUCGCAAUUUCGUGAGGUCGUGUGCCCGCUCUUUGGGGAAUGGGUAUCUACUCGGUAUACGUCUCUGGUCGGUACUCGUCUCUGGUAGGCCCACGUUUGCAGAAGGCUCUCUAUCAGUGUUCCGCUCGUACCAUUUAGCCGAGGUGGUUCACCCCGGGAUGGGAGACGACGGCAUGGCUGAGCUGAUGCUCUUAAUUCCUCAACAUUUUCUAUAACUAUUUUAUAUUUUUUAAAAUUAAAAACCACCAAAGGGUAGAGGGUUAGGCGAGUCUUCCUUAUCUGUAGAUUAAAUAAUAAAUUAAAUUACAUUUAAAGGGAACAUAAACCAAAACCUCCAAUUAAGGGAACAAGCACAAAUAACAAAUGGAAAAGUAGCAAAAGCAAUAAGAGAAUAAAUAAGAAACUAAAGAAUUAAUUAUUGCAAACGCCCAAAGAAAUGGAAAAAUAGCAAAAGUAAUAAGAGAAUAAAUAAGAAACUAAAGAAUUAAUUAUUGCAAACGCCCAAAGAACUGCUUACGAUACUUGCGACCACUUACUAAUUUGAAACCUUUUCUAGAACUAGAGGUAUGGGGUCAGCAACACUGAAGUUAGAGUCAAGAUCACGCCCCCCACUAUCCUCAGGUUCAAAUGCGAAAUACUCAUCAGCCACAAGAUUCUUAUUAGAGCUAAACUCUUCAUCAGAAUGAAAAGGGAUAUCUAUAUGAUGGGAAUUGAAACCCACAACCAUGCAGCGAAUAUCAUCCAAAGAAGAUUAGAAAACAGUAGAGCCGAUGGAUGCCCUAUGAACACUCGGGUCAUCCAAAAAUGAAGAAAGAGGAUUAGCGACCUCGGCGCAUUAAACAACAUCUCUCAAAACAGCAGAAUCCUUUGGACCAUUGUCAUCCUAAACUCUCAGCCAGAAAACUGAAUCAGACUCAUCAUCCUUAGUAUUUGGAGCAACAGGAACAAGUGACCGAGCAUCCAAAGAAGUACCCUCAUUGCCACCAAGCCUGAUAGACAGCAAAUGCAUGAGCCACGAAGAUCUGGAAGAAUGCCAAAGCCAAAUCCUAGGUUUGCUACGUGAGGGCAUGAGUCCCAUGCAACCCAUGCAUGAAACAUGCAUGUGCUGAGAUCGUGAAGAUACGUGCUGGAGCUGGAGCUGGAGCCGUGAUUUAGGAAUACGCUUAUCAACGAUUGUGCAGCGAGUAAGGAGGGAAGCUAAGACACGGAAGUUGUUUUCGAUUAUCUUUCGGUUUCAAAUUCUUAGCUAAGUUGUUAUACUCGUUUAUUUAGCCGUAAUUGUAGGAUGGAAACCAAAGUCUUCUUAUUAUAAAUAAGCUCCAGAAUACAAAUAAAAGUAUUGAGAAUUCUAAACAACAAUUAUUUGGUCCUUUCUCGCCGUAAGUAGAAAAAUAUCACUUAUGUUACGCGUGAUCAUUGGCUGUCUCUGACUGGGACCUAUCAAAGCCUUAAAGGCCAAAUCUCCUCACUGAAAAGAGUCUGCGGAGCCAAACCCGAAGAUUGACCCUGGACAAGAACAGGCCCUGUGUUCGAUUAUCCUCAGCAACCACAUACUGCGUAGCACAAUCCACCCUUAGGCUGUACAUCAACAGCUGACAUAGACAUCUUUCUUUUAUCUCAAACAACAGUAUUCUGCACCUGCCCAACAGGUUGUUGGGGCUUCCAAAGCCUAAGAUUGGUAACAAAACAAGCAUCAGCAGAGUGCCCAAGAUGUUUACACGUAGCUGCACCUGGCCAACAUGCUCUUUCCAUUAACAUUUCGGACUGCCUAACCCAUAUACGGGAGUAAUCUUCUUUAAGUUGAAGCUUGAUCAAGGCGUGCCUAUUAUCUAACAAUGAAACCAGCAUACUACCUUGCAAACUUAGAGAGACAAUAAACUUUCUAAUCACAUCCAUUGGAGUGCGACUAAAAGAAAACUUACCAACAAGGGAUAACUUGAAAGGCUCGGCCAGGGACUGAAUUUUUGCUGUCGAAAAGUAAAUAGCAGGUUCCCCCAAAAGCAAAGAAACCGACUUACGGGAUUGAACGGUAGUAGAGCCAGAAAAAGUAUCGACGAAUGACUUUGAAAGCCAUAAGGUAGCAGCAGGGUUGAGGACAGUCGCAGGAUUAAUAACGGAGGCAUAUGCAGGCUUAGCCGAUGGAUUGAGAUUACGACCAAGGGUGGUGGGGGCUGAUCGGUUUUGAGUUGAAUGAAGUGGCUGAGUUGAAUGAAGUAGCUGAGUUGGGGGAGAUAUGGCUGUUUGGCUUGGGUUUGGUCUUGGGCGAGGGUUGAAUGUGACGAAUUAGAGCUUGGGUUAUAAAGAGGCAGCUGGCUGGGGUUAUAAAAAGGCCAGGUGGCGGCUGUUGGGUGUGCGUCAGGUCCAAGGAAGGUUCCGUCGACAAGGACUCACCACCAGUGGAGCUCGUAACGUGGUGACGGUGUGGAGCAGAUUUUAGAAGGUUUGCCGUGAACUAGGGUUUGCGUUUAAACGUGGUGGUGGCUUUUGUAGGGGCUCUUGAUCGGAGAAGAAGUUAUUAGCAUUGAGGGACGGUUCCGGCGGUGGUAAAGCACCAUCAGCGGCGGACAGUGUGGCCAUGGGAGGCCGGUCAAGGUUCGGUCAAGGUUCUGCACGUUCUUCGUUAUUUUCAAACUAAAGCCCACUGCACUUCCUACAAUGCAUUUUAAACUGAAGCAAGCGUGUUAUCACUAUUUUGUUCGUCUAUCAUUCUUCUUCGUUAAUUUGACAAGUCAUUAGACUUAUUAUUUAUUUUAUUUUUAUCCAUUUUUAAAGUACGAAUAAAUUAAUCUCUAUAAUUGUGAUUCCAUCAACAAACUGGCCUUAGAAAUAAUCUCUCUAAUUCUGAUUUUGAGACAACCAGAUCGACUUCUCCUAUGCUAGGAAGCUCCAAAGUAACAAGAAUGACAACAAAAUAAUGACCCUAGGGAAUAAUCUCUAAUUUCCUUUUUCCUUAAGCGUGCAACCAAAAAAUUUACCAAUUAGCAAUCUGAUAAAAAAGGUUGCUACAGUUCCUUAAUGCACAAACUAGAGUUCUGAUUAAAACAAAUUAGGAAAAAAAAAUAAUAACACGCAAAUUUAUUUGGAUUCUGAAGUACAUGAAAUCAACUCCAUGAUUUGAUGAAUAAUAUCUCAUGAAAGUAUCAGAAACGGCAAAGUUCAACAGAAACUAAUGAGUUUAGCGCAUAACCAGAAAAUUUGAACAAGAUUGUUUGAGCUUCAGUAUGACACAAACACAAUAAUCAUGAGCCGGCUUUCCACUGUAGAUUUUUGAAGCAUCGCUCAUUUUGCAAGAGCAGGAACCUCAGCUAUGAGUCUUUAAAAUGCUAUCUUUGAAAGUGAAGUGAUGUAUCAACCAUCUUCAAUAGAAUUGUAUAGUAUGAUAAUAAUCAACAGUCCAAUCAAGCUUGAAACGGAGAAAGGAGCACAGGAGUCCCUUAAGCAAGAGUGUGCGGCUAGUGGUCAGUUGAUACACCGGGUUAAUUAUACGAGAGCUGCUGAGGAGCAACAUCACGAAUUUAAGGCAAUAAUCAGAACUUUUGUUCGCUUCCAUAUUUUGAAGAAUAGAGAAGAUCGUCUAGUAAACAACUUAUUCUGUUUUUCUGCAUGUAAAUCUUGACAGGCUCCAUUUAUUUGAUAUUGUUGACUGUGACAUGUACCUGAUCUCCAAGGAAAUAUGAAGCUAGGUCAGUGAUUCAGGACUUGUAAUAACAAUUUGUCAAUUUCUGACAACCUUAACUCCAAAAUCUUUCAGGUUUCUAGAUUCCAUCAAAAUUAGUAUAUAUAGCUUCACACUUCAUAUACCAGGUAAAUUGUCCCUGCUAGAUGAAACUCUUAUCAUUGAAUAAGCAAUACAUUGUUGAAUAGCACUUUUCUGCAGACAAAUUCUUGAUUUGCCCUCACAAAUUCAAUCCUCAACCCUGAAUUUAACCUGCCAAAAAUGAAAAAGUAUCAACCUAAUCACCCUCCAAUUACUCUAUUAUCGUGUAAUAUAGAAAGUAUCAACCCAAUCACCAAUUUCUAACAACCUUAACCCCAAAAUCUUUCAGGUUUCUAAAUUCCAUCAAAAUUAGUAUAUAUACCUUCACAUUUCAUAUUCUAGGUAUAAUUGUCCCUCCUUGAUGAAACUCUUAUCAUUGAAUAAGCACUGCAAUGUUGAAUAGCACUCUUCUACAGACAUUCUCGAUUUGCCCUCACAAAUUCAAUCCUCAACCCUGAAUUUAACCUGCCAAAAACGAAAAAGUAUCAACCUAAUCACCCUCCAAUUACUCUAUUAUCGUGUAAUAUAGAAAGUACAAACAUCUCAUACCUAGGAAUGUUGGACAACUGUACAAUGUAGGUGAUUGGGUUCUGGGCAUCCCACUAAUAUGCCUAAAACUCUCUCACAGUGUUAGGCAUAUGUUCCUCCAUAGACAGUGAUGCUACCCACAUGACAUAAUAUUGUUUUUUUUUUAAUAGCAUAUCACAAAUCUUAUGCCAUGUUAAGAAGCAGAAAAAGUACAUAACUUUAAAGCCAGAGACAUGCAUAAAUUGAAGAGGCCGCAUCGAAAUGCAAACCUGAGAGCAUAUGGGAUCAUGCCUAAGAACCGAUAAGUUGCUACUAGUUGCAGAAAGGUUGUGCUAUCAGUCAGUAUGAUUCUACGGUUCAAAAAAAUUUUACUUGCCUUACUUCUUAUUAAAAUUUACUAUAAAUCAUUUCCCAUCAGCCGGCUUUGGAUGCACCCUUGCAUCAUCCUCUCUAGCUUGUUUUUUGCCUUUCACCUGCAGAACAUGGUUUCAGUCAAAAUAGAAUAUUUUCUUAACAAGUUGGGGAGAAAAUAGUAAAAGCACAUUGUGAUAUUUCGAAAUGCUCAUCAGAUAUUAGCUUACGAUUAAUGAUAUUUAAUUAAAAAAAAAAAAGAUAGGUGGUAGAUUCCAACUUAAUUCAUUAACAUUCUAUGACUGUUUAAAAAUUCGUGCAAAUACCAAGUACACUUACUAAAUUAAUUGUAAAAUGCGCGAUAAAAUAAAAACAUUGACAUAAUCUAAGGAUGUUAAAUGAUCUGAUCAAGUAAAUUACUUUUCUGAGUAUCAAAAAUGUGCCAGUGGUCAAUUCCUCCAUCUUUAAAGAAUAUAUACCAAAAAAGUCUAUUGUGAAGUCUUCCACUCUUCUCCAGCUAAUCAAAUCCUGCUAUACUCUCUCUUGUAUGACCCUGACCCAUAUAGCCACCAUGAUGAGAAGUUUUCAUGUCUCUUGAGAUUGAAUAUCUACCCCUGUAAUAUUAUAUUGUGAUUGAAUAUCUACCCCUGAAAUAUUAUGUUGUGAUUAUUAGCGAGCAUGUUGAAAAGCAGAAAUGAUGGAUAGAUGGGGAGAAGAUUACACGAGCUGCCAAAGGCCAAUUACCUUGUUCAGAUUUCACACAUCAAUGUCAGAAAUGAAUUAUUCAAGAAAACAAUGGCAUGAUAGUGAUGAACGAUGGUGAAACAUAAGACUUGAGUGGGUUGAGGAGAACAGAUUUGGAACAAUUGUGUCUUUGCAGUAACAGUUUCUUCUCAUGCCUGCAAAAUUUUCAGCUAAUUUAGUUGAGUAGAUGGAUACAUACACUCUGUAGUCUGUACAAGUAUCACAGUAUAAUAAUCACUACUGAAAAGUUAUAUGGAAUUGAAUUCGAGCAGACAAAUUUAAUCCAAAAUGUUCAACCUAUAACUAUUUUCCAUAAAUAUUUUGGAACAAACUGAUAUACAUACAAAAGUUGACUUGAUGGAAACAAGAAAUCCAAAAGAUUAAAAACAAUGGUUGCUAAGUCAAAAGAAUAAGCACAACAUAAUUUGAUGCCAAAUUUUGUUACCUAUUAAAUUACAAAAAACUGAUUUUAAAGAAAAAGCAAUUACCUGUCCAUUAGUUCCAACUGUAGCUGUCUGAAAAAUCAAGGUCUACCUCUUUUCACAAAUUCAAAAUUAAUUAUGAUGCUAGGGAUUCGAGAAAUUUUGUCCCAGUCCUCUCCUGUCUCAUUGUAACGCUCUUCCAGAACAGUGCACCAAUUGAUAGUCAAUUCCUCCAGUGCAUCUGUUUGAAGAAUGUGGCCUGGCAGUGCCUUCAAUUUGGGACAGUGUACAAGUGACAAGAAACGAAGACAUGGCAUGAUUGUCCCACAAUCCCAAUCUUCCCAUUCUUCCAUGUUUACAAACUUAAGAGAUUUCAAUUUGGGGAAGACAAUAUCUGAUGAAGAUGAUGACGCAUCAAUGCUUCUUAUUCCCAGAAGUUCGUUACCUACUCUCACACUCCGCAUACUGCUUAUAGAGAGUGAUUCAAGAGAUGAAAGUUUUCCCAGAGGAGGCAAAUGAUCCAAAUUGGUGCAACCAUGGAGAUUUAACGUCCUCAACACACUCAAUGACAUUAUGCAAUCAAGGUAGCUGGCGUUGCCUUUGUAGCCUCUAAUCUCCAGAAACUCUAAAUUUGGAGGUGGUUGUAAGGCUUCAAGAACUCUUUCAUCUGUAAACAUCCUACUUUCAUCAUCCUUAUUCAUCCUAAGUUCCUCUGCAUCAUUUUCAAAAUUUAGAUACAAACGAAUGAUUUUUCUUUUGUUCUGCAGAUUUGCUUCCUUAACCACACUGAAAUCUGUAACACUUCCCAAAUUUUUUACACUAAGAGACCCUUGAAGGUGGUUCAAGUUUUUUAAACUUGCAAGGGUGCAUGCUUUGCCAUCACCACUCACAACGAAUUCACUUAAUGUCCGAAGACUAGUCAAUCUUUCAAUUCCUCUUGGUAUGUAACUUAGUGACGUCUCAACAUUUACAAGAUGCCUUAGUCUGAUUAACUUCUCCAUUCCUUCAGGUAACUUUCUGAGAUUGGUACACCAACUGAGCUCUAAAGUUUGUAAAUUAAUUAGCUCACACAAUUUCUCAGGCAAUUCUUUCAUUUUUAGUGAGGACAAAUUAAGGUAUCUCAAAAGAAUCAGUCUCUCUAUCCCUUCUGGAAUCGUUAUUAUCACUUUUUCCCACCAAAAUUGUCCACUUAGAUCUAAUGCCCGUAAAGAUGUCAACUCAUUGAAAAUUUUUGGUAGUACCUCACUAAUUGAUGAACAGUUUGUAACUCCAUAUUGAAUCAAGAGGCUGCGAACUCUUUUAGCUCCACAGAUGGAGACAGGAAAAGAAACAGCUUUAUUGAGAGCCAACAUUAAAUGACGAAGCUUAUAACCAUAACUGAUGUUUGUUGCCUGAAGACCAUCAUUAGCUUCCAUAGUAAGACUUUCAUUCUUAGCUAGAUAUUGGGCAAAAUCAUGCACUAUGCCAUGCAUCUUACAUGAUAAAAUCUUACCAUUAUCAUCUUUUUCAAAGUCUUGGAAUAAAGAUUGCAUCGCUAACAAGUCAAAAUACUCUUCACCAAUUAUCUCCAUCUCCUCUUCACUUUCUCUCUUACCAAGAUAACCUUGAGCCAUCCACAAUUUAAUCAAUUUAUCUUUAUUGAUUUGGAAAUCUUUUGGAAAGAUGGCACAAUAUAAGAAACAACUUUUAACAGUAGAGGGCAAAUCAUUAUAACUCAACAAUAAAGGGGCAAAAGGUCCCAUCUCAACCCACAGUUCACUUUCGAAGAUCAUUUGCCACUCGUCAAUAGUAUUUCUAGAGCGCAAAAGCAUCCCAACAGUCUUUAUAGCAAGAGGUAAGCCGUUGCACUUGCGCACAAUAUCUCUCCCAAUUUCUUCAAGAUGUUCACGCUCCGGAGGAGAUCUACCAAAAAAUGCAAUAUGGCAAAACAAUGACCAACUUACAUCUUCAGUAAAUUCCCUAACCAUGAUAAUGUCGGUUGAUUUCAUCACACGAGCAACUGUUUCUUUACGUGUGGUAAUCAAAAUUUUGCUUCCAUGGAGACCAUUCUUUAGACAGUGAAAUAAUGGUUCCCAUUUAUAGUAAUCUUCAGUCCACACAUCAUCUAAGACAAGAAAAAAUUUCUUACCCACAAUACACUUGCUAAUAUGUAGCAUCAGAGAUUGAAAUUCCACAAAAUUACCGACGCUGCCUCCUAGAGAGCCAACAAUUGAUUUGGCAAUCGUGAACUCAUCAAAAGUGGCAGAUACACACACCCACAAUUUUGUGUUGAAAUGUCUCCGCGUCUCAUCACUAUUGUAGGCCAAUUGAGCAAGGGUAGUCUUCCCAAUCCCUGCCAUACCAACAAUUGAGAUGAUAUGGAGGCCUCUUAUUUUUUCGCUACUCUCGGACAACAACUUGCUUAUUAAAGUAUUCUUCUCCUCAUCUCGACCAUAUACUGCUGAUUCGUCAACUAGAGAGGUAGUUUCCAGUCGUUUUGAUGGCCCAACACUCCUACUUACAUUAAAACCAAACAUAUCUCUCUGUUUGGCAAUAUCAUCUACACAUUCAUUUAACUCUUUUAUCUUGAUAGCAAUACCACGAUGCAAACCGGCUCGAAAAUUGAAACAAAAGCAAGCAGCAGGAAGGAAGGAACACACCUUCUGAGAAACAAGAGUUGGAGCACUCUCAUGAUCAUCAAGUACUCCCUCGAUUUGCAAUUUGAGCCUAGUAGUGAUCCACUCAUCCAACACAUCUUCCAUGUCAUAACAUGCGUCUUUGAGCUGAUCCAGCCAAAGUCUGACAGCUUCCUCCUUCACUUGCCUCUGCUCUGCAUCUGCAAGAAAGGCUUGGCUGGCUUGAAAAUUGGAUACGAGCCUUUUCACCUCUUUGCCGUCACCCACAAUAAGCCUCCCCUCCUCUCUAUUCUCUUCAGUAGAUAUUGAAACCAGCAGCUCCAAGAGACGGGAAACAGCUGCGUCAGCCAUAUUCGAAAUCGGAGAUCGUAAAUGAAUGAAGGAAGACGGGAAAUUUGAGUUGAACGGAAACUACGGACUGGAUCUUAUGCUGUCAACAAUCAAAAAGCACGGAAAAGGAGUGUGAUUGAUAUUAUUUUUGAUUUCCCAUUUCUCUUUAAAAGAAAAUAUUGGGAAAAUUAACCUUUCACUAUUUCCGGGUUCAGCUGCGGUGCAACAGUAGUAUAGUACCAUUUUUUUUAGUCUUUUAUGAUAAAUAUUUAUAUAACCCCUUUUACUCAUUUUUAUUUAAACUUUGUUUCACAAAUAUUAUAUUAAUUUCUACUGUAUUCAUAUAAAUAUUUUAAUUAACACCUUAUACUAUUUAUUAUGUGUAAAUUUUUAUUCUAUAUUACAUAUGUAUCACAAUAACCCUCUUUUUAUAAUUUUGAGAUUAAAUAAUUAACCCGAAAAAAUCGGGUCGACCUGAACUCGCGAAGCCGAUUCAGAUGCCUCUGUUUCUAUUUUCGGCCACUCCAUUGGCCAACGUUGGUACCGAUCGGAAGCUCGUACGACACUGAUCAUCUCUAUGUCAUCCUUAUCGCCGGAAAGCAUUCGAAAAGCUGCCGUGAAAAGCUACGGAAUCGCCGCUUCAAUUCGCCGCAAUUUUGUCAGUUUCCGGUGACGGCACCACCUGGGUUUUGUUCCCCACAAUUCCCUCUAUCUUUUUCGACCAACCACAGCCACCGAGAGAGCCGAUUUGUCGUUGAUUGGCCGUUAAAGGAUUCACAUGGAUGCAGUAAAAAUUAACUUAAUAUUUGUAAAGCAAAAGUUAAAUAAAAAUGAGUGAAAGACGUAAUAUGAAAAUUUCCCACAAAAGACAAAAAGAAAUGGUAUAGAACCACUGUUGUACCACCCCACUAUUUGUGUUUUAUUAUGUCUACACUAUUUAUGUUUUAUUAUCCAUACUUUUAAUCACUAUAAAAUUUUAACGUGUUUUUACACCACUUUUAUUUUUAAACUUAUCUCAAUCAACUAGACACUAAAAAACAACUAUUUGACUCUUAAAUAAAUUAAAAAAUUAUUUUAUUUUAUAAAAUUUUGAAAAAAUUAUAAUAAAAAUACUCUUAAAUUUAAUAAAAUAAACAAAUCUCAAAUUCAAUACGUUAAUUUUUUUAUAAUUAUAAUUUUAUUAAAAAAUUAUCAUAUUAUUUUUUGUAAUUAUAACUUUCUUUAAUUUGUAUAAGAAAAUUUUUUAAUAUUAAUUAUAAAGAAGUUUACAACAAUUACAAAGCUUUUCUCAUUAUGUUAAUUUUUGUAAACCUUCCUAUAUUUAAUUUACUAACAAAAAUUAAAUGAAAUUAUAAUUAUAAAAAAUUAUAAUUACAAGAUAUUAAUUUUUUAUAAUUAUAAUUUCAUUCAAAAAUUAUCAUCUUAAAUUUUGAGAUUUAUUUGUUUUGUUGAAUUUAAGGUAUUCUUGUAAUUAUAAAUUUUUUUAUUUUUUAAUAUUUUAUAGAAUAAAAUAAUUUUUAAUUUAUUUAUGGAUAAAAUUAUUUUUAAUAUAAAAGUAAUUAAUUGAUAGAAGCUUAAAAAUAAAAAUAAUAUAAAAAAUAUAUCAAAAUUUUAUAGUAAUUAAAUACACAUGUGAAAAAAAUGGUACGUAAAUAAUUUUUAAAAGUAAUACAAAAGUCAAAUAAAUACGUGUUUGGUGGGCCAUCAUUACUUUUGCACUAUUCUCAUAAAUUUUCCUUUUUUUUUGGCCCCAAAAAAAGCAUAAACAACCUACCGUUGUUCUCUAAUUUUCAUUUUUCAUGGUCCCACGUUGGAUGUAUUUAUGACUUUAGGAUAUCAUAUUAUAUAUAAGGACUCACCAACGUUGCAAUUGUGGUAACAUACCACAAUUUUUGUCCUUAUCCAAUAUAAUCAUUAGAUUUAAAAACAACAGAUCGAACGCUUCAGAGAUGGCCACGUUUGUGUUAAAGAAUACCGAGCAAGCCGGUUAAGAAAAGGUAAAUUUACAUGUAAUAAAAUCUGUAACGCACAUCUGAAAUCGCACGGUGACUGUUGUGUAGAAGGAAAUUUGACGAAUUUAUGAAGCUAAGCUGAUAAUCGAAAGGAGCCCUUGGCAAAGGCCAAAUAGAUGAAAGAAUCGAGUCCCAGAGACGAUAAAUACGAUCAGAGAAAGAAAAAAAAUUAGGUGAGUCGAUGCUUCACACAUUUUGUGAAGAGGGCAAGUGCCCUAAUUUGCGGGGGUGCUGGUCUGCCGGCAAGAUGGGCUUUACAGACAAAUUAUGAUCCUCGGCGAUACUUGUACUCGCAGUUGUAGGUAAUUAUUCGGAUUUAUUAAAUGGCAUCUGUGUUAUUAGGAAUCUGGAAUGUCUGUUAAUUAGGUUGAAUUGAUUAUAAAUAUAAGGAUUUGCAAUGUGAAGAACUCGUUUGCGCAUCCACCACUUAAUCUUUUAGAGCCCACGAAUGUUGCUGAGGUAAUUGCGUGGUGGGGUUUGGAUUAUCUGGUGAUUACUAGUGUUGAUAGAGAUGAUUCAGCUGAUCAGUGAAGUGCUCAUUUUGCUCAAACGGAGCGAAAGUUGAAAGAAUUGAAGCAGAAUAUGCUUAUUGAAGCAUUGGGUAAGAAUUCUUAGUAUUUAAGUGUCUUUGAUUGUGUAGUUCUUGACUAUCACAGAAACAAUGGGUGUGUAGGGGCAAGUCGCCUAGUCGGGUCUAUAUGAUUUUGCACUUAUGAUUUUUUAAAAUCAUUUUUGCAUGCUGUAAUUUGUAUGUAGUUAUAUGCUUUUUGGCCUUUGAAGAGCAUUGUAUUUGAAGUGGAACCCUCUCUGCUUUCUGAACAAGGAGCUUUUAUUUAUUCAUUCACACUGAAUUAUUUUGUGUAAUUUUAGUUUUAUAGAAAAUGUUCAAUGGUGGGAGAGUGGAAGUUUGGACUUAGGUGAACUUCUCUACGCAUUUGAAUUAAGAUGUGCCAUUCCAGUUCGGUCAAGGGUUGGUAGACAUGUGUAAUAGCAAGGGAAUUGUAUGGUAAUAUUAUUUAUUUUGCAAUUCAUGUUAGCAAUUCAGGUUAAUGGCCUUUCUGAACCUACAUUUUUUUUGUUUUGGGGGGGGGGGGGGGGGGGGGGGGUGUUUAUUCUACCAAGUAUUCAACCCACAGCCUGUCAUCCCAUAAAUUCAUCCAACCCAAAUCAAAUUGAGAAGGCACUUUUAGAUGUUCACAAUCAGACUAUAUAGCAAGGAAAAGAGCAUCAGCUGUUGAUAAUUAUUUAAACUAAUGUUAGCGGAUCAUAUGUGAGUGAUAAAUUUAAUCCAUGAUUAAAUAUUUAUAUCAGCAUUGAUUUUAUUAAGCAUUAUCGGCUUUGUGCUUAUAGGAAGAAUUAAGUUUAUGAAACGGAACUUGGGAUUGUUUCACAAUGCUGUUAGCCUAAGCGGGCAUCAAGGCUCAAUAGUCAAUAUGUAGUGUUUUGAAAAUGUGGCUCUUGAAAUCAAUGUGAAGGUUUGGUUUAUUCUGGUUAAUAUGGCGAUAACAAUACAAGGGUUAGUGGAAAAACAUGCUGGAGAUAAUUUCUUUUUGCAAUUUAAUUCCAGUCUUGAUUUGUUGGAAUUACUAUAAUUUUUUUCCAAAAAAUUAAAUUUUGAUGUUCAAGAAUUUUUUUUUAGGUUGGAAGUGCCAAAUUUCUUGUUAAAUUGAUAGGUUUGCUUUUAUGCUUCUGUUUGUCUUUUAUAGGGCGCAUGAUCCACUACUAAAAGCUCACUACAAUCAUGGAGUAACAACAAAAAAUGGCUUGUUCAACUUAACUCAUGCCCGCGCUUUGAACUAAGUGACUUUAUUUGGGAAUAAUUGCUUUCAUUUCUAUUAAUACAUGUUGUAAAUAUUGUCUAACCCCAACUUUACUUUUAUUACAAAGAUUCAGAAUAUUAAUUUUCUGUAUGCUUAUAUGUCAAUAUGUUUGCAUAUUUAGAAUGUUUUGCGUGCAAAUGACCUGUAAGAACUUCACCAUUAUAAGGCCACCAACCUUUGUAAUCUGGAUACAAUCAAAUGAAAUAUAGGCUGUAGUUAUCUUACAUGAUGAUGUAAGAAACAUGACUCUUCCACAGCCGUUUGAUGAAAAUUCAUGUUUUUUACAUUAUCACGUAAGAUAACAAGUUCCUUAAGUAUAAUAAAUGCUUACUACUUUUGCUUAUUUCCUUUCCUUGUUCACUUGACUUCUUUCAACUAAAACUUUAAAGUUUUUCUUACUUGCAAUUAUUCCAUAAACUUAGGCUACUUCUAUAAUAAAUCCAUAACAAUAUAGACAAUAUAACCAUUAUACAGAAUUUUUAAAGAAUACAAAACCAAAAAAAAAAAAAAAGAACUCUCGAAACAAUCUACUGUGCAUAGACCUUUUUUUAUGUGCAAGAAUUAACUGUGUGCGUCUUAUAGACACAAUAUUAGUGUAACAAAAGUGAGGUCCCAGUCAUUCCGUUGACUUGGUGUCAAUAUCACCAUCUCCACUGAGAGCAGAUAGGCAGAUGUUAAUUCACCACUUGGGAGUCUAAACAGAUAGUCAUUCAUCUGAGAAGUGGACAUGCCAUUAGUCCCAAUCUGUUGCCAAACAACAUAAGUGCAGAAACCACAACAGAUGAAAGUUUUUUGUCCAAAGCUUAAGCAGAUCAUGGUAUUCAGCAAAUGUGGGGCAAGACUUAAAUGAAAGAUAAAAGAAUGGUAAAUUUUGCACCCAAUAAUAGCCAAUUUGGAUGUCAUCUGAGCACUAUCUAAAACAUCACAAAAUACCUAUAAGGUGAUAGCAUAUGCUUUCCCAUAAUUGCAUAUCAUGUCGAAAAAGAUCAAAAAAUACCUGCAUCGAGCUGGAAGGAAAAUCUUAAUAUGCAAGGAUACUUAUCGUGAUGCACACUGUCACAGUAAGUCAUGUAACAGCUUUAGGGGAAUUGGAGUGAUUAAGCUAGUGCCUAUCUAUCAUGAUACAACUAUAUAAGAUAAUAGUUACUUAUAUUGCCACAAAAGUCAAAACUAGAUAUUUUGAAUACAAUCAUCUUUGGUUGAUUAUCUUGAUGCCUGAAAAAUGAUUAUUUUGAUUUUAUCUAGCAUUCUACUCUUCCUAAGUUCCAUUGCUUUUUUUAGCUUCCAAACUUCACCACCAUAAUCUUAUAUAAAAUAAACAACCAGCAAAAGUGCUAGCAAAUUCAAUGAGUUAUAGUUAUCACAAUUCACAACCAAGAUGAUAUAAAGAAAAAUUCAAGCUUGAAAUUAGAUGGCGAAGCAAAAAUCCUCAGAAAAAUAUCACUUAAAUUUUCUCUUGAAAAGCAUCUAGUAAUGCAUCCAACAUAAUUUCCUCCACAAUGAACUAAGUUCCACCAAAAGCAUCAGAUGAAAUACUUUAUGAUUUAAAAAUAUGAAUAUUUUUAUACAAGUUCUUAUCCUCAAUUCUGACUCAAUAAUUUUGAGCUUCUCAUAAAUUCCAAAAUGUUGCAAGGCAAAACGGAUAAAACAAAAGCAAUAAUUGGGGCAUUAAUCUUUAGAUCGUCUCAAAAGAGUUGCUAGAACCACUAUUCACUCUUUGAAUUUUACAGAGCACAUAUGAGCNNNNNNNNNNNNNNNNNNNNNNNNNNNNNNNNNNNNNNNNNNNNNNNNNNNNNNNNNNNNNNNNNNNNNNNNNNNNNNNNNNNNNNNNNNNNNNNNNNNNNNNNNNNNNNNNNNNNNNNNNNNNNNNNNNNNNNNNNNNNNNNNNNNNNNNNNNNNNNNNNNNNNNNNNNNNNNNNNNNNNNNNNNNNNNNNNNNNNNNNNNNNNNNNNNNNNNNNNNNNNNNNNNNNNNNNNNNNNNNNNNNNNNNNNNNNNNNNNNNNNNNNNNNNNNNNNNNNNNNNNNNNNNNNNNNNNNNNNNNNNNNNNNNNNNNNNNNNNNNNNNNNNNNNNNNNNNNNNNNNNNNNNNNNNNNNNNNNNNNNNNNNNNNNNNNNNNNNNNNNNNNNNNNNNNNNNNNNNNNNNNNNNNNNNNNNNNNNNNNNNNNNNNNNNNNNNNNNNNNNNNNNNNNNNNNNNNNNNNNNNNNNNNNNNNNNNNNNNNNNNNNNNNNNNNNNNNNNNNNNAAUACUAAAACUCUAACUCUUCCAAUAACUAUGCAUAAUAAUAACUCAAAAUAGCCCAUGAAAAUGAAAAAUUAAGAGACAUUUUAUUACCAAGACUUUUGAAAAUCCAUCAAAAGUCAAAUAAAAAGAUCAUUUGACGGCUUUCUGUACCGCAAUUGCCGAGUUAUCAUCAGGCCAUAGAUCGCUCUCUUGCUCUUUCCUCUGCAACGACUUUCGCUCGAGUUCCCUCCACUUGUUGAUUGCAGCUGUGCAGAUAAAUCUGGUACCAACAACAAAAAGCAAUCGAAGAACCUUUGUGCCGGGGGGCCCGCCGUCAUCCCUUUUUCUGUCAUCUUUCUCUGCAGUGUGUGUGUCAAUUACUCACUUCGUCAUUAUCUUAGCGAUUGUUUGGCGGCCGAGAAACGUGAAAGAGAGAAUAUAACCGGUUGUAGAAGUUGUCAGUGGCUGAUGGAAUUAUCCAAUAAUUAAUUUUAGCCGUUAGAUUAAAUUUGAAAGCAUCCAACGAUUUUACUGAAAAAAGACAAAAAGCGUCGUAAGGUACAACUGUGGCAACGUAGGUGUAUAUAUAUAUAUUCAUUCAGUUUAACUUUUUAUUUUUUAAUAGUAUAUAAAAAUUAUUUAACCGAAUUAGGGGUAAAUUUUAACCUUUCAUUGGGCGACAAAUUUAUUUUUUCAAACACGCUAUCAAUUCUGAAGGAAGAAAAAAUCAUAAACACAGUGACAAUUGUUUUGCGUGAAUGCAGUUGUCUUGCAAAAAGAAAAGUAAGCUAUUCAGAUUUCUGACCGAUGGACUGAAACUGAACCAUCAGCUGACCUCAAACGGGCUGGGCUGUGAGAACUGAGAACUACUAUCUCACGUAAGCUAUAUUUGGUACAUAGAAUUGGAUAUGAUUAAUUAUUAGAAUUAGACUAGUUUAUAAUGGAUUAGAUUAGGUUGGAUUAUAUAUAGUGCUGACUUAUAUUUGAUAUGGUAUUGAUUGAAUUAUGCUAAAUUAAAUUUACAAGAAAUUAAAUAGUAUUUACAUUAAUAUUUGAAUUUAAAUAUCAACUGUUUAUAGAUAUUUAACAAGAAAUAUUAUAAUUAAUUAAAAAUAAAACUUAUAAGAAUUAUACACACUCAAAAAUAAAGAAGUAUAAAUUAUUUAAAUUAUAGGUUAUUUCAAAUGAGAUAUAUCAUUUCAUUAAAUAAAAUAAAUUAAUUAUUCAAAUAAUAAAUUAAUUAAUAACCUUUAAGUAAAUCAUGAAUAAAAAAUAAAUUACUUAAUUAAAAACAAUAAAUAAAUAAAUAGUUUUUAAGUUAUAAAUAAAUGAUGUAAUAAAUUAUGGAAGAUAUUAUAAAUGGACAAAUAUUUUUCUUGACAUUAUCUAGUUCUAACUAAACCCUCACAAAAAUUAGGAUUAGCAAUCCCAUGAAUUUAGGAUUAAAAAUUGAAUUUAGUCCAUUAAUACAAUCCAAGUGAGCAUGCCAAACAUGGUAUUAAUAUUUUGUCCCAAUAAUUAGUUCAAUCCUACACUUAAUCCUAGCUCCCAAACAUAACCUUAAAACAUAAUAAUAAUAAUAAUAAUAAUCAUCAUCAUCAUCAUAAUAAUGACAACAAUGACGGCGACCGUGGCAUUUAAAAUCAACACAAAAUUACUUAGUAACAAAAAUUUGAUCAGCUGGAGUAAUAAAAUGAAAGGUAAAAUUUGACGAAGAGAAAGAUUUAACUAAAAUAAUAUUAGUUUGUCUUAUUUAAAGAGUCUUUUGGAAAAUAAUUUAUUUUUUUUCACUCUUCUAUUUACCACAUAAAUAAACAUAUAGACAUUUAAAGAGUAAAAUUUGAAGAGUAUUUUGAUGAUACUCUUGAGAUUGCAUUGAAUUUUACAUUUGAUAAAUGUUAUUAUUAAAGUAUUGUGAUAAUAUGAAACAUAAUUGAUUGAUAUGAUGAAAAAAAUAUCAUUUGUAUGAUUUUAUUUGGGGAAAGAAUAUAUUGACUAAAUUGUAAACUAAUAAAGGGAGAUUGCCAAUUUCCCCAUCUUGUAAUCAAUAUAUACCAUUUACCCCUUGUUGUUUUUAUGAUAACUAAUAACCCUCUUGACAGAAUAAAUCUAUAAUAUUACCCAUAUUUUCAAAUACAUUUUAUUUAUAUUUAUUAUAAAUUAAAUAAAUCAUAUGAAUAGAAACUAAAUAAAAAAAUGAAGGAUUAAAAAAAAGAAAUAUACGUUUUGAUGUAAACAAAAAAAUUAAUAGUAAAAUUUUUAUGUACUUUUUUUAUUUUGUAAACAUUUUCUUAAAAUAAAUAUUUUACAAUAUUUUAAAAUUAAAUGUAAAAAUUACAAAAAAUAUUUUAUUAUUUAUUUUCUAAUAAUUUUUUAUUUAUCAUUCAAGUUUUCUUAUAAUAAUUUUUAAUCAUUUUAUAAUAAUUUUCUUAUAUAUUUAUUAUAAGAAAUGUUUAUAAAAUAAAAAAGUACAAGAAAAAAUAUUUUAUUAUUAAUUUUUUCACAUCAAAAUAUAUAUUUCUAAUUUUUAAUACUUAAUUAUUAUUUUAAUUUUCAUUCAUGUCAUUUAUUUAAUUUUAUAAUAAAUAUGAUAAAAGUUUAUUUGAAAAUAGAGUGAUGAUAUGGCUGCAAAUUCUUGUACAAACUGAUUUGUCAUUAAUUCAUUAGUUGAAUCAAAAUAUAAAAUAAUAAAAAUAAAUCAUGUGGACUAAGAGAUAUUUAAUCCAACUAAUUUUAUUAUGUCACAUCAAUUUAAACAAAAUAAAUUUAUAUAAGAGUUUGUACCUAUAUUAUUACUCUCAAUAAGAGUAAUAUGAUAAACUUAUAUUAUCAAGAGGGUUAUUGGCUAUUAUAAAAAUAGUAAGGGGGCAAAUGAUAUAUAUUGAUUAUAAUAGGGGGAAAUUAGUAAUCUCUCAUUGAUAAAUAUGAUUCUUCAUAUGCAACAAUAUAGAUUACAAUAAAAAUUCGCAUGAGUAUGAUCAAUCCUUACAACAACAAUGAAAAAAAUACUUGAUAUAUUUUUUAGGAUAUUAUUUGUUGGUUUUCAAAAUAUUUCAUUAAAAUAAAAAACAACGAUACUCAUAUUCAUUCAAAAGAGAAAAAACAUAUAUGUUAUUCAAAAUUGAACUAUUGAAGUCUAAUCGUAUUUCCAACCAAUUCACGAUAUAUAUCUCACAAAUUAAUAAAUAACCAAUUUAAUAUCUCAUUAUUUCAUCUAAUAAUCCUUCCUCUAUAUAUAAAAAAAUUAGAAAAAGAGGGCUGUUUGCCUAUUCCUCAUUUAUUGAAAAAUGAAGAUCAAAUCUGGAAAACAAGACACGUACGACAUGCCAUUUUAGAUAAUUAAAUUGAUCUGAUAAAUUGAUUUCAGGAGUAUGAUACAUCGGUUGAGAUAAAAUCAGAUGAAUAGGACGGUCAACAGAUAUCAUCCGUCCGAUUAAAUUGUAUACUAUUUGGAAGAGGAUUAAUUUGGACAUGUGUGGCAUGUAUGGAAGGUGGUUACUAUUAGAAAAGAGUAGUGCUACAUAUCUCAAAUUUUUUAGUCCAAAUAGCUAUCUCAAAUGACAUGUUGUUUAUUAAUUGAUUGGUGGAAUAAUAUAAUUAAUUUACUUGAAUCUUAUAAAAAAUUAUCAAUCAGUUAAUAAAUAUUAUAUAAUUUAGGAUAGUUAUUCGAGAUAAAAAAUUUCGGAUAUCUAUCAUUUUAGAAAAAUGAUUUUCUCUUUAAACCAAUUAGGAAAGCACUACAAAGAUUCCCUCUGUGACUUGUUCUCUCAUAUUGAUAAACGCUCUAUGGGUCUUCAAAUCUUUGUUACUUCUUUUGAUUUUCUUGGUGUUCGUGUGGUUCUUAAAGUUCGUUAAUUAGUCUUUGACUAGGAUUAGGUCUUAAUGAUUUGUUUGGUAUAUAUGCAAUAAAUCAGUCUUAACAUUACUAUAUAAAUGAUGCAUUUACUAAAUAAGAAUCAAAAUGAGAUGAAAGUGGAAUGAAUUAGAAUUGGAAUAAGCUGAAAUUAGAAUAAGCAAUUAAAAUAAGAAUAAAUUGUUUAUUUAAAUUGAAAGAAUCGGAAUCGAAAUGAGUUAGAUUAUUACGAAUCACUAAAAAAAAUUUAAUUAAUUAUUAUCUUAAUUAUUAUUUUAUAUUUAUCAUUAUUAUCGUUGUUGCUGUUAAUAACAAUAUUACUAUUAUUAUUAAUGUUACAAUAGUAAUUAAUUAUGAUACUUUUUAUCAUCAUCAUCACCACCAUCAUCAAUAAGUCAUCAAUCUCAUCAUCAACAACAACAAACCAUCGUCAUCAUUAGAUCGGAAUUGUGGCUAUCAGAGAUGAAACGGAGACGAAAUCGAGACGGAUCAAACAGAGAUGAAAACAAGAUGGCCCAAACAAAGAUGAAGCCGGUAACCAGUUGUUGCUCCAUAGUCAACAGACCAACAAUGACAAAGAUGGUGGUUGAUUUUUGGCAGCAACAGUAAGGUGUGCCUGCAAUGGUGUUCGGCUGUAUGGAGAUUCGUACGAGUAGUUUAGGCUAAUGGGAUUUGCUUUUAUAUAUAUAUAUAUAUCAUCUAAAAAAAGGCAUUUGGGGAAUAUUAUAUAUUAAUGGGGGUAGAAUUGAAACUCGAUCAGUCUCCCAUUCUCAGCUCCAUAAUUCUCAUUUUGAUUCUCACUCUUAUUUUGUGAAUUAAGUGCAGUUAAUGAUCCGAUUCUUCAAUCCAAGAAGUAAACACACCAAAAGUAUUCCCCUUGAUCGUCUCUUUUCCAUGCAAUGUAGAAGAGGAAAAGGUGAAGGGUAGUGCCGUAGUAGUUAGUAGCUGCAUAAAUACGGUAAACUUGGGCUCAGCUUACAUUCAUCGCAGAUUUGUUAAAUUUUCUCCAAAUAUCCAUCCUCUAUAAACAAUAAGAUAAUGAGUGAGUCAAUUUGAACUUACCAAUACUCAAUAUAUUUAUAUGUUUAAAUAAAUUCAUUAUUAAAAUUUUAAAUUUUAUUUUUUACUCACUAAACUUAUUUAUAUACCUAAUAUACCCUUAUUAAAUAUGUAUUAAUCCAGUUAGCGAUCUUUAUCUCUCUUCUUUCUUUUUUAAUUUUUCUAUCCUCUAUUGUUGACUUGUUGCAAUGGCUUUUUUUUUUUUUUCCCUCAAAACUGAAAUUCUCAAACCAAUCAUGAAACACUAGAAAUCAUGUAUAGAAAUAUAAAGAUAAACUUGAUCUCAAUUAAAACUCAAAAUUUUUAUGUCAAUGAACGUGCAUGGAUUCUUGUUUUUUUGAACGGAAUACAAAAAAUUAAUUUAGGUUAAAGAAAGAACGAAUGGCAGAAAUCUCCAAAAGGACGAGGGCCGUAGGGAAUUUUUUCUAUUCAAAGAGGGCAUAAGGAUAAUUUUAUACUCAGUUUUUUAUUCGGUAAAGAAAUGAGACAAUUUUUUACUCAAUUACUUAUUCAAAGAAGAGGAUGAAGUCGAAUCUCAUCCUCUCCUCAUUUUCUCAUUUUAAUUUUUAAUUUUAUUUUUAUUUUUUAGAAUUAUUGAUGAGUAAAUAAUAAAAUCUAAAUUAUAAAAUAUUAAAUAUUAAAAAAAUAAUAAAUAUCAAAAUAUUUAUAUAAAUAUACUAUGAAACUUUCAUGUGUAAUUAAAUAAUUAUAAUCUUAAAUUAGCUUCGAUCAGGCCUUAGCCCAUAAUUUUUGUUUUAAACUUUUAUUUAAUAAAACAAAAGCUAAAGUAAAUUUGUAAAAUCUAAUUUCUAAAGUAGCCAGCCACCCAGCACUCCACUGCAGACAUUCACGAUCAUUAGUUCAUUUAUUUCAUUAUAGAUAUAAAUUUUUUUCUUUUUAUUAUAGGUUUAUGAAGAUUGAUGCAGAUAAUUAUUUUGAUAUUUUAUAUUUUGUAGUAUAACUUUUUUAAUAGAUUAAUAUUAAUGUAAGGUGUAAAUAAAUUUUUUAUUUUAAUAUAAUUAAAUUAAGUUUAAAAAAAAAAAUUCAUUAUUCAGAAUGGAGAACCUUUGGCGAUUCUUUGUUAUUUUUUAGAGAAGAAGCGAUGAUCUCCUCGAAUAAUUCUGCUGGAGAUGAUAAAAAAGUAGAAUAUAAAAAAUAUACUGAGAAGUUAGAGUCCCUUCCCAGUUCCCAUCCCUCCCCCUGACCGGUCCCCUACCUAUAAACGGAAGUAAAAGUCUUUCUAUUUAUCAAUAUAUCUUGGAAAGAGAGAGACGCUUAAAGAUAUAAUGUUGGGCUAUAAUAGUAAUUUAAGGUAGCGUUUAUUUUUUGGAUUGAAGUGGGAAUUCUGAGGAAUGAGAAUCCUGGGAGUGUGGAGUGGAAGUGUGAGUAGGUUGUUUACUUACACUGAAAUGGAAGUAUGGAAUAGAGAUCAGAAUCCAAUUUAUGUGUUUACUUUGUCUUGGAUUGGGAGUAAAUAGUUUCAAAUUAUAAUUUUAUCCUUAUUUAAAGAAUUAUAAUUUUUAAUUACAAAGCUAAUAAAAAAUAUAUUUAAUGAAUAAAUAUUUAUUUUAUUAUAUUUGUAAAUUUAUAAUAAUUAUUAAUAUUCUUAAUUAUGAACAUCACAUUUUUUUAUUAAUUUUAAUUCUAAUAUAAAAUGAAACGUUAUUUUAUUUUAUUUAAUAUAAUUAUAUUAAAUUUAAAUAUAAUUACAUUAAAUUUAUUAUUAUAUAAAAUAAUAAUAUAAUAUUAUUUAGUACAAAAUUAAUAUUUUCUUAGAAUAAAUUAUUUAUUAUUAUUAAUAUUAAAUAAAUAUAGUACUAUUAUUUUUAAAAUAAAUACAAUAAUAUUAUAUUUAUUAAUUCUCUAUUAAUAUAAUAUUAUUAUUUUAAAAUAAUUUUAACUUAGAGUCAAUAUAAAUUAUUAUUUAAUUAAAUAUAAUAAUAUUAUUUAUUUUAUUUUAUUAAUUAUAAAAUAUUAAAUUAAAUUAAAAUUAAAAAAAAGUAGAAAAGGAAGAGGUGGGAGUGAGAAUUCCCACUCCCACCUCCCCCAAUGGAAGUCCCACUUCCACUCUCCACUCUAAAAAUAAGUGGAACCUAUAAAAUAAGAUACCCAAUUCCUCGUUAAAUAAGUGAAGUAAAUACUGAAAUAAAAAAAAUUCACACUUUUCACCCCCAUUCCAUAAAAUAAACACGAGAUAACAAGAGUACACUUUCGUAAUAAAAAAUUAUAUGGUAAAUGGGUGCAGAAUUAUUCGAAAAGCACAACAAAUAAUCCAAUUUUUGCUCAUCUCUCUUGAAUCAUCAUUAUUCAUCAGUUAUACUACCACCGUUCAAUAUGUUCUCCAAAGCCUUGGAUCAGUUGGCUUCAGUCCGCAGAAAGAUCAUCGAUGAAGAAAAGGCGAAGAUCCAAGAACUGACCAACAAGUUCCAGGACAUUCGAGCCGUGCUUGACGAUGAAGAAGUCGGACAAGUGGGGGUCAACGGUGUGGGAGGUCGCUUAGUCGAACUUAAGAAGAUGUUCUUCGACAUUGACGACGAGUUGGAUGAGCUGAACACUGCUAUCUGGAAUGCUUCCAUGCGUACCAGAAAGGUACGCUCCUAUCUGUUAACUUGUCGGCUUCUAUUUCUGCGUCGUGACGUAGCUUUGAAGUUAAAGAAUCUGAGUCAAACACUAGAUGGGUCUGGGUUGAAGAGUAGUGACCCUGCAGAUACAGGAGACAUAGAACAAGAACGACCUAUGAUCUCUGUUGUUGAUUCAUCACAGGUUAUUGUGAGAGAUGGGGAAAAGAAUAGACUACUCAACUUACUGUUGUGUGAGAGUAGUGAAAAACAAACGACCCUCCCUAUUAUUUCUAUCGUAGGGAUGGACGGUUCCGGAAAAACAACUCUCUCUCGGCAAGUCUUUGACAUUGAUGCUGUCAAAACCCAUUUCAGCAAAAGGAUUUGGGUGUCUGCGUCUUAUCCUGAGAUUAGGAUUGCCAGAGCAAUUCUUGAAUCUCUUAAAGAUGGUGUAUCAUCGGAUCUAGUUGAAAUAGAUACUGUGUUGCAACAAAUAAGUCAUUAUAUUCAAGGAAACAGGUUUCUUCUUGUCUUGGAUGAUGUGAGGAGUAGAUAUUUCAAUUAUUGGCAACAAUUGAUGUACUCUCUUAAAUCGGGUUCUGAGGGAAGUAGAAUUUUGGUGACUACAGGCGAGGCGAAUGUCGUAAAUAAGAUGGGAAACACCAGGAUGAUCUCACUAGGGACACUGUCUGAGGAGGCUUCUUGGUCUUUGUUCUGUCUAGUAGCAUUUUACUGGAGGAGAAGUGAUGAGGAGUUUCAAGAACUGGAACACAUUGGUAGACAAGUUAUACGUAAGUGCAAAAACUUGCCUCUUGCUGUAAAGGUUAUAGGAAGCCACUUGCGUUUUAAACGAAACAUUGGAGAGUGGUUAAAUGUCUUGAAGAGCAAGAUAUGGGAACUUAAACUAGCAGAUAAAGAGCAUUUUUUGCCUCUAUUAUUGAGCUAUUAUGAUUUGCCCUCCGCAUUGAGAAAAUGCUUCUUGUAUUGCGCCAUCUUUCCAAAAAACUAUGAGAUAGAGAAAGAUAGAUUGAUCAAAUUAUGGAUGGCUCAGGGUUACCUUAAGGUAGAGGGAAGAGAUGAUAUGGAGUUAAUUGGAGAGGAGUUCUUUGAAAGCUUAGCAUCACGCUCUUUACUCCAUGAUUUUCAAAAAAAUGAGUUUGAUGGUAGAAUAAUAAGGUGCAAGAUGCACAAUAUAGUUCAUGAUUUUGCUCAGUUUCUUACAAUAAAUGAAUGUUUCAAUCUAGAGGUCAAUGGUUUUGAAAUGUGUCCAUUAGAGUCUAAUGAAAAUAUUAAGCAUUUAAUGAUAAAGUUUGAAACAGAGCGCAAGUUCCCUACUUCAGUUUAUAAUAGAAAAAGAUUACGCAGCCUUGUGGUUGAGCGCGGAGAGGGUUUUAUGACUGGCAUAAAUCUAUCUGCAUUAUUUGAUAAUUUGACAUGUUUGAGGUCGUUAGAUUUGAGUAACCAGGAUAAUGGUUUUUAUAAUGUCAUUAAGCGAGUUCCAAGAGGAAUAAGAAAAUUGUUACACUUGAGGUACCUUAACUUGUCUAGGAAUAGCAAAAUAGCAGAACUGCCUGAGUCGCUGUGUGACUUGUAUAAUUUAGAAACCAUGGAGCUCAGUUGGUGCAUCAGUCUAAAAAGGUUGCCUCAAAGGAUGGGGCAGUUGAUCAACUUGUGGCAUUUGGUAAAUGAUGGGACUUCACUGAGUUACAUGCCAAAAGGAAUUGAAAGAUUGACUUGUCUUCGGACCUUAAAUGAAUUCAUUGUCAGUGUUGGAAGUGAUGAUGAUAAAGCAUGUAAACUUGAAUGUCUGAAAAGCUUGAACCAUCUUCGAGGAUCCCUUAAAAUUAAAAAGCUGGGAAAUGUGAGUAAGGAUGAGAUUAACAAAGCAGAACUUGGGAAAAAGGAAAAUCUCCUUGCUUUGUAUCUAAGCUUGGAAAAGGAUCGGGAAAAGGGGAGUACGAAUAAGGAUGAUGAGGAUGCUCUUGAAGGUUUACAAGUACCUCCAAAUCUAGAGAGAUUGGAGAUAUUUUACCAUAGAGGAAACACGCUAUCCUCCAUUUUCAUAAUGUCAUUAGCUAAGUUGAGGUCGAUGUCAUUAGAUCGUUGCAUUAACUUGGAGCAAUUGCCUCGUUUGGGAGAAUUGCCAUCUCUUGAAUCACUUACUGUAAGGAAUAUGAGGAGGCUGGAAAAAGUGGGUAAUGAAUUUUUGGGAAUAGAUGAAAGUAGACUUUUGAGGAAAGAUGAAGGUAAAGUUUUGGGAACAGAUCGAAGUAGGUCUUCGGGCAUAGAAGAAAGCAAGCCUAGCAAACCAUUUGUUGCUUUUCCCAGGUUGAAAUCUCUUGAAUUUCAGAAAAUGAAAGGAUGGAAAGAGUGGAAGUAUAGUGUUACAACGAGUACGUGGCCACAUGAUAGACUCAUGCCACGUCUUUGUUCCUUGACAAUCGGAUUCUGCCCGAAAUUGGAGACACUGCCUGAUGACUACCUUCCUCAGUUGCUGGACUUGAAGAUUUUUUCAUGCCCUAAGCUGGAAGAACGUUAUAAAGAGGGAACGGCAGAGAGGGGAAAUAUCUCUCACGUCCACUUAUAUUUCUCAUGAUUAAUAUUCUACAGAUGCACAGGUAAUCUCUUCUCCGCAUUUUUUAUAGUUUUAUUUGUAGAAUCAAAUCGGAAUUAGGUUUCUAAAUUACAUGUUCAUUGUACAGCUUAUCAUGAUUUUGUAUUCUUCUAUCUUAUUGUCACCGCUUAUUCUUAAUUCAAAGUUAUCUCAUGCUAAAUGUUUCCUUUUCUUUUCAGGCUACAGGGAAUGGUCAUACUUGCAAAAUGUAUUGUGAAAGAUAUGUAUACCAUUGGAAAAUAUUAAGGUGUGACAAUGUCCAUUAGCUCGCAAUUUUUUGUUUUCUUGAUCAGUUGUUACCCUAUUUUUUCAGUCUAAAUAAGGCUGUAAGUCUAAUGCUGUGGAUGACAAACCUAGACAAUUUCAUCUUAUUGAGUUCAUUUUUCACAAGAAUGGUAUGAGAAGCAUACAAGAGAUGACUGAAAUGUUACAUCUUCAUGCCCCAAAGAUCAAUUACGUGGUAAGUCAUCCUCUGCAACUGCUAUCUACUCAUUCUGGAUCUUGAUUUCUCAAUUGGAAAGCGGAAAACAUUCUUGUAUGCAGGAUUGACUGCCAGGCACAUUAGCUAAUGGAUAGUAGAGCAGAGCACUUACUCAGAAGCAUUGGAAGUGGUGCCUGAGGCUGAAACUUUCCUUUUGAAUCAGAGAGAAAAUGUGAUGAAGUAAAUGGGUAUGUCUUUGGUACUAAUUAACCAAGCUUAAAACUUAUUCUUAUAGCUAUUUUCUCUUUUGCAUUUUACAGUUUCAACUCCUUUACCGUAUCGUCCUUCAAUCUUGAGGUACUAAUCAGAGUGCAAUUCAAGUUUCAAAGCAAAAAUGGAGACUGCAUUGAAGUCAGAGAGGGUGCAAAAGGAAAUGAUAAGAUGCUUUGGAUGGGCUAUUGACAAACCUUGAAUAGUAUGACAUUGUCUGCUUUAAAUGAAGGUCAGGAUACCUUUUGUUCUUGAGUUCUUGUCAAAAGGCGUCAUAUUGUAUAAGAAAUGAAUUUGUAUAUGUAGUUUAAUGUUCCUUUGAAAACAGGCAAUGCAGGAAUUUUGACACCCGAUCCUCACCUUUUCCACCCUUGAUAUCUUCGAAUGGUGAAUCUUUGCUGGUACAAUUAAUGACAGGGAAGCUCUCCCUUUAUUAAAGCCAUACAAGGAAAAAGAAAAUGGAUCAUUCAAGGUUUCCAGUUGCUGGAUGAGGGCAGAGCUGAUUGAAGCCAGUUGGGAGGAGUUGUAGGAUGUCCAGAAACUCAAUGACAUUCAUCACCCUUUGCUCUGUCACUUGGCUUCUGGAACUGGGUAUAUUUUUGUCGCUCGUUUGUGUGUCUUGCACAGUGAAGGUAGAAGGUUGAAGCCCAUGAGGGUGAAUGAUAUGCUGUUGUUACCUUUUAUCUUUGUUCGAUAUACCCAACUGAUCUUGCUUGGUCUUGGAUACAGUUUAUUUUAAUGUAGCAACUGAUGGGUCCUUUCAUUUUCAUCUUAUUCAGUAAUCAAUGUUUCUCAGAUCUCUGUGGCCUCUUUUGUAUUGCACUGAAUGAUAUACAAAUGUUAAAUGAAGGGCUCCACUAACCUUCAUUUUUUUAUGAUGCUCACUUAGUUUUGAAUAUGGGAGAAGGAUUUGAAGACGUGAAGCACCAAUAGAGACUGUAACAAUGAGGCAAAAUUUUAGAAUUUCACUUUGAUGCAUUUGGCAUAUUAGGCGCUUUGGUCCGUGGCCUUUUGCAAAUUUGUCCUGCAUGGUGUGACCAUUUAGUGCAUACAGUAACAGGAUCAGAAAAUAAAUCAACAAAAGCAUUCUAUAACGUAUAAACCGUGAAAAUACUUAAAAUUUUAGUUAGUUUAAAUUAUUGCUUAUGGUUUGAUUCAUCCAUACAUUAGAAUAUUCUGGAACAGAAAAAUAUUUUUACAGCAUUGAAUGGAGUCUCUCACAAUCAGCUCUCACAUGGUUCCUUCUAAUAUGUUUUACGGUAGGACAACCUGUUCGGGCCAUGGUCAGCUCAAACUCAUCCUUAGCAUUUCAAUGACGCGUCUCACCCCAUAUUCCCCUUUUGCAGCCAGGCCAUGGAUUACAGGCCUUUCGAUCUGGAGUAACAUAUUACAUACAUCUAUGUAAGCAAGGGCGGCCCGAACAAUAGAGUUAUGCUCUAACAAUAAAAGUAGUUGUAUUAAGAAGUUGCAGCUGAAAUAAGUUUCUCUAUGUUACUUUUAUUAUCCUGGUAUCAACUGCUAACAACAGGGAGAAGAAAGGUGGCUCCAGAAUCUCAACAUAUAACUUUUUUGUCGAUUGAAAUUCAAAAAAUUAAGGGUAUAGUUGCGUAAAGCUUACAAGUACAGCUUGUGCACCGAGGGCCAAUGCCUUGAAAACAUCUGUUCCUCGCCGCACUCCCCCAUCCACAAGAAUCGGAUCUCUUCGUUUAACGGCAUCAACCACCUGCAAGCUCAGGUUGACAAGUACAAACUGUAUUGGUUACGAUUUCCUUGUUAAAAUCUAGAGUAUAACCCAGACGCAUAACAUAUCUUACUGCAAAAUGCCAGUCAUUUCUACAUCAAGCUGGUUUGAUUGAAAAAUGUAUUAUUACAAGAUCUCCAUCAUUAGUACAUGGACUCAGCAAGUGAAAACGUCUACAUGUCAGAAAACUAGUAAAAACCAAAUGCACUAGCACUGCCAGCACCUGACAGUUGCAUGUUCUGUUUCCUAAGGUUUCUUCAUAUGCAUUUAGCUUAAAACUCAGAGCAAUAAUUAGGAGAAUUAUGUAAUCCUCAUAUGAUAUUUCUCAACCUUUCAAGUUAAAUUCAAUUGCAGUAGCACAGUUGUCAGUUUGGAUUACAGUCUUAAAAAAAAAUUUGGAAUGCAUUCUACUAAUCAACUAAAAUCAAAAUAAACUGACAUAUAUUUUUAAUUAAUAAGAUUCUCACGAUUGUUUAUGUACUUAUAAAAGUGAAGUUUAGAUCUGUAGACAAAUCUAGCUCAUAUUAUCUGCAGAUUAGAAUACUAAUAGUGGUGUGAAAUUGUUAGAAAAUUAGAAAAAAUAUGUGCUGUAAUUAUAUAUUAGCUGUAAAUUAGUCAUUAGCUGUAACAUAGCUAUUUAGGUGUAAAUCUAUGUAUUUUAGGAAAAUCUACCUAGAAAUUAUUCUUUCCUUAAAUCAGUGAUUUAGUUUCCUGAUUUAAUGGUUUUAUGUGUGCUGUAAAUCUCUAUAAAAGAACAAUCUCAAUGACAGAAUAAUUAAUUAUGUGCAAACCUAUUUUUCAAGUUGGUAUCAGAGCAGGAAGAAUAUCUUGCCGGAAUUCCUUUUUUCUUCCUUUUGAUCCCUACACCCUAAACUUUUGAUCCCUGCACCCUAAAACCAUGUCAGACUCUUCAUCCAAUUCCAGUACUGUCCCUCAAUCCUCUAUGAACAAUCCUAGUAGCACGGAUGUUUCAAAAAUCAGUGCUACCUCCUCAGAAUCUCAUUCUGUACAAAUCACCACAAUUCGUUUGAAUGGUGACAAUUUUCUGAGAUGGUCUCAGUCAGUUAGGAUGUAUAUUAGAGGGCGUGGAAAAAAGGGCUAUUUGACUGGUGAAAAGAAGGCUCCUGCAGUGGAUGAUCCGGCCUAUGUUACAUGGGAUGCCGAGAAUUCCAUGGUGAUGACGUGGCUUGUGAAUUCAAUGGAAGAAGAUAUUAGCUCUAAUUAUAUGUGCUAUCCAACGGCACAAGAGCUUUGGGAGAAUGUAAAUCAGAUGUAUUCUGAUCUCGGAAAUCAAUCACAGAUUUUUGAGUUGAUCCUCAAACUCGGAGAGAUGCGACAAGGGGAGCACAAUGUCACAAAAUAUUUUAAUUCCUUAAAGCGGAUUUGGCAAGACCUUGACCUUUUCAACACCUAUGAGUGGAAAUCUCCCGAGGAUGCUCAACAUCACAAAAAGACUGUAGAGGAUGGCCGCAUUUUUAAGUUUUUGGCUGGACUGAAUGUCGAGUUUGAUGAGGUGAGGGGGAGAAUUAUUGGAAGACAGCCCCUACCUUCAAUUGGUGACGUUUUUUCAGAGGUCAGAAGAGAGGAGAGUCGGAGGAAUGUGAUGCUUGGCAAGAAGGGAACUGGGGUUGCUGAAGGUUCUGCCCUGGUCUCCAUGACUGGAAGCAAGGCUCCUAUUUUGCAACGCAAAUCUGAUGAAAAACAACAAGUUUGGUGUGAUUUUUGUCAUAAGCCUCGCCAUACCCGUGAGACCUGCUGGAAAAUUCAUGGGAAACCUGCAAAUUGGAAAGGGAAAGCUGGCCGAGCCAACCCUACUGCCAAUGAGGUUGAGACCAGCCCCUUCACCAAAGAGCAGAUGGAGCAUCUUCUUGCACUGUUAAAAUUUAAUUCGGUACCCAAUGUUCCUAGUGUUUCUGUGGCACAUACAGGUAAUAAAUUCUAUGCUCUAUCUUGUCAAUUUAAAUCUGCUCCAUGGAUAAUAGAUUCAGGAGCAUCCGACCAUAUGACCAAUUCCUUACAUUUGUUUGAGACUUUUUCACCAUGUCCCGAAAAUAAGAAGGUUAGGAUAGCCGAUGGUAAUCUCUCACCAAUUGUAGGAAAAAGCCUUAUAAAACUUUCUGAGAGAGUAGAUCUUAAAUCUGUUCUCUAUGUCCCUAAACUUGCUUGUAAUCUAUUGUCAGUUAGCAAACUAUCUAGAGACUCUAACUGUUAUGUUAUUUUCUAUGAAUCCUAUUGCAUUUUUCAGGACCGGAGCUCGGGGAAGACGAUUGGCAGUGCUAGGAUGAUUAAUGGUCUCUAUUAUUUCGAGGAUAAAUUUCUUAGUAAUAAAAUAGUUCAAGGGCUAAGUAGUAUUAGUUCUUUAUCUACUCGUGAUCAAAUAAUAGUUUGGCAUUGUCGUUUGGCCACCCAAGUUUUCCUUAUUUAAAACAUUUAUUUCCAAUGCUAUUUAAAGGGAUUGAUCCUUCAUCAUUUCAAUGUGAGAGUUGUUUAAUGGCAAAAAGUCAAAGAAAAUCUUAUAUUCCAAAACCUUAUCAUGCUUCAAGACCGUUUUAUUUAUUCCACAGUGAUGUUUGGGGUCCUUCAAAAGUGACCACAAUUUCUGAAAAAAAAUGGUUUGUGACUUUUAUUGACGAUCAUACACGUCUGUGUUGGGUUUACUUAAUGAGAGAAAAAUCUGAUGUAGAACAGAUUUUUAAAGAAUUUUAUAGGAUGAUUGAAACUCAAUUUCAAACAAAAAUUAAUAUUUUGAGAUCUGACAAUGGAACGGAGUAUUUUAAUAAAGUUUUGGAAACUUUUUUAAAUGAACAAGGAAUUUUACACCAAUCCUCUUGUUCCGACACACCUGAACAAAAUGGCAUUGCUGAGCUUAAGAACAAGCACUUGUUAGAAGUAGCUAGAGCCAUGAUAUUUUAUAUGAAUGUUCCAAAGUAUCUAUGGGGUGAUGCUAUACUGACAGCUUCGUAUCUUAUUAACAGGAUGCCUACCAAAGUUUUACAAUAUAUCACCCCGUUGGAUUGCUUAAAAAAGGUAUUCCCAGAAUCUAGAAUCAAUUCUGACUUACCUUUGAAAAUAUUUGGCUGCACAGCAUAUGUGCACACGCCAAAGAGGCUAAGGUCUAAAUUAGAUCCAAGAGCCGAAAAAUGUGUUUUUAUAGGGUAUGCACCCAAUAAAAAGGGUUACAAAUGCUUUAAUCCCCUUACAAAAUGUUUUUUUGUCACUAUGGAUGUUUCUUUCAUGGAAAAUACAUUAUACUUUACCAAAAAUUUGCUUCAGGGGGAGAAGAUAGUUGAACCAAAUUUUUGGGAAAUUGCUGAACCCUUACCUAGCACACUAGUUGAUACCUUUUCUGAAAAAGAAACCUUGGAAACUAGGCUUAAAGAAACCAAAUCUGACAUUGGUCUGACAGAAAAAGAAAUACUACGAAUAAAAAAAAAUAGAAACAAUCUUGAGCCUGUGGUUUAUUCUAGGAAAGGUGUCCUUAGAGGUGGUAGAGACCAGGCCAUUAUCCAAGCACGUGGUCAACCGGAAGCCCUAAGCAAUGGUCAUCCAAAUGCCUCAGGUAAUCCUUCUUCUGUUCCUUCCUCUUCCUUUCCUAUUACUGACUUAAACUUACCAUUACGAUCAGAUUCUAGGGAAGAGAACUCUGCACCUGAAUCUAUUUUAGAACCAGCCCCUGUUAUUCUUGAACAGAAUCUUAAUCUUGACCUCCCCAUUGCCCUUAGAAAAGGAACCCGAACCUGUACCAAACAUCCUAUUGCCAAAUAUAUUUCCUAUCAAAACCUUUCUGACAAUUAUAGAGCUUUCACUACAAACAUUUCAAAACUUGUUGUGCCUAGAAAUAUUCAAGAAGCACUUGGUGAUCCAAAUUGGAGGUUGGCUGUGUUUGAAGAGAUGAAUGCCUUGAAGAAGAAUGAUACUUGGGAGAUGGUAGAAUUACCGAAUGGAAAAAAGGUUGUGGGGUGCAAAUGGGUGUUUACUAUCAAGAGUAAGGCAGAUGGGAGUGUCGAGAGAUACAAAGCCCGUCUUGUUGCAAAAGGUUUUACUCAAACCUAUGGGAUAGAUUACCAAGAGACCUUUGCUCCGGUAGCUAAAAUCAACUCAAUUAGGGUCCUGUUGUCUCUUGCUGUUAACUCUAAUUGGCCCUUACACCAAUUGGACGUUAAAAAUGCUUUCCUUAAUGGAGACCUUAAGGAGGAGGUAUAUAUGAGUUCCCCACCAGGCUUUGAAGAAAGGUGUGGAAAUGAGAGAGUGUGCAGAUUGAAGAAGUCCUUGUAUGGACUUAAACAGUCACCAAGAGCUUGGUUUGAGCGCUUUGGCAAGGUGAUUAAGCGCUAUGCAUAUAUUCAAAGUCAAGCUGAUCAUACAAUGUUUUACAAGCAUUCAAAUGAUGGUAAAAUAGCUAUCUUGAUAGUAUACGUGGAUGAUAUCGUGUUAACUGGGGAUGAUUGUGAUGAGCUAGCAAAGUUAACAAAGAAACUGGCUGAGGAGUUUGAGAUUAAAGAUCUCGGGGCAUUAAAAUACUUUCUUGGGAUGGAGUUUGCUAGAUCUAGAGAAGGCAUUUCUGUAAAUCAGAAGAAGUAUGUUAUCGACUUGUUAAACGAGACAGGUAUGCUAGGGUGUAAACAUGCUGAAACCCCUAUAGAACCUAAUGUGAAACUGCAACCUGCAGAAGCUGAGAAUGUGAAGAAUAGGGAGCAUUAUCAGAGACUUGUUGGGAGAUUGAUUUAUCUAUCCCAUACACGCCCAGAUAUAUCCUUCUCUGUUAGUAUGGUUAGCCAAUUUAUGCAUGCCCCAGGACCGGCACACUUUGAAGCUGUCUACAGAAUUUUAAAGUAUCUAAAAGGGACACCGGGCAAAGGACUUCUGUUUAAGCCACAAGGACACUUGCAGAUUGAAGCCUACACAGACGCAGAUUGGGCUGGAAGCAUAGUAGACCGAAGAUCCACUUCUGGAUACUGUUCAUUUGUAGGUGGUAAUUUGGUUACAUGGAGAAGCAAGAAACAGAAUGUGGUAGCUAGGAGUAGUGCUGAGGCUGAAUUUAGAGCUGUAGCCCAUGGUAUUUGUGAGAUCAUGUGGAUUAGGAGGCUGUUGGAAGAGUUAAAAGCGACACAAUCAUCUCCUAUGAAGUUGUACUGUGACAACAAGGCAGCAAUCUCAAUAGCACACAAUCUAGUCCUUCAUGACCGAACAAAACAUGUGGAGAUUGACAAGCAUUUCAUCAAGGAGAAGAUAGAUAAUGGAUUGGUUCAUAUGGAGCACAUUCCUACUGGAGAACAAGUGGCUGAUGUCUUUACCAAAGGACUACACACAAAACAGUUCAAUUUUCUAGUUGGCAAGCUGGCUAUGGAGGAUAUCUUCAAACCAGCUUGAGGGGGAGUGUUAGAAAAUUAGAAAAAAAUAUGUGCUGUAAUUAUAUAUUAGCUGUAAAUUAGUCAUUAGCUGUAACAUAGCUAUUUAGGUGCAAAUCUAUGUAUUUUAGGAAAAUCUACCUAGAAACUAUUCUUUCCUUAAAUCAAUGAUUUAGUUUCCUGAUUUAAUGGUUUUAUGUGUGCUGUAAAUCUCUAUAAAAGAACAAUCUCAAUGACAGAAUAAUUAAUUCUGUGCAAACCUAUUUUUCAAGUGAAAUUUAUAGUCACCUCUUCCAGAGCAGAGAUAGUGGCAGGAGUAUAAUCUAACUGUCGAGCUCCGUGAUUGGAGACAAUAAUCCCAGCAACGCCUACUUCCACAGCUUUUAUUGCUGAAAAUUUUAGAGACCAAGCAAUUAACAAGAAUCUUCAAUUAUGUGCGCAGAAAAAAUGUGAUGAAAUUCAUAAAACAGAUAUAUAAUGAUGAGGAGAUUUAACAAGAAUAUUUUCAUUUGGUUGACUGGCAUCUCCAAUUCUACAAAUUUUAAUUCUAAACCUCUAAUUCCACUAACAAUCCCCGCAUAAAUGAACCUCUGGCUUAAAGACUGACUGUGUAGAAGUGGACGAGAAUCCCUUUUUUAGUCUGAAGUUACAUGGAAAAACAAAACAAAGAGAUACUUAUAUCAUCAAAUGGAGCUUUGAUCAUACCAUCUUCACGAGUAAGUACCCCCUUGAUCAAAAUUGGUAAGUUUGUAAUAGAUCUUAGCCAUUCUAUAUCCUGCAGAAGCAUGUGAUAAUCUUCAGACUCAAACUUUAGAAAGAGUAUUAAGAUCACUAACCAAGCAAAAUAAUAUCCAUGAUCUAUUUGUUCUAAGUAGCUGAAUAAUAGACACUUCUUUUUUCUUGAUAUAUUUUCCAAGCAAGGGAAAGAAACAGCCUGAGCAAAUUUUAAGCUGAGAGAUACUGUUGAAGCAUAUAAAAGGUGAAAGGAAGACUUCAUUGAUCUCUACCUUCCAACUUAAAGAAGGAUCCAUGGUCUCCUUGGCAUAAGCUUCUAAAUUUGAACCUGUAUCCUACAAAAAGUGUAAUCAUUUAAGUUAAUCUAAAGGAUUAUAGAUAUAGUCUAUGAGUUUAAACAAGCAGCAAAAGUAAAUACAGGCUAAGAACCAAAAAAAUCAAUAAAUAAAUAAAUGAAAACUGUUACACUCACAGAGGUGACUUUGGUUGAUAAGAGGCCUUCCAAGUUCUUCAACUGCUGUGCAAUCAUUCUGCAGAAGUUGUUGAGUGAGAUUCAAAAGACGUUGUUUACUGUGCCCAAAUAAAGGUAGAGGGCACUAUAUAUUUCUUAUGAUGUCACAAUAAAAAGAUUUGUGUCAUAUCACCAUCCUAAAUUUUUUGUUUUUUUAACCAAAAUUUAAAUUCAGUUAUAUGUGGUAGUACUUGGAAUAUCUAGAACCAAAGAUAAAAGAGAUGAUAAUUCACUUGUUCUUUAUAUCUGCCUCCCUUCUGUCAAGUCUUGGAGUAUCAGCAGUUAGGACAAGAGCCAUAAAACCAUUCCUUUCGGCUCUCUGCACUAAAGUAGCUGCCAUAUCUCGUUUCUUGUAUGCCUAUUCACAAAAACCCUUUAAGCAACAUUACGAGAAAGAAGAAAAUCGUUGUUGCUCAAAAAAAAAAAAAGCAGUUUGCUAGUGGGGGAAAAAAAUAAAAAAGCACUCAAGACAAGCCAACUGCUUAUAAUUGAUAGAAGCGAACAGCAUUGCAGCUGGCGGCAACCUCCUCUAUGGAGCAGCUAGAUGUGAAGGAUAAAACCAUUAUGGUGUUACAUGAAGCUGCUGCUCUGGCUGUGGCUACCUCUCCUGGAAUAUAUACAAACAGUUAAUGUUAGAAUUUGGACAAAAUCUUAAUGAUGAACAACUUAAAGGAAUAAGACCUUCAGGGUUUGCAAGCUUAUGCAAACCCGUUGGAGCAAUGAUAAUGGAAGCCGAGAUUUUGUAAUCAAGUGUACUAGUCGAUAUAUCUAUCCUGCAGACAUCGACAAGAAUUCUUGGCCAAAACCUGGGAGAUAUUAUAAAAGGUCGUUUGAAAGUUCUGAAUCUAUUUCUAAGAUUGCUCAUUGAAACUAAUUUGACUUGCGUAAUUCCAUGAAAUGCUUCCAUAUUCUCUUUCAGGGUGUACUGAUUUUCUACUCCUCCAGCGUAGAAAUCAUAAUACAUUUUUGGAAGGGCCAGCCUUGCCAAUUCUUGGAAUGCAUUCAAGUUAACAGGUUCGGCUGCCAUUUGAACCUGGAAACGUGGACAUUAAUCAACUUCUCAAGUAAAUCAAUCCUAGAUGCUAUAUACUGCAUGCAUAAAUCUGAAUAAUUCAAUUCAAGAAACUUAAAGCAACAUUUAGAUAGAGCAAGAAUAUCCUGUUAUAGGUGAUACUUCCUUAUAAUGAGUAAAGAACAUAUGGCAUUGAAGCGAACAAAUCAUAUGCCAACACUGCCUACCCCCAAAAAAAAAAAAGAAAAAAAAAGUUUUCAAGAUCACUCUGUAACUCACAACACUUGUUUAAAAUUAUAUUAGAAAUAUCGUGUUCAGUGUUCUUGUCAUACCGUCAAGAAACAUACCGUAAACAUAAAGUACCACUUAAGCACUAUCUGUCAAUGAUUCAGUUAUACAUAUACUCUCUAAGAGACAUACAUACACAAACACUAGCACAUGAUAACAGCUAAAUAAUGCUUCACAUCUACCAAAAUCAUAAGACCAUGAUGAUCCAAUAUAGCACUUCACAUACUCAAAGCUCACGGUCCAGUCAAGCAAGUUCAUCAUGAUCAAAACAUGCCCAUGAAUCAUGACAUCAGAAGAAAAAAAAAAUAUCCUUCGAAUAACUAUUAAUCAAACUUAUACAAUAAUAGAAUCUUGUAAAGAGAUGCACCCGAAUGACUAAAAAUUUCAACUGAUGAAGCUUGUGAGGCAAAUUACAACAGGGAGGAAGAGGCAGAGUCAAAGUCAAGAAGCAUAUAAAGGAUUAGUAUUAAUUAUUUGUCAUUUGACGUGUUCCCUUCAAUUAUAAUGUUAUCAACUUCUACCAUUUUUUAGAAUUUUGUUGUUUUCUUGUUCUUGCACGAUGGAUACAGGCUCCGUAUAUUCCUUAUGCUUUUAGUAUUUGGACUUUCUCUUCUUGUAAUUGUAUUAUCACUUGCCUUCUCUCUAUUUAUAUCUGGCCAACAACAAAAUAAAAGGAGAAUAAAGAUUAAUUUUAGUUACCAUAAAUAAAGGCAUAAAGCUUUUGAAUUUAAAUAUUUUUAUUUUACAAAAUUUAGAAAUUUAACAAAAAAAUCUUGAUAUCAAUUCUUUUGUUGAAACAGGCAGUCAUGUUCACACGAAAACUGAUUGCCACUGGGCUCAAUCUCUAGAGUCCUGCAAUGGGAUGGACCAAACAGAACAAAACGCAUACAAUGAGCAAAAAUCAAUGUAUUCAACAUUGUAACCGAUCUAUAUGUUUUUGCAUAUUCAGUUUCCACGCCUUUGAAACUGUCUAGGCUGUCCAUGAUGCCACCUGUACUCGCGUCUUUGAUCACCUUUGUCUCUCUGUUCAUGCAAGAAUUAGCAGUUGUCAUCAAAAUAGCAUCUUCCUUUAGGAUAAUAUGGGCAGAGCUCUUGGUUCAUGUAGCUUUGUUCCUGAGGUGGACUUGUUGGAUGAUGCUGGUUAAUGCUUUUCAAUCGCUGUCUAUUAAUCGGAGCUUCCCUAAUGCCGCUAAGCUUAACAACAGGAUUCUGAGGAACUUGUGUCUGGCAAUUAUUCUGUAUUACUGCCAACUUCUGUUCUGGCAAUUCUGAAAGCAACUUUAGUUGAAGUUGAAUUUCUGCUGCAUUUUUGGAAUCAGCAGAAUGCUGAGGUUGAAUUGAUAGCUGCUGAGGUCCACUCUUCGUUUUAUUAGAGUCCCUUUGUAAGGGGGGUUGUUUUUGAAACACAAUCUUUGUUGUUGAAACAGAAUCUUCACUUUUUCGGUAGCAAUUAAAUUCCUUUGAGACUGGUAACUUUUUGGAUCCUGAUUCAUGGACAUCCUGAAGAACAAACAUAAGCAUGUAUAUCUUAAAAUAACAUGGAUAAGUUACUUCAUUUUUAUGUGAAAUUAUACCUAUUUGCUUCCAGCAAUUUCCUCUUUUCCUUUCCAUGGAUCCGUAUUUCUCUAUUAGACCUUGCAAUAAAACCCCUUGAGUGCUUCUCCAUCAAAACCUUGUGUCUCUUCCCUUAGUCUUCCCAUCUCUGACAGUGACGGUAUGGGCAAAGCUGGGUUAAUAUUUAAGGAUCAACAGAUAAUAGGAAGAAGAAACUUCAGCUCUGUGCAAACCUGUCUCAAGGUCUUCAGACGAUAAAGGUUUCGACCUUUAAUUAGGAGAGGACGAAGUGGAGGGAGUGGCUUCUCCCCUUUGCUCCAAAGUACCUCUAUCUGAAAGAUUAGCCAAAAACAGCACUUUAAUCACAAGAAUUAUUUUGAUGGAAUUUAAAAUACAGCAUCUGCCUGUUCAAAAUUUACUCCUAGAAAAUUUAUCUCAAUUGUAGGUGAACCAACUAGAGAAAUUCCAUCCAUCAAAUUUGCUUGAAAUGAUCAUACCGCAAAAUCAAGAAAUAUCAUUACCCUAAUGCAUAAACCCAGAUAACUGAACAGUUUUAAGACAUAACAGUCCAAGAAUAGUCAUAGAUUUUCUAUGAUUAAUGGCUUUCCAUUAAACUCCCAAGUCCAAAUUAUAUAGGGCUUAUGACUCACUGUAAAUGUAUGUUGUUGCUUGGCUGCUCCAUAGCUUUCUUUCACAAUGCGGCCAGCAACAAUCCUUUUGCCACAUGGGGGACCACUUUCACUACAAGCUGCUAUGUUAAACCUAAUUAAUGAUGUAGAAAUAAGGUAAGAACAAAACACUCAACGGUUGCAAACAACUUUGAGAAAAGAGCACAGUGAUACUAGCAAAUCUAAAGUAUUUGUUGUCAUUGUUACAUUUGUAAAUCAAAUAAUCUAUUGACAGAAUUAGUAUUCUUUGACAGAUAUUGGAGGAUAAAUGCCAGUUUCAUCGAACUUAUAUUUUCAGCACAUAAACAUAGAGUCAGAGACCAAUAGCUUACAUUUUGUAAACAUUCUGUUCAAUCAUAACAACGUCACCUGUGCAAGCGUCACCUGCAUUUAAUCGGUACGUAUCAGGGUAAUGAGUACAAACACAAAAUAAAAGUAGGGUUACUAGAACUACACUAUACUAGUAUCAGGGAGGAAGGCUGGAAGAGGUGUGUGCAUUCUAAUGCAUUAUAAGCAAAUCAACCAAAGAGUGUUACAAUGAACUGACAUUUUUUUCAGACCCGUAAAUCUAGUAAAUUAAUGAAUCAAAUUUGUACCUUUACAGUCCAGUACAAAGCUAGAGAUUGGGUACCUUCUCUCUCCACCACCAUUUGAGAUUCUGAAAAGUAUCAAAAGAUUAAAACAAAGGAAAAUCCAAGUGUUAUAGGUCUUAAGUGAAAUUAUUAGUUCACGAAAAAAGUUGAAAUUACUCUAAAUGCUCCUUUAUACGCUGAAUAAGCGUGGGUUUAUUGCCCGUCAAUCUCAAUCCAUUGUUCCUCAAAUAAACUUUACAUUGCUCCACUUU
rnacentral:lncRNA from 1 species